UGAGAGGAACACUUCUUAAUUAUAAGUUAGUUGAGCGAGAUAUAUCCUAUUAAAGUUGUCGUGUUACUUAAUCGCAUUAUAACGCAAAGACAUUCCUUUGCUCUUUCUUGCAUACAAGUUAGUUCCCAUUUCUAUUUUGUCAUCCAUAUUCCCUUUUAUAGAAUCUCUAAGCGUAGAUAUCUAGUGGUAGUUUGUUCUUGUAUUUCUUUUAUACCAUUCGUUAUUCUUUAAUUCUUUUAUACUGCCUAGAUAAUAAGUAAUACCUAAAAUUAAUAUCUUGAAUCAAUUCCUUAUGUUCGACCCGGGAUCACCCAAGUAAACCUACCAUUUCACUUGCACUUGGACAAGUAGUAAGAAAACUUGUACUCAAGAGGACUUAGUUGCCACACGAUAUGAAGGUCUAGUGAGCAAUUCACGUGCAGUUAACAUGCUUAGUGAUAUAUCGCCUAGAUUGAGUAUAAUUUUCAUUCACCAUUUACUAGCACUAAGUCCUGAUUGUUGAAGAGAAACAACACCUCAAUAACCGGAGCGAUCGACUUCUAUCUUUAGUUAUUCGAUCUUGAACCUUAAUUGCACCGAGAGAUGGCCUGGGAUGAAACAAAUUUACAUUUAUUUUAUUCAGUCUCGAGCAUACAUUGUCCUAAGAUGCUACAUUAUGAAAGACUUUUGCCUUUAGUUAUUCAAUCUCAGGCCUUAAUUGCACUGAAAUGGCUCGGGAUGAAAGAAUUCUGUCUUUAUUUUAUUUAAUCUUGGGCAUACAUUACAUUGAGAUGCUCCGAAAUGAAAUUUUUUUGCCUUUAGUUAUUCGAUCUCGACCUUAAUUGCAUCGAGAUGACCCGUUAUUAAUAAAUCACAAAGAAGAUAUAAAUCGCAAAGGACGUCUAUGGAAUUUGUGAAAAAAUAAUCUCGCAUCAUGGACUUUUCUUAUUUUGUUAUACGAACCAUAAAUAUUUUGGAUUUUUCUACAUUUAUGUAAAUUACUCUUAAAUUAAUCUAAUUAAUAUUUAAUUGGAAAUCACCGCCACUUGGAUAUAGGAAUACGGGAGCAUCCCACAUUCUCUAAAUAACACCCACAUAUGGAAGUUAUUAUCUUAAUUUAAAUUAUUGAUCACAAAUAGCAAAAAAGUUAAAACUAUUUACAAAAUAUAGCAAAAAAUUGAAACUAUUUACAAAAAGACUCAAAUGUGCUAUAGAGAAUUUAAUUAUUAUGCUAAUUAGUUUCAAUUUAAUUAGUAUAUUUGAAAAUUCCACUUAAAUUUGAUUAACACUAAAAUAAUUAGUUAAUAUAUAAUAAUUAUUUAAAUCACAUUUAAUUAAUAUUUCAUUUAAAUCACAUUUAAAUGAAUAUCUCUCACAUAACCAAUAGUUUUAAUUUAAUUAAAUAGAAUUAAACUAAAUUAUUAAUUCUUCAAUUAUUUAAUUUCUAAAUUAAAUAUUUUAUAUUUGAUUUAAUAUAGAUUUGAAUCAUACUCAUAUAUGAAUUUCUCUCAUAACCUAUUGUUUGAAUUUGUAUCAUAUACGUAUUAAAUUUUAAUCUAUAGUUUUAUUACAAAUUUAAUCCAUAUUAAAUUAACAUUUGAACUCAUUCAAAUAUUUAUUAUUUCAUAAAUUAAUUUUAAACCAUAUACAAAAUUAAAUUUAUAUAAUAAAGUUCAAUUAAAAGAUAAAUUUUAUAUUAUAAUAUAUCACCAUACAUUAUACUAAUUUUCAAAGUAAAUAUGAACAUUUCAAAUUAGAGUCAAUAUGUAAUAACCUUAAUACCCUUUACAUACUAGGAAGGGACCUAAUAAAUUUACAUUUCAAAGUGUUGGGAGCUAGUUACCAUAGUUGAAAUCAAUUUAUUUACUUUAGUUGUCGUAUUAUCCUUAAGAGCACCUCAUGCCUCCACAUCAAUAAUCAUUUUAUCUCAUUGCAACAAUCACCCAUAUAAAUAUUGAAUCAACAUAUGGUUCUGUACCUAAUGAUGAAAAACUUGGCACUGUGCCAAGUAUCUCCCCCAAUAAUCGUAAAGUGAUUCAUCCUUUCCUUGUGUGAUGCCAUAGAUUUUCUUCCUCACACUAGUAGCAUAAAAGGUUGAAAAGAACUUUUCCAAAUAUUGUCUCUACAUCUACUCCCAUGAAAUAAUGCUCCCUGGUGACAAGUAAUAGAGCUAAUCUUUCACUUCUUCGUGUUACGAGAAGGGAAAAGCUCUCAUGUUCGUCUGCUCAAGGGUUAUAAUGUGAGGACUCAUCCCAUUGCAAACAAUAUGAGGCUCGACUAUCGAGAAUAUAACGACUGAACCCUAAGUUUGUCCAUAAGUUCACUUUAGCAGUUAGCUAAAUGAAAAUCUACUUAUAAUAUGGAGCAAGCACUAGAAGAAAUUUGCUCUUUAUUGUCAGUUUAGAACCGACAUUAAUGGCCUUUGGUGUCAGUUCGGAAUUGACAUCUAUGCUAGCGUUAUUAAAGGCCUUUAAUGUCAUUUUUGCUUUGAUGUCAGUUUAAAAAUGACAUCAAAUGCAUCAUUGAUGGCCACUGAUGUCGGUUUUAAAUCAACAUUUUUUAUGGCGUAAUUGUUGACCUUACUGUUGGUUUUCCUUUAAUGUCGUUUUUAAACCGACAUCAAAGCCUUGUUUGUUUUUUUAAUUUAUUUAUUUUAAUUAUUUUUCAUGGUGUCGAAAUCGACAUUAUUUGUUACGAAUUACGACAUGAAAUGUUCGUCAUCGAAUAUUAAAAAAGUAUAAAAAAUAAUUGUUGCAUGAUUGCUAGUUCUACCACUCCAUGGCAAACCUUAUAUAUUACUUCCAUAUUUCACCUGCAAGGCAGAAGAUCAACACCUACAAAACAAGCAUACACUUCCACACAUCCAAUGGCAAACUAAUACUAUUUCUAGCUAUAUAGAAUUCAAACCUACAAAACCAGCACAUACACUUCCACACUUCGAUGCAAACUAAUAAUAUUUCUAGCUACAGAACUCAACACCUAAAAACCCAACAUAUAUACAUUUUUCCACACUUCCAUAGCAAACCAAUAUUUCCAUUUCACCUACAAGGAAGAAGAUCAACACCUACAAAACCAGCAUACACUUCCACACAUCCAAUGACAAACUAAUACAUUUCUAGCUAUAGAAUUCAACAUGUAAGAAACCUACAAAACCAACACAUACAUUUCCACACUUCCAUGGCAAACCAAUAUUUCCAUUUCACCUACAAGGAAGAUCAACCCCUACAAAACCAGCAUACACUUCCACACAUCCAAUGGCAAACUAAUACUAUUUCUAGCUAUAGAAUUCAACAUGGUAAGAGGCCACAAAACCAGCACAUACACUUCCACACUUCCAUGGAAAACUACAAAAAUACACUUUUCCACACUUUCAUAAUACUACAAAAAUACACAUAUCAAUCAAGUAAAUAAUAUGUAAAGUAUUAAAGUAUGUGUACAACAAAUUCCUCCACUAAUACACACUUUCCACAUAGUACUACAACAAAUACACUCUAAAGUCAACACCUAAAACACUACAAUACAACACUUAUUCAUAAACUACUACAAGCAGAAAACCUCAAAAUUAAAGUAUGUACAACAAGUAGUACUAGAAUCUCGUAGCUUAUAUAUUAAAACAAUUAGUAUUAGUACUAGUAACUUAUAUACUACAAAAAAAGUGUAAAAGCUUACACAAAUCGGCUAACAAAGCUUGCAUAUUUUGUUCGAAUCUCGUCAAUCUCCUCUUGCGUAUAUGCACUUUUUUGUAUUAAACUACGUAAAAAGAAAGGUAUGAAAAGAAUAAGUUUAGAUAAUUUAUGUAAUUUGUAACAUAUAAAAAGUGAAAGUAGAAACUUACAAGGCUAGUGAUGGGAGUACAAGAAAUAUGCACGAUUUCAUGUAUAUACUUUUGGACAUAAUACCCACACCCAACCGAAUCCAAUUGACGAGGACACUGCAUGUAUAUAAAUUACAUACAAAUUAUUCUUAUGUUUCAUUGAAAAUAAUUAUGUGUCAAUGCAAAUUACCUUUAUAGGUUUCCAUUUCGGAUUUGACCGAUAAUGUUGUAAAUCAUGCUUAGCUUGCCAUGUUUUUAAUCCUCUAUACAUUUGGAAACAUUAGAAUUAGAAGACAAUGAAGUCAAAUAAGAAGUAAAUCAUAAGUCACAUUUAUGACUCCAUGGCUUCGUUAACUUUACUUCGAAGAGAGUCCAAAACAUAAACACAGUUCUCUCGAAGAUCGAUGACAUGCAACAUCCAAUGAAAACUACAAUAAACAUCUUCAAUGUGAGUAUACAUUUAACCUCAAUGAAAAACAUAAUAAUGUGUUAAUCUUAUUUAUUUACCCAGUAUUAUACGGAAUUAGAACUAUUUGUUCCAAGGUAGCCACUUCUAACUGGUUGGCAAAAUUUCUGGAUCGGAGAUCACGAUCCUUGAUAUGUGAUGUUAUUUUUGCUUGGUCAUAACAAAAAACUUGCUUCCACAAUCACAUUCAUCCCAAAGAUAUCUAAGUAAAAGCAACCUUAGUUAAAAAGGAACAAAAUAACUAUAGUAUAGUAUUGGACAUAAAGAUGAGUAAAAGAUGUUUACUUACGUAAUGUAUGCUAGGAUGCACAUAUAGCCUAUUUCUACCAUGCCGCAAUAAUGGAGCAAGUCCUAACGAGCUAAAUAAAUGAAUUUGUUUUUACCGAAUAUUAGCUCGUUCAUUAGGAUGCGAACCAUAUCUACAUCCUUCAUAUUGUUCACGACAUGUCCAUAUAAGAGCUUAAUGGUUCCAUUAACAUUUAUGUAAUUUGAAGAAUACAGAACAUCCUUUGGGGUUGAAUGCUCCAAGCACAAACAAAAUAAUAUCAAAACCUAAAAUACAAUCACAAAUAAAUAUCAAAGCUUCAAUAGCACAUAAACAAGUCAACGAGGUCAUUCAACAAUAUUACCUAAUGCUUGAUUUAAAGUCUCUAUCUUGCCCUUCACUGGAAUAGGUAAACUACAAUCUCCUCCUGUGAGCAAGUCCACCAAGAUUUUAACAUUGGGACCACCAUUGCUAUCAUCAAGUACGGUUUCUAUUGCAACAAUAUUAUUAAUCAUUCCUAUAGCCAAUUUGCACGGUGUUUACUUUACAAGUAUUAAAAGCAUCAUUAAGAACAAUUUAUCCUAUAAACAUUAAAAUUUUAAAAGUGACAACAAAGUUAAUUACCUUCACUUCUUCGUUCAUAGGUGUGUUGCCCAAAUCCUCAUCGGCAUAGAGAUCUAUGUUAACACUUCUGAUGGACGAUCUCAAGUGAUUAUGACCCUUUUUGUAACUUUUGCUUUUUGAGUCAUCUUCUACAACUUGAGAACUUGCAAUUUUCUCUUUCCCUUUCACUGUCUUGAAAUAUAGUGAUUGAGAGACAAAACCACCCAUGCCACGUACACGUCCACCAUGCUCCUUAGAGCCCAAUGACUCAGUCAAUAUGUCCUCAUCUCUAUGUGUUUCAGCUAAUGCAUCCUAUAGAACAAUACAAGUAUUCAUCAUUAACUAAGUUAACAAAAGAUUAAAUAUUGUAUAUAAGUAAAUCGCAAGCAAACUUACGAUUCGAGAGACACAAUCUCGAGUAGCAUCAUCAAAAUAAUCAUUGUUUUUUCCUUUUCUUGCUUCUUUCCAAAGAGUUGAACGAUAGGAAAGAUCACAUGUUAUAUUAUGCAACCAAAGAUAUAUAUUUAAUUAGCAUAAACAUGUUAAGAUAAAUUAUUUCAUUCAAUUAGAAAUACUUACUAAUUCUUCGGCAGGAUUUUCAUAUCCCUUACUAGCAAUGUGAUGAUUGUAUAUGCAUUUUGAUCUUCUUUCCCUUUGAAUACGACUAUAAUCCUAUACAAAAAAUUAGUUUGUAGUUACAUGCCAAACCAACAUUAAAGUUAACAUGUAAUUAAAUUUAUUUACCUCACAUUCUUCAGUCAGUCUAGCGUCCACAAAGGAUUUCCAAUCUUCUUGAUUAAUAUGAGAAUAGAUCUUAGGAGGAAACUACAAACAUGAUGGUUGAUCCUUAAACGGAAGUAUAUACAGAAGAGUUAACGUAGUUUUGAAAGUUCGGUACUUUCUUGAUGCAGACAUUAGGAUAGAAUGUCUAACAUUGGGAUGUAACUCAAACGACAUCUACACAAGAAAAAAGAAAAAAAUAUUUAGACUUAGGGAAAUCAAACUACAUUGUAAGAAAAACGUAAUUAUCUUUCAACCGAUAUAUAUAUAAGAUUCAUUACCGAUAUACAAUCGUAGAUUUUAUCUUUCAACUCAUUCGAAACUUGUUUCCAAGAUUUGUAUGUGAUAGGAAUCUGCUGUCGAACACACACACCAAUGUAACUUUGAAUUUUCUUAGAUAUAGCUCUUACAAGUUGCCCAUGUUCAUUAAAUUGAACGGGCAACCGUUGCCCAGAAUUUCUUACAUGCUAACUCUGGCAUAGUCGUUGGGCCACAUGGCACGAAUGAUUUGUUUCUUGCUUUGGGAAUCAUUUUUCUUUCAUCCUCACUUAAGUAUGUGACUCCUCCAUCUAUGAAUCUGCAAAAAAAACAUAUAUGUAUUAGUAAGCACGUUAGUGAGCAAAGUAAGGACAUAAAAUAAGCUUAGUAAUUACAAUCUCUGAACAUAAAUUUAUUAUAAAGGAAAGUAAAUGGCAUACCUUAAUAAAACAUUUAUACAAUUAUUACUUAUCAACCCAUCUACCCUCACAAUCAUGUCUAAUAUAUGAUGAAGUUGUAUCAUCAAUCUCGUGAGGUGUAUCAACAUUGGGCAUCUUUUGAACAACUCCAUAACCACACUCUAGUAGCAUAUCUCCUAUUUCAUCUUCAAAGAAAUCUUCUUCAAUAGUUCUACGUGGAGAUGUUAAAACCACUGACCAUUUAGGAUUUGCAGAAUCUUUCACAUAGAAUAUGUGUUUUGCUUGGGAGGCUAGUCGAACAAUUACAAGUCUUACAUGUUUCAUAAAAUACCAUGAAUUGCCACAAGUAGCAACUGUUGCAUAAGAACGUGAUGGUUUGUACAAGAAUUUCUUCCCCACUCGAUGUCGUUAAAAAAAUAAUUGAUCUCUAAUUGUAUUCACAUCUAAAGUCUUUGCAUUUACGCAUUUUAAACAAGGACAAGUCAUGACGUUCGACAUCUUUGAAUGUUUGAACCCAUUUUUAAUAAACAUCUCAACCCCAAAAGCAUAAUCAGAGGGAGGCGGUGGCUGUCGUGGAUCUGAACGGUGGAAGAACCUCCGGUCAGCGGCUUCGUGAAUCGGAGAUGAAAAGAAAAAGAGAGGUGGGGCGGCUGGAAGAUGUGAGGAAGAGGAAGAGAAAAAGAAAGAAAAAGAAAAACGGGGAAGAGACGUGCGAGAGAGAGAGAGAGAGGAGAGAGAGAGGAGAGAGAAAGAAAAUCUUUGAUUUUCUUUUCUUUUUUUUUAUUUCCUUCUUCUUUAUUUAACUUAAUGAUUUAAAAAAAAAUUAUAACAAUAUUAUUAAAUGUAUAUUAUUAUUAUCUUAACCUUCCAAAUCUCUUUCUCCCUUAACUUUUUUUCUAAAAAAAAAAGAUAUAUAUACACACAUAUAUAUAAUAAGGUACCCUAGAGUUCGAGAUGUUACAAGUGUAGUCUCCAACAUUAAACCUUUGUCAAAUAAAUUUCCAAACUUGAAAUAAACAAAGAUUACUACUACAUAAACUAAAGUAUAAGAAUUAAUAAGAACAUUUUAAGAUUAGAGAAAUAGAAAUAAAACACAAAUAAUUAUUAUAUGUUUAAAAACAAAAGAUGAACUUACAGUCCCUAUAACACACUUAAUAUAAAUCAAGUCUUCACCCUAUUAACCCCAAUCUCCAUUAACACACUUCUCACUACAUCUCCAUAAGUUCCAAAUCAACACUCUCUAUUUACCAUUACAUUUUCUUACCAAACUAAUCCAGAUACCAAUAUGUUAAUAACACGAAGUCAGUGAAAAAUGUCUCAAAAGUUAAUCCUAAAUUAAAUUGAGGAAAGUAGAGAAGCGAAUAUUACGUUCCAAUUUCCAAACAAUGCUAAACUAAAUCUCUCCCUUUCUCUUAUUUGUAGUUACCUUUUAUAUUUAUCAUUCACUAUUUCAUUUCUUCACUCUCUUUGGUACUUUCCUUCUUUACCUUUAAACCCCAAUCUCCAUUAACCCACUGCCCACUUCCUCUUCAUAUCUUCCAAAUCAACUCUCUAUUUACCAUUACAUUUUCUUACCAAACUAAAUCCACAUACCAAUAUGUUAAUAACAAAAAGCAGACAACAAAAAUUAGAACCUACUAAAGAUUGAUUCAAUGAUCUAUUUUGAUGCCUAAAAAAAAAAGCGUAUGAAAAUUCUUUGAACCUCCAGAAGAAGGCUCGAAAGGGCCUCUGUAGUCCACUCCCUUUCGUCCAAUGUCUGAUGAAGUAAUACCAGAUUGGUAUUCACGGGUUGAGUUGCCCUCUGUCUUGGUCUGCCCUGUGCUAGCCGAAGAUGACGGCUGGGCACGCGAUGGUUGCAAUGGCUGGGCACGGUGGUGGCUAUGGUGGUGGAUUCGAAGAUGAUUGGACACGAGGGACUCUUGCGGCGGAAGCACGACGGCGACUGUGACUGGGAAAGACUUGAAGGAAGAGUUAUGGGCGACUGCGAAUGGUCGAAGAUGAUUGAGCACAACAGAGGCGUUUCUCGAUAGCCGAAGCACGAUGGCGAAUGGGAAAGACUUGAAGGAAGAGUUUUAGCCACGACAGCGAUUGGGAUGAAUUAUGGGCACAAAGACGACGAUGAGUUUUAGGUCAUAGAAUGAGAAGAGAAGGGAGAAGGAAAUUCGAAAUCGAGAGAGAAAAUUUUGAUAGGAAUGGGUAAAGUAAGAGAGAGAGGGAAAUUUAAUUUUUACAACUUAAAAAAAUUAAAAAAGAAAUUAAAAAGGGGAAGGGUCUUUAAUGUCAGUUUUCACAUAAUAAAAAAAAUUUAAAAAUUAAAAAUGGAAAUAUCAUUAAUGUCGAUUUAAAACCGACAUUAAUGAUCCGUCUUUUCAGAAAUGACAUUAAAGCCAGAUUUUCAUUUUUUUCACCUGACACUAAAGCCCAUAUUUCUUCUAGUGAAGGAAAGGUUUAGGUUUCAGUUUCAAACAUAUACCAAUUGUAGUCACGCAUCAAUAGUAAGAGCGAAAGUUAACCUAUGAGAUAAUUAAACACUAACUCAACAAACCAUUUAGAAAUUUAAAUCUGAAGGCAUUUCAAUCAAACUUUAGUAACGCUGGGAGAAAAACCUAAUUGUAGCCAUUUUCAUUUUUUAAAAAAAUUAAACAAACUUUUUUAGUCCAAGCAAAUAAGCUUAUCAAUCUUCAGAUCAAUUCCUCAACUAUAAAAUGUCAAAUUGUAUCGUUUUCUAAGAGUUGCUUAACAAUUUCAUCAUUUUUUUAUGCCUCCAAAAACAAAGAUUUGGCAUCAACUUUAGUGGACACCCCCUCCCAAACUACGUUCUAUAAGCCUAAAAGACGGGAUGAAGCCAACAAAUAUCGCCCUCCUCUUUCUACUACUACUAACUCAUACAAUGAUACACUGUUGGAAAGGAUUUUUGGAGGUUGGAGAAAAUUUGGAAGAGAGAAUUGAGAUAAGAGGCUACUUGUGUUAUUAGACACUUCUAUUUUUUUUGACUUAAUACAAGUGGUAGGACAUCCCUCUUAUUUAUCCUAGUUGUCACUCCUAAAUGAAUGGCUAGGAUUUUGCCAACACAUUCUUUAUUUAACGGUUACAAAUGACUCUCUAGAAUAUUCUUUACAAUUACACUCAUUUCUUAUAUUUUCUAAAUGUAUCUUCAAUCUUCUCUAAAUAUCUCCUACAAUUGAUUUAUCUAGAAUAUUGUAGUAAUUAAUACAUUAUAGAAAUUUGGCUUUUAUUUGGGCUAUGCCUAAAUAUUGUUAAACCCAAAAUCAAGUUUAUAUUUCAACAUCCUCUCUUAAACUUGAUUUUGUUACUCCAAGCAGGUCUCUCAAUUUUGUGAAUUCUUCCUUUUUAAGAGGCUUAGUGAAAAUGUUGGCUACCGGAUCACGAGUCUUCAUGCACUCUAACUAUACUUCCUUUCUUCUGAUGCACUCUCUAAUAUAAUAAUAAUGUGUAUCAAUGUGCUUUAUUCUGGUUGUGGAAAACUAGUUUUUGGCCAAAACAAUUGUUGAUUUAUUAUCUAUGAAAACUUCUGGUUGGCUCUUCUUUUGGCAAUAUCAUAACUCCUUUAAUAGAUUUCUCAACCAAGUUACAUGACAAACACAUGAGGUAGCAACCACAUAUUAUGCUUCACACGUAGAGAGAGUAACAAUGGAUUGCUUCUUUGACAUCCAUGUGAAGGCAGUGUGUACACACACAUGCACACAUGCACACAUGCACACGCAUACACAAACACACACACAUGUGCACACUCACACUCACACCCAUCCUCACGACCACACACGCACACGCACACGCACACACCCACACACGAACACACGCAUGAACGCAUGCACACAUCCACAUACACAUGCACGCAAACACGCACGUCCACCCAUACGGGCACAUGCGCACUCACACACACGCACACCUACCUACACGGGCACACGCGCACUCGCACAUGCGCGUACAAGCACACGCACACGCACAAAUGCGCAUGCACACACGCACACGUACAUGCACAUGCACACACACGAACACAUACGCACGCACACACACGUGCACACACAUGCACUCGCACACGCACACCCACCCACACGAGCACACACGCACCGACACACAUGCACGCACAAAUGCGCAUGCACACACGCACACGCACGCGCACACGCAUACGUACACACCCACAUACAUGCGCACAUGCGCAUGCACACACAUGAACACACGCAUGAACGCACGUCCACCCAUACGGGCACAUGCGCACUCACACACACCCACACCCACCUACACGGGCACAUGCGCAUGGACGCACACGAACACACGCAUGAACGCACGUGCACACCCACCCACACGGACACAUGCACAUUUGCACACAUCCACACACACAUGCACGCACGCGCACACGCACAUCCACCCACACGGGCACAUGUGCAGUCACAGACAUGCACACACCCACACCCACAUGGGCACACGCACACUCUCACACGCACACACAAGCAUACGCACACACCCACACACACAAGCACAUGCGCAUGCACACACACGAACACACGCAUGAACGCACGCACACAUUCACACAUGCAUACACACAUCUACACACACAUGCACACACGCACACACACAUACGCACACGCACAUCAAUCCACACGGGCAAACGCACACUCGCACAUAUGCACACACACACGCACACACGUACAUAUGCACAAAGAUGUGAAAAUGAAUUAAAUUUAAAAAACAAUUACAUUAAUUGUGUUGAGAAUGACUUUUAAACUAUAUUCAUUUAACUUAAUAACAUUAAUUAAAUUAUAAUUUCUAUUAAUAUUGAUUUAAGAGUGUCGUUAGUGUAAUUAUAUCAAUAUAAUGCGAUCUUAUCCAAUUUUACCAACAAAAAACAAGUCAAAUAUGGACUAGUAAAUCCACACUCUUUGUCAUAAGAGAUAUAAUAACGUUUUUAUGGGUCAUUUUAAAAAAUGACAAAACAACUUUUUCUUUUGAAUUUUAGCAAAUAGCAUGUUUUAUCUGAAAAAGAUACAUCAACCCAUAAUAACACUACAACAAAUCUUGGUUGUAGUGUCAGGUGAAAAAAAUGAAAAAUUGUCUUUAUUGUCGUUUUUGAAAAGGUGGAUCAAACCGACAUUAAUGAUAAGGGUUUAAUGUCGUUUUUAAAUCGACAUUAAUGAUCAGCCAGUUUUAUUUUUUUUUAAUUUUUUGUAUUUUGUAAAAACUGACAUUAAUGACCCUCCAUUUUUAAUUUCUUUUUAAAAAAUUGUUAGGUUUUAAAAACUAAAUUUUUCCUCUCUUUCUUACUCUACUCUUUCCCUAUCAAUUUUUCUUUUCUUUCUCUCCAAGUUGGUUUCUAAUUUUCUUCUCUUCUCAAUCUGUGACUCUAGAUCGCGAACAGCAACCAAUCUUCAUCGUGCUUCCACCGCAAAAAUCCUUGGGUUUCUUCAUUUGAUUGUUAACUUGUGACUGCUAGGUAGCAUUAUUGAUUAUUAAUUGUCUUUAUUUUUUUAAAUGUGCAGCCUUAUUCAUACUAUCUUUUGUUAGAAAAAUGAAAGAAGAGAAGGCAUAGAAAUGAGCUUGGUAACUAGCAUUCUUGUAGGUGGAUUUGCCAAAAUGGAAAAUGUAGAGUAAGUAAUUUUGGUAUAGCUAUUUGGAGUGUUAUAUGAAGCACAAUAUCUUCAUAAUGUGAUGCGUUUUGGUUUUCGAUUGAGAUCAAUCUUGGUAAUUAAUUGUUUUGAAUUGUGUGUUUAUUUUAUCUUUUAGUAGUAAAUGUUUUUGUUUUCUUUAGUUUAGUUUGAGUAUUAGUCUGUUUUGAUAUAUUUGUAGGUUGCAUCUAUUUAUCCAUAUAUUUAUCUUUGAUCAAUACCUAGCUAGGGGAGUCUCUUCUUUUUAUGGGCUUCCUUAUAUUCCAUGUUCUUUUACUAUAUAUUUGAGAUUUUCACCUUCCAUAAAUGAAAUAAAUUAACUAUUUUCAUUUGAAAAGAAAAACGAUCCAAUAGGAGUUUGUAAGAUUAUUUAUCAUCUCCAUUGUUUAACUUUCUCUAUAAAAACAAUGUUGCUAUUGAUGGGUAAAUUUAUACAAUUAAGAGUAAGAAGCCUAUAGACUAGCAUUGCUAAAUUGAACAUUCAAAAUUUGCUUUGAAGUAAGAGUCGAUGAUGGUAUAAUUAUUCUUUAGUUGUAUUCCUCUUUUUCUUAUAGAUCUUUGAAGAACCAAAUUAGAAUAUUUUCUUCUUCUUAAUGAGUUGUUUGAUCAAAGCUUAUUUUCUUCUUUAUUUUUGCAGCACUUUUGGGUUGCCAUUUCAAUUGUCUUCUUUGUUGCUGCUACAUUAUUUACUCUACUGAAACUUUGUGGUAAUUUUUAAUUUUCCACAUUUAGAUUGCAGUCUGUUUAGUUUGAUUUUAAAUAAUAUGUACUAAUUUUGCAAAUUCUAGAUUUAUAAUCUUCCCCAGGUUGUAAAGUAUAUUUUGGUCUUAGAUAGCCAGCCAAGCUAAGCUAAGUAGAUGGAAGCAAUUGUUGAAGUUGAAGAUUGUGAAAGCGUUUAAGAUUUCUUAUUUAAGUCUUGUAUUAGGAUCUAGUUUCAUGUAUUAUUAUAGAAUGUAUAUACAAACGCAAUAUUAAGAUUUCAUUUUCUAUAUACAAAUGUAAAAGAAAAAUAUUGUAGUUCCUAAAAUAAUAUUAAUUUUAUUGAUUUGUUGAUGUGAGAAAAAAUAUUUAUUUACACGUAUCUAAUGUCAGUUUAUAAAAAAUGAACAAUAAUGCAAUAAUUAUAUAUUUUUUUUGUAAAAAUAGAUCCAAAAACAAGACUUUAAUGUCGGUUUAAAAACGAUAUCAAAGGCAAACCGACACUAAAGGUCAACAAUAGCACCAUAAAAAAUGUCGGUUUUAAACCAACAUCAAUGACCAUACCAACAUUACUGAUGCAUUUGAUAUCGCUUUUUAAACCGACAUCAAAGCAAAAACGACAUUAAAGGCCUUUAAUAACGCUAGCAUAGAUGUCAGUUCCGAACUGACACCAAAGAUCAUUAAUGUCGUUCCGAACUGACACCAAAGAUCAUUAAUGUCGAUUUUAAACCGAUAUUGAAUGGCAAAUUUCUUCUAGUGUAACCAAAUUUAUAUAAUUUGAGAAUCAACAUUUUAAUAAUUUUAUUCAAUCUUACUAACUUCAAAAUAACCAAAUUGAAUUUGAAUUUCAAAAUAACAAAAUUAUAAUUUAAUAGUAUUUGAGAAUCUCAACGAUAGAUUUUGUAUCAACAUAACCUUAAAAAAUAUCAACUUGUUCGAUAUCUUUAUCUCAAAAUAAUAUUAAUGACUUGAAUAUCAAGAUAAUUAAAUUAUUAUUUUAAAAUUGAAAGAAACUCAACAUUAAGAAAUAUCAACUUGUUCGUAUACAAGCACACGCGCACACGAGCACACACAGACACACACACACGUGCACAUGCGCACACACGGACACACGCACAAACACACACACAAACACACGCGCAUACACAUGCACACGCUAGUGUACACGCACACUCACCCACACGCACACGCGCACGCACACAUAUGCACAAAGAUGUGUAAAUGAAUUAAGAUUAAAAAACAACUACAAUAAUUAUGUUUAUGAGUAAAAAUCAUGUACAUUUGACUUUAAAACAUUAAUUAAAUUAUAAUUUCUAUCAACAUUGGUUUAAGAGUGUCAUUAUUUCAAUAUAAUGCGGUUUUAUGCAAUUUUACCAACAAAAAAUAAGUCGAAUAUGGACCUGUAGAUCCACACUCUUUGUCCUAAGAAAUAUAACAACUUUUCUAUGGGUUAUUUAAAAAAAUGGAAAAACUAUUUUUUCUUUUGAAUUUUAGCAAAUAACAUUUUUUGCACGUGCAUGGUAUUUUACAAAAUAUCAACCUUCUCCAACUGUAAUUAUUUAGUUUCUAUGUUGUAAUUAAUUUAUGUCAUUUAUCAGCUUUUAAUUAAUUUUUACUUGAAAAAUAUACAUCAAUCCAUAUUGCAACUUUUUUUUUAAUAUCUUGGGACUCAACUAAUUGAUUCAAUAUUUUAAUAAAUUUAUUGAAUCUUACUAAUUUCAAAAUAACCCAAUUGAAUUUGAAUUUCAAAAUAACAAAAUUAUUAUUUUUCAGAAUUUGAGAAUCUCAACAUAGAUUUUGUAUCAAAAUAACCUUAAUUGAAUUCAAAAUUAAAAAAUAUCAACUUUUUCGCUAUUUUUAUCUCAAAAUAACAUUAAUGGCUUAAACAUCAAGAUAACGAAAUUAUUAUUUUAAAAUUGGAAGAAUCUCAUCACUAAAAAAUAUCAACAUGUUCGCACACGCACACACGCACGAACGCACACAUACACAUGCACGCAAGCACACACGCACACGCGCGCACGCACGCACUUUUGCACACACACACACACAUACAUAUGCACGCACACCCAUCCACACUUACCUACACACGCACGCGCACACGCACACACACACGAACACACGCGCACACACACACAUAUGUAUAAAGAUGUGUAAAUGAAUUAAAAUUAAAAAAUAAUUAAAUUAAUUGUGUAUAGAAAAACUUUUAAACCAUAUUCAUUUGACUUAAUAACAUUAAUUAAAUAACAAUUUUUAUCAAUAUUGGUUGAAAAGUGUCAUUAGUGUAAUUAUUUCAAUAUAAUGGAGUUUUAUCCAAUUUUACCAACAAAAAACAAGUCGAAUAUGGACCAGUAGAUCCACACUCUUUGUCAUAAGAGAUAUAGCAACGUUUUUAUGUGUCAUUUUAAAAAUGACAAAACUACUUUUUCUUUUGAAUUUUAGCAAAUAGCAUUCUAUCACGUGCAUGGUAUUUUCUAAAAUAGCAAAAUAUUCAUCUUCUCCAACUGUAAUUAUUUUGUUUCUACUUUGUAAUUAGUUUAUGUUAUGCAUUUAUCAACUUUUAAUUAUUUUUUUAUCUGAAAAAGAUACAUAAACCUAUAUCAUAAAUUUUUUCUUAAUAUCUCGAGACUCUAGUAAUUGAUUCAAGAUUUUCAUAAAUUUACUCAAUCUUACAAUUUUCAAAAUAACCUAAUGGAAUUGAAAUUUCAAAACAACCAAAUUGAAUUUCAAAAUAACAGAAUUAUUAUUUUUCAAAAUUUCAAAAUCUCAGAUAGAUUUUGUAUUAAAAUAACCUAAAUUGAAUUUCAAAAUUAAAAAAUAUCAACUUGUUCGCUAUCUUUUAUCUCAAAAUAACAUUAAUGACUUGAAUAUCAAGAUAAUAAAAUUAUUAUUUUAAAAUUGAGAGAAACUCAACAUUAAAUAUAUCAACUUGUUCACACACAAGCACACACGGACACGGGCAAACGCGCACACACGUACACACGCACGUAUGAGCGCACACACACCCACACACCCACGCGCACAAGCACAUACGCGUCCGCACACACACAGACACACAUAAGCACACACACACGUGUGCACAUCAGCACACAAACACGAAUGCACACACGCAUACACACACCCACCCACAUGCACAAAUGUGCACAAACGUACACCUGCACGCACACACACUCGCACGCAUACACACACGCACGAACGCACACUCACACCCACACGCAUACCCACACACCCACACACACGCACAAAUGCACAAAACUACGUAAAUGAAUUAAAGAUAAGAAACAAUUACACUACUUGUGUUUAAAAAGACUUUUAAACCAUGUUCAUUUGACUUAAUAACAUUAAUUAAAUUAUAAUUUUUAUCAAUAUUGGUUGAAAAGUGUCAUUAGUGUGAUUAUUUCAAUAUAAUGCGAUUUUAUCCAAUUUUACAAAAAAAAAAAAAACAAGUCGAAUAUGGACUAGUAGAUUCACACUAUUCAUAAGAGAUAUAACAACGUUUUUAUGGGUCAAUUUAAAAAAUGGCAAAACUAUUUUUUUUUUUAAAUUUUAACAUAUAGCCUUAUUGCACGUGCAUGGUAAUUUAUAAAAUAUCAAAAUAUCCACUUUCUCCAACUGUAAUUAUUCCGUUUCUACGUUGUAAUAUAUUUAUGUUAUGCAUUUAUCAGCUUUUAAUUAUUUUUUACCUGAAAAAGAUACAUCAACCCAUGUCAUAACUUUUUUCUUAAUAUCUGAGACUCAACUAAUUGGUUCAAGUUUUUAUAACUUUAUACAAUCUUACUAUUUUCAAAAUAACCUAAUUGAAUUUGAAUUUUAAAAUAACCAAAUUGAAUUUCAAAAUAACAAAAUUAUUAUUUUUCAGAAUUUUAAAAUCGCAAAGAUAGAUUUUGUAUUAUAAUAAUCUUAAUUGAAUUUCAAAACUAAAAAGUAUCAACUUGUUCACCAUCUUUAUCUCAAAAUAACAUUAAUAGUUUGAAUAUAAAGAUAACUAAAUUAUUAUUUUAAAACUAGGAGAAAGUCUACAUUAAAAAAUAUCAACUUGUUUGCACACAAGCACAUGUGCACACCCACCCACACAUGCACACGCACAAAAUGUGCAUACACGCAAACAUGUACGCACGUGUACACACACGUACACACGCGCGACAACCACACACGAACAUACGCACAAACGCACACACAUACACGCACAUGCGCAUGCGCACGCACCCACACAAACUCACACACGCACAAAGAUGUGUAAAUGAAUUAAAAUUAAAAACAAUUACACUAAUUGUGUUUAUAAAGACUUCUAAACCAUGUUUAUUUGACUUAAGAACAUUAAUUAAAUUAUAAUUUCUAUCACUAUUGGUUUUAAAAUGUCAUUAGUGUAUUUAUUUCAAUAUAAUGCGGUCUUAUCCAAUUUUACCAACAAAAAAACAAGUCGAAUAUGGACUAGUAGAUUCACACUCUUUGUCAUAAGAGAUAUAACAACAUUUUUAUGGAUCAUUUUGAAAAAUGACAAACUACUUUUUCUUUUGAAUUUUAGCAAAUAGUAUUUUUUGCACGUGCACGAUAUUUUAUAAAAUACCAAAAUAUCCACAUUCUUCAACUGUAAUUAUUUUGUUUCUACGUUGUAAUUAAUUUAUGUUGUGUAUUUAUCAGCUUUUAAUUAUUUUUUACUUGAAAAAGAUACAUCAAUCCAUAUUGCCACAUCAAUCCAUACCAAAACGUUCCUAAGAAAGGAUCAUCUCACCCAUAACUUUAAAUUCUUCAAACACAAUGCAAUUAACUUAAAGCAGAACAAAACAAAACAAGAAAUCUAACCAACAAUAACAAAAAAAUAAACCUUAAGCCUUGAUCCUUGCAGUCCAUUGGGAGGUUCAGAACGGGACAUGAUCGAGAACAAUCGAUUCCGAGCUGCAGGUUUCAACAUCGACAAAGAAUUUCCAAGUAAAUGAAAAUUUUGGAAAUGGGUAGUGAAGAAAAAUAAGGUUGAGAGGAUUUUGUUUGGUGAGUGGGAAAAACUCUAGCCAGGGAAAGAGAAUGGAAGAAAUGGGGUUUAGUUUACACAGAUUUUUCUUAAUGAUUGUUGGAAGAACAAAGAGAUUGUGAGAAGGUUUAACGGCAACGACAAUGGCAGAAUGUUAAAUCCCCGAAAAGACUAAAUGGCCAAUUGAGAGAAGAAGGAAGAAAGAAAUUCUCUUUCAAGCUAGGGAAAAGACAGAGGAAUGGGAAUUGAAUUGUACGUUUGGUAUGGCUAUAUGCAAUUUUCUUGCUUCUUUAUGGAUAUGUUGUACAAAGAGUAGAACGAUGACAUGGUUCACUUUGUUUCUCUCUUUACAAAGUAACCAAUGACUUAAAAGAAAGACAUUGAACAACAAAUGACCAAUAGAAAACAAUAUACUCAAGAAACAAUAAAAAAAAUGCAGAAAUUAAAAAUGAAAUUGGAAGUAGGAAAAAAAUGGAAGGAAGAAAAAUACCCCAAAAGUUCUAAAUGCAAUAUGAUCAUAACAAACAUGUCUCACUGUGAACAAAUCGAACAAGCUCUAUAACGAAUUUUGUAGUGGGAUUCCGACUCAUAGAAGCCGGCUCAGGCUUGCACAACGAAUGACCAAUACAAAAUAAGAUCCAGUAAAAAGAAAGGCCCAACUAAAGUGAAAUUAGAAGACACACACGUCCUAUAUUAAGGUAGAGUCAAGGUAAUUUAGAAAAAUUCAUUACCGGACAACUACCUCAAAAUUACCCGAACUUAUAAACUAUACAAUUAUUUUUUCCUGAUGUUCCAAAACACUUGCCAACUGAAAUUUUCUUUUGACAAAUAUGCAAUGGGUUUCUUGAAAUUGAAUGCUCAAUCCAGAAAUUGAAAAUGAAAUUGGAAGUAGAAAAAAAAUGGAAGGAAGAAAAAUACCCCAACAGUUAUAAAUGCAAUGUGAACAUAACAAGUUGUAUCAUCAUGAACAAAUUGAACAAUCCCCAAAACAGAUUUUGCAAUGGGAUUCUGACUCCAAUAAAUUGCAUCCAUGUUGACCAAAACUUUCCGAACAAAGGAUUCAGCUUCCCAUCAACAUGCAUCACAAACCUAUAACUUUAAAUUCUUCAAAAACAAUGGAAUUAAAUCAAGGCAAAAAAAACACAACAAGAAUUCUAACCAACGAUAACAAAAAAAUCCACCUUAACCCUUAAUCAUUGUCGUCCAAUGGGAGGUUCAACAUUGGACAUGAUUGAGAACUAUUGGUUCCAGCCGCAAGUUUCGGCAUCGACAAAGAUUCUCCGAGGGAAAUGAAGAUUUUGGAAAUUGGUAGUGAAGAAAAAUAAGGUUGAAAGAAUUUUGUUUGGGGAGUUGACAAAAUUGUAAACCGAACCCCAUGUGUUUCAUUUUUCUCCUCAUGGCCAGAAUUUUGUCAACUCCCCAAACAAAAUCCUGGCCGAUGAGGAGAAAAAUGAAACACAUGGGUUCGUUUACAAUGAUUUUUCUUAAUGAUUGUUGGAAGAACAAAGAGAUUUAAGGGUAACAAAAAGAAUGGAAGAAUGUUAAAUCCCAAAGACUAAAUGGCCAAUUGAAUGCUUAAGGAAGUUUGAUUUGCCUGUUUUAGCAGUUUUCUUGCUUUUUUAUGUAAAUGUUGUAGAAAGAGUAGAACAAGGACAUAAUUCACUUUUUUUUCUCUUUACAAAGUAACCAAUGACUUAAAAGAAAGACAUUGCACACUAAAUGCCCAUUAGAAAACAAUAUACAUCGAAAAGAAUAAAAAAUAUGCAAAAAUUCAAAAUGAAAGUGCAAGCAGAACAAAACGGACUUGAUUCACCAUGAACAGAUAGAACAAGCUCCAAAACGGAUUUUGAGUAGAAUUCGUCUCAGAUUUGCAGUCUCCAGGUUUUCCAAAACGUUCCUAAGAAAGAAUCAGCACAACCCACAACUUUAAAUUCUUCAAAAACAAUGAAAUUAACUCAAAGCAGAAAAAAAAAAAAAGACAAAAACUCUAACCAAUGAUAACAAAAAAAUAAACCUUAACCUUUGAUCCUUGCAAUCCAUUUGCGGGUUCAGCACUGGACUUGAUCGAGAACAAUCAGCUCCCACCGCAGGUUUCUGCAUGGACGAUGAUUUUUCGAGGAAGGAAAUCAAAUUUUUGGAAAUGGGUAGUAAAGAAAAAUAAGGUUGAAAAGAUUUUGUUUGGAGAGUGGGCAAAAUUCUAGCUGGUGAGGAGAAAAGAAAAGACAUGGGGUUCAGAUUCGAGGGAUUUUUCUUAAUGAUUGUUGGAAGAACAAAGAGAUUGUGAGGAGAUUUAAGGUAUCGCCACGAAUGGCAAAAUGUUAAAUCACAAAAGACUAUUGUUUUCUUGCUUCUUUAUGGAAAUGUUGUAGAAAGAGUAGAACGAUGACAUAGUUCAUUUUGUUUUUCUAUUUACAAAAUAACCAUUGACUUAAAAGGAAAGAAUUUGCACCACAAAUGACCAUUAGAAAACAAUAUACAUAAGAAAGAAUAAAAAAUACGCAGAAAUUGAAAAUGAAAUUGAAAGUUGAAAAUAAAUGGAAGGAAGAAAAAUACUCCAAAAGUUCCAAAUGCAUUACGAUCAAGAGAAAUUUGUAUCAACAUGAACUGAUCAAAUAAGCUCCAAAAUGAUUUUGCAGUGGGAUUCCGACUCAGAUAAGCAGUCUCCAGUCUUGCCAAAACGUUCCUAACAAAGGAUCAUCACACCCAUAACUUUAAAUUCUUAAAAAACAAUGGAAUUGACUCAAAGCAGAACAAAACGAAAGAAAAACUCUAACCAACGAUAAGAAGAAAAUAAACCUUCACCCUUGAUCCUUCCAAUCCAUUUGCGGGUUCAGCACUGGACAUGAUCGAGAACAAUCAGUUUCCAGCUGUAGGUUUAGGCAUGGACGAAUAUCUUCCAAGAAGAAACGAAUUUUAGCAAAGUUUGAUCUACCUGUUAGCAGUGUUCUUGUUUUUGUACGGAAAUGUUGUAGAAAGAGUAGAACGAUGAAAUAAAUCACUUUGUUUUUCUCUUUACAAAGUAACCAAUGACUUAAGAAGAAGACAUUGCACAACAAAUGACCAAUAGAAAAUGAUACGCAAUAGAAAAUAAUAAAAAAGAAAACAAUAUGCAUUUUUGUUUUCAAAUUCUUGGUCAAAUCGCAAUUCAGAAAUGAAAUUUGGUUCAUUAUCGACGAUAAUAUGGUGAACUAAAUAACAUAAGUUUCAGAGUCAUGGGAGAAUAAUAGCCUUGCUAAUUGCUCAAACUCUGAAUGUGAAGGCUUUUCCCAUGUGAAGGAACCCAAAGAACCAGCAAAAGCAGCAUGCUUCUUCCCAAUGCAAGAACAUUCAGUGUAUCUUCUGAUUAUGUCCUGAAUGCAGUAGGAAAAAUGAUAUAAAGUUGUAAUUCAAGCUAAGGUUUUGUUGCAUAAACCAAAAACUUAGAUGGAUAAAACACAAAAUGCAUCCUGUUCCUACCUUAUGCCUACUACAUUGCUAACAAUACACUUACUGCACUCUCAGAGAAGGAACCAGAAAUGGUUCUUGAUGAUCUGUUAAAAUCUUUUGAUGAAAAUGUAAUUAGUGCAAAGAGCGUUGAUGAUUCUAAAACAGAGGCACCUCAUGCUAACUCGGAUGUGCAAUGCUUCUCUAAAGAUGAAAAAGUAAAUGAAGUUUCGAAAGAUGAUGAUUUUGUGGAGAUUUCUGCUGAGGAAAUCAAUGAAUCUGACAAAUCUUCUCUGCCUACUGAAGACUUGGAUGUUACUGAAGUUCACAAAUCGAGCAUUGCAGAAGAAUUUGGUAUGGAAUUUGAAUCUCAACAAAAUGAGUCUACCUGUGAAUUAGAACAUAAAAUUGAAGAAGAUGUUGAAGAAGAAAACACACGUGAAUAACUCUGCUGAAGAACUGUCUCUUCCCACGAAAAUGUGGAAGAAGAAACUGAAGUUGAUGGAGAUGAUGCCUUGAGCAGUGAUGAAGAAUCUUUGGAAGUGAAAGACGAUCAAGAUGAAAAUGAUCAGAUCCCACAACCGGAAAUGUAGCAUCAGAUGCUGACAUUGAAGGAGACAAGAAGGAAACAAAAAUGGAGAAAAGUUCUGUUCAAGCUGAAGAAGAUGAUACAAUUAUCAAUAAGUCCACGGAGGAGUUCCCUGAGAAUGUUUCUGAUGAUUUGGUUGAUGUCAAGAUCCAAUGGAAAAUGGAAGAAGAAACUCUUCCUAAAGACAUAAUUGUCGAAGCUAUCGACUCACAACCAGAAAUCCCAAAUGCCAUUGUUCAAUGUGAGGAAGCUUUGGUGGAAAUCACUAUCACAUCCUCCAACAACAAUGCAGUUCAAACAUUGGCAAACCAAUUCCCUAGGCCAACAAUAGAAGCCAAAUCUCCCGUUGAAGAACAAACCAUUAGUUUGCUAAUGGACAACCCAGAUGCUGAGGAAGAAGAAGCUGAAAAAGAACAGAACAAAGCAAAGUUCAUUCAGUUAGUGGUGAAGAAUGAUAAUACUAGCCUAAGGCAGCUGAGGAAGUUGUUCAAGGAAAAACUCCAACUUAACCAUAAGAAGAUGGAAAAUAAUAACAUCAACACAAAAGUUGUUGGAGGUGGCGUGAAAGUGAGAACUGCUUUACAACCAGUGCCGGAAAACAGAAUGACCGUGCAUUAAAAGUCUAGAAAGAGAGAGCAUUGUGCAUGGUUCAAACUGUGGUUUGCCUCACGUUAUUGAUUUUGUGUUUGUUUUAUUCUUUCCAUGAUGUAUUUUGAGAGGAGGGAAAAAUGAGGUAAAUGAUUAAUUUGUCUGAAUUUUUGUUCAUCAGUUCAAUAAUAAAAAUGCUAGUAGUUUGUGUUUUAAAAAAAACAAUACACUUACUGCAGCACCAAGAUACAGGUUGUAGCCAAAUUUCAGGAAAAAAAUAUAUAUUCAGAUUUUUGCAUAUCGAGAAUUUGGUGAAACGCACCUUGAGUUUAUUUACUCAACUAAUCCACGAGAAUUUGUGAUAUGAACUUGGCAGAGGUCAUUGACUCCAUCACCAUCAUCAGCAGCAUUAGAAAUGGAGGGAGGUGAAAAAAAUGCUUUCAACUUUUUGGCUGGAAUGAUAAUUCUUCUUUUGACCUAAGCGGCUGGCUUGGCUCCCUCUUUUUUUUUUGCUCCUCUCUAAAGGCUGCCAUGCGGGUGAAGAACUUUAAGUACCUACUAGGCGGGGGUCGGGUUUUGCUUAGGCAAGAAAAGCAGAGAGGAUCCCCACGAAAAAUCUGAAACGGGGGGAUCUCGGCGCGCAUUUUACUUGAUCUAAGCGGCUGGCUUGACUCCCUCUUUUUUAUCUCUCCUCUCUACGGCUGCCAUGCUUGGUGAAGAAAAAUCUAAGGACCUACUAGGCGGGAUCGGGUUUUGCUCAGGCAAGAAAAGCGGAGAGGAUCCCCACGAAAACUCUGAAACCGGGGGAUCUCGACACGCAUUUUACUUGACCUAAGCGGCUGGCUUGGCUCCCUCUUUUUUUCUCUCUCCCUCUCUACAGGCUGCCAUGCUGGGUGAAGAACUCUAAGGACCUACUAGGCGGGGUCGGGUUUUGCUUAGGCAAGAAAAGCGGAGAGGAUCCCGAAAACUCUGAAACCGGGGAUCUCGGCGCGCAUUUUACUUGAUCUAAGCGGUUGGCUUGGCUCCCUCUUUUUUUUUUCUCUCCUCUCACGGCCAUGCUUGGUGAAGAAAUCUAAGGACUACUAGGCGGAUCGGGUUUUGCUUAGGCAAGAAAAGCGGAGAGGAUCCCACGAAAACUCUAAAACUGGGGGAUCUCGGCGCGCAUUUUACUUGACCUAAAGCGGCUGGCUUGGCUCCCUCUUUUUUUUCUCUCUCCCUCUCUACGGCUGCAUGCAGGGUGAAAAACUCUAAGGACCUACUAGGCAGGGUCGGGUUUUGCUUAGGCAAGAAAAGCGGAGAGGAUCCCCACGAAAACUCUGAAACUGGGGGAUCUCGGCGCGCAUUUUACUUGACCUAAGCGGCUGGCUUGGUUCCCUCUUUUUUUUUCUCUCUCCCUCUCUACCGGCUGCCAUGCUGGGGAACUCUAGUGACCCACUAGGCGGGGGUCGGGUUUUGCAACCCUUAGCAGCUUGGUUGUAUUGUUUUGUUUUUAUCGGCUGUUCUGUUGGGUGAAGAACUCUAAGAACUUGCCGACUUUGCUUUCUACCUGACCUAACAAUCAUAUUUUGCUUUCAAACAAUCUUAUACAAAUGUGUAUGGCCAAAAGAGGGAUUUAAAAUUAAUAUAAAAAAGGCAUUAGAAUAUGGCAAAAAAGGGGAUUAAAUUGAGAUAAAAAAGAGAACCGCACAUAUUAUUAAGUACAUAAUUCACAACAUUCAGAAAAUGAACCAAGUGUUCUACUCAUUUCUAAGCUAUCAACAUAUGCAUUUUCAACAUGUGUAACAUAUUCAAAUAACAAAUACAAUCACAAAUCCGAGCUCCGUUCUCAUGCGUUAGGCAUACAUGCUUUUUUAUGCUAAAAGCGAAGUAGACAUGGUACUUAUUCUAAGCAUAGAGCAUUACAAAAGUUUCUAAAUUUUGACAUUUUUAGCAAAAUUUGCAAAAUGAAAAUUUCCCAAAGGACAUGGAAUGUGCAAGGCUACAACCCCACCCCCACUUAAAAAUAUGCAUUGUCUCAAAGCAUUUUAAGCAAGAUUCUACGGAUGGAAAAAAAGAAAAGAAAAAGGAGAACAGAAGACCUCCCUUGUAACCUAGUUUCUUCAUGGAAGCUUGCUUGCAAAGAUCCCAAGUUUGGUUAUAUUUCAUUUUCCUUUAUUCCUACAAAAAGAAAACAAGAAUUUCCAUCGAAUUUUAUUAAAAAGGUUAAACUAAAAAUUUUAGAAAAAUGUGCAGAAUUGUUUAAGCUCGGUUGCAUUUUCUAAGCAUCACUUGAAUUAUUAAAACGACCUAACAAAUAUUCAAUACAAGUUCGUAAUUCAUAACCUACCAAAAAGUUCAAAAGAUUGUUGUAGGUGUUCCACCAAACUUUUGUAAAUUACAUACAUCAAUAAACUUACUUCUUAUAAGGGGGGGGGAAGAAACUAUGUUUUAGGGACAGAUGGCUCUAAAGCACACAAACACUCUCCAUCUCACUCUCUAUCUGCCCUGUAUCUAAUUUAAUCCAGCAUUCAUUUGGGCAUUGUAGGUUCAUAUUAAAAAUAGUCAUUCAUGUCGUGAUGCAAAGGCCCUUUUUAUGUAUCUAGAACUAAAAUCACGAAAAUCAUCGUGGACAUGCAGCACAACAAACUGAAUAUCCAUGGGAAGCCUUUGCUAACAAAAUGGUUGACAAUAAUUACUCAGACAAGAGAGAAUGACUAUAAUUAAUUAACAGAAGUACAAAUCAAUAUAGGUGCACAACCACCAAGCCCCAACAAAAGGAACAAUAAACUUCAAUAACAAAGAAAGGUAGUAUCAGGACUAUCCUUACCUUGUUAUCGAAGAAGAUACCUUGGCUCUGGAAAGCCCGAUGCUCUGCCUUACAACAUUCAAUUACCUCAGUACUGUAGUGUUUCUUCAAAGUUUGGGAAUCUACCUAAAACAUAAAAAUAUAUAUUACAACUUGAAAACCUCCAUGUCAGAAACUUUACUUUAAUUAUCAAACCAGAUGCUAUGCAAGAAUUAGUUAGCAUAAACACAACAUAAAUAGUAAUGAUAUUCUUUGGGGUGGGGAUAAAAGCAUCUUUCAUCUUAGAAAUAAGCUUAGCAGUUAGCACUAACCUUUAUAUAAGAAGUUAACACCGGUUUGAUUACUUCAUAAACUUCAGCUACGAAAUCUGGUAAAGAGAAAGACCUAAUUCAUAAUGUUAAAGAGGAAAAGACCAAGUCAGAUUCCUUUAUUCAAACAGGUUAGUAUCACAUCUCCAAAGGAAAAAACUUACGGACCUCUACGACGAAUUUCCUUGAAUGAUGUAGCGCCACCUUGUUCUUGAAACACAGUUUCAUUUAUGCUGUGAAAAAUAAGAUUGAUAAAUAAAACUUUCGGCUACAAUUAGCCACAUAAACAUAAAGUUGUGACAGGAAAACAAAAGCUAACAGAUAAUUAACUAUACAGUUUGUAGGCAAAAUACCAAAUAGCCCAUAAUCAAGAUCACAACUGAAGCAAACAAUAAUGUGCAGUUUAUCAUUUCCAACCAAAUAAUUCAAUAACAAAUAAGGUCAAAUGGCCAAAUAAUAUGUCCUUUCACAUAAAUAUUUACUCCUGAAUUUUUUGAAGGAUAAUGUUAUCGCUUCUCUCCCACGUUUCACAAAAAUUCUUUUACAUAUUAUAUUUUUGAUGAAAUUACAGCAGGAGACCACCGUGAGGGAUUACCGACAGCGAUUUGAACAAUUUUCGGUCGCCUUAAAGAUAUGAGUGAUGCAGCCCUAGAAAGUAAGUUUGUGUGUGGGCUGAAGGAAGAGAUUCAAAGUGAGAUCUGAAAAUUGAAUUCAGUGGGCCUAGAGGCUAAAAUGUUAAUGGCCCAAAUAAUUGAGAAGAUGAUCGAGUGGUUCAAUUGAAGAGAAUUCAUGGGGCAAGUGGAAACACUAAUUUAUCAAUUAAAAUGUCAAAUAGUGGGCCAAGCAGGUCGAGAAGUCAAACUGGGUCAAAGGCCUCAGAUCGGGUCGCUACAUCACGAACGAUUACGAUUAACCCUAGCCGAAAUUCGUCGUACUCGUCCACGACGAUUACUUCAUCGCAAGAAUCGGGCGCGAAGAGUACGUUGUCUCAACCAUACCGUCGAAUGACUGACAACGAAGUGCGAAUUAAGAAGGAAAAAGGUUUGUGUUUUAGAUGUGACGAGAAGUUUAGUCUAGGGCACCGCUGCAAAAGACGUGAAUUGAACAUCAUUGUUGUACAAGAAGGGGAAGACUUAAGUGACAAAACCGAUCAAGUGGGGGAAGAAAUCGAAACCAACGGGAAUAAGGAAGUCAAUACAAAAAUAGUGAAUCUGUCGAUAAAUUCAUUGGUAGGUUUCAAUUCGCCGAAAACCAUAAAAAUUAAAGGAGAAAUAAGGGGACGUGAGGUUGUGGUGCUGAUCGAUGGGGAGCACGCACAAUUUUAUUGCAAAAGAGGUAGUCAAAGAGCUAAAAAUUUCAGUAGAAACCAUGGAUGCAUAUGGGGUUGUUCUGGGAACCAGAGGCCUAGUCCAAGCAACCAGUGUGUGUAAGGAUGUAAACCUGACAAUCGCAAAUUUAUCAAUCACUCACGAUUUCUCCUCUCUACACUCGGAAGUGCUGACGUUAUAUUAGGAGUUACUUGGUUGGAAAUGUUAGGGAAAGUAAUUUUUUAUUACAAGUUGUCGGAGAUGGAAUUCUCAUUGGAUGAAUGGUGGUAAUUCUUCAAGGGGAUACAAGUUUAGUAAGAUCCCAAGUGUCACUGAAAUCGAUAAUGAAAACCUUUGAGAAGGAAGAUCAAGGCGUGUCAAUCGAAUUAAGUGCAGUUGUACAGUGGGAGUGGGCGAAGCAAGGGAACACAUAGCAGACUACUUGAGUAAACUACAACCAGAAAUUCAAAAAGUUCUUCAGUCCUUUAGCGUUGUGUUUGAACCAAGCAAUCAAUUACCCCCACCUCGCGAUCAUGAUCAUGCUAUUGAAUUAGAACCAGGGGCUCGUGCAGUGAACGUGCGCCCGUAUCGUUAUCCCCAAUUUUAGAAAGAUGAGAUAGAGAAACUAGUUAAGGAAAUGCUGCUAGCCGGAAUAAUUCAGCCAAGCAAAAGUGCCUUUUCAGUGCUCCUUGUUAAGAAAAAGGAUGGUAGCUGGCAAUUUUGCGUUGAUUACGAGCACUGAAUCUUGCCACUAUACCAGAUAAGUAUCUGAUUCUUGUUGUUGAUGAACUGUUGGACAAAUUAUUUGGGGCAACCAUAUUCUCCAAAAUUGAUUUAAAGUUAGGUUAUCAGCAAAUUCGGGUGCGGGUAGCCGAUGUUCACAAAACAGCGUUUCGAACCCACGAGGGGCCCUAUGAAUUCCUUGUGAUGCUGUUUGGGUUGAAAUGCUCCGGCAACAUUCCAAUCAAUCAUGAGUGAUGUUCUUCGCCUAUAUUUACGCAAGUUUGUUUUGGUUUUCUUUGAUGACAUCUUAAUUUACAGCAAGUCCUUGGACGAGCAUUUGCACCAAUUGGCAAUGGUUUUGGAAACUCUAGUAGCUCAUCAACUGGUAGCCAACUUUAAAAAAUGCCAAUUUGCGGUUGACAAAAUUGAAUACUUGGGCCAUGUUAUUUCUUCAGAGGGGGUGGCAGCGGAUCCAACAAAAAUAGAAGCGAUGGUUAAAUGGCCAGCACCCAAGAACGUGAAGGAGCUAGGUGGGUUUUUUGGGGCUAACGGGGUAUUAUCGGAAAUUCGUUGCAAACUACGGUUCUAUUGGGCUGCCCCCUUGACACAACUGUUAAAAAAAGGUAACUUUAAGUGGAAUGAGACGACCGAGAACGCAUUUCAGCAGUUAAAAGUCAGCAAUGAUGUCUGUCCCGAUGCUAGGUAUUCCUGAUUUUUCACAAAGUUUUGUGCUGGAAACUGAUGCUUCGGGUGUGGGUAUUGGGGCUGUCCUAAUGCAAAAUCAACGACCAGUGGCCUUUUUCAGUCAAACUUUACCUAUUACCCAUAGGUUUAAGGAUGUUUAUGAACAGGAGCUUAUGGCAAUAGUGCUGGCUGUUCAAAAAUGGCGACCAUAUCUAUUGGGUAAACCUUUUGUGGUGCGUACAGAUCAGAAAAGUUUGAAGUUUCUUCUUGAACAACGGGCUAUCGGGGGAGAAUAUCAGAGAUGGAUCGCUAAACUAUUGGGGUAUGAUUUUGUGAUUGAGUACAAGAAAGGAUUGGAAAACAAAGCGGCCGAUGCCUUAUAGAGAUUACCACCGGUAUUUGAAUUGGGCCUCGUAAGUAUUGUGGGCGGGCUAAACCCUUCGGUUUUCAUCGAUCAAGUGGCUGGAAAUGAAUCUCUUAACAAUAUUCGAUUGUCUUUGAUAAAUGGACAGCCAGCUCCAGAUGGAUAUUUGCUACAAGGAGGAGGAUUCACCUGAUAUUACUUUAUUAUUAGCUAAGUUCCAUAACAGCCCGAUAGGGGGACAUCAUGGUGCAUUGAAAACAUAUCAAAGGCUAGCAAGGGAGGUCUAUUGGCGAGGUAUGAAAGCCAACCAGGUGCAUCUCCUGAUAAAUAUGCCAAUUUCUCUGAAAAGGAUGACCAUUUUUUAUUCUCGUGGCACUUUUUAAUAAAACUCCAGAGUACUGGAACUAACUCCAUUCUGUAUGCUAGAAUAGUCAUAAUUUUUUAUGUCCCACACCAAGUUGUACUUAAAAGAUCUUUUCAAAAAAAAUCUAUAGAGUUUUUUUUUUCUUUUUUAAAUGAAGUACAUGCAUGUUAUGUUUCUCGUUAUUGAGAAAACAUGACCUUUAAACCAUUACUAACGCCAUUAUAUCCAAACAGCAAGGUACACGAACCUAGUAAAGGAUGACACAUGCCACUUUGUCCAUUGGGUAGAGAGAGGUGUGAAAUGUGAAUGUCCGCCACAUUAAAGGAAGAGUAAGAAUUUGAGAGGAGAAACUCCAAUUGGGAUCAACACGUGGGCAACAACAUGGCUUCUUACCAACAUGAGAACUCAAAAGAGACAGCAGAUGUUCUAGAGAAGCCAAUGAACUCUUGGAAUGUGAAUCUGCACUUUCCUGCAAUAGUUUGAGUGUGAAUUAGUUCUCUGAAAACACAUGCAGAGGAUAAUCCACGGCAAAACAGAAUAUCUAUAAAAAAAUUCACUUGCAAGUAGAAGAAAAAGGAAGUACAUUUAUACCUUCCCUGUCAAAGUGAUAUCCCUAAUCAACGCAUAUGCAUUUCUUUCCAGGAAGUAACCAACAAUUUUACAAACCCAUGGGAGUUCAUGUUGUAAUAAGAAAAUAAUUGUGUCUAACAAUAGAGUUGCAGGUGUGUUAGAGUUCACAGGUGGAGCCAAAAGUUGAUUCCUCAAUUGGUUUCUAUCAAGAACAACAUCAAGUAAGAAUAAUUCAGAGGAAAAAUAAAGACAACUUAUCAUAUAUAUAAAUAAGAUUAGUUGAAUUCGUUAGCUGAAGGUAAAAAAACCUUUAUGUCAAUUAUAUAUAUCUGAACAAAAUCUAAGAAAUAUAUCACUUUUCAACAAAAGAAAUAUAUAUAUACAAUUAAAGGAUCACAGCAUAGAAAGCCAACAAAAUCAACAAUGAUAGAUAAACAUCUGUUCUUCCAUUCAAAACGUUAAAAAGGAUAAGUUUUUAAUAAGGAAUGUUGAAAUGGAAAAAACUAAUUACCUAUUAUGGUGUACAGUCUGGAUGCAAGCAUAUGCAAAUUUCUUAACUCUCUAAUCCACUAAGGCCUUGUUAAGUACAUAAUCCUUGCUAGCGAAAAUGCUCAACAUAUCCCCUAUAUAUGUAAGAGAGAGAAAGGUAAGAAAGUACUAACACUAAGAGAUAUGUGCUAUCAAUUAGAACACUUUAAGAUGAUAUUAUCAAUUAGAAAACCAAGCAUAAAGCAACAUAAGGGAAAAUAACAAACAAGGGCACCACAGUGGUUCAGAAACCAAUCAAUAUUUUCAUUUGUCACUUUUGUAAUAAUUUCCCAAGGGAAAAUCCUCAUAACAAGCCUCGUUUUCCCCCUACUAUGGAACGGGGAGGAUUCCUCCUCUUUUCAAAGCCCUCGUCAAACUCAAUGCUAAGUUUAGAACACUAAGAGUAGGUGGUUUGGUUUUGGUUAGGCCAAAAGUAAAGUUUUCUCCUAAAAGCUCUGAUAGUUAGGGAACUCAACACAUUCUACCUGACCGAACCAAGUUGGCUCUUUGUUUUUUUAUGGGAUUUUUCUAAUGUAUAUUGCAUGUGUUGUUUGUUUUUUUAUAGCUCUUCAUUGUCUAACCUUUUUACGUUUUGCAUUUGCAAGUCUCUCUUUUGUUUCUUUGGUAUGCAAUGUGGUAACAAGGUCUUGCUAGAACCGGUGGGCUAACCUUUCUAUGGUUCUAAACUUAGUUUCUAAGUUUGACUGCUCCCUUCGGAGUGACAACAAGCCUCGUUUUCCCCCUACUAUGGAACGAGGAGGAUUCCUCCUCUUUUCAAAGCCCUCGUCAAACUCAAUGCUAAGUUUGACUGCUCCCUUCGGAGUGACAACAAGCCUUGUUUUCCCCCUAAUGUGGAUCGGGGAGGAUUCCUCCUCUUUUCAAAGCCCUCAUCAAACUCGAUGCUAAGUUUAGAACGCUAAGAGUAGGUGGUUUGGUUUUGGUUAGGCCAAAAUUAAAGUUUUCUGCUAAAAGCUCUGAUAGUUAGGGAACUCAACACAUUCUACUUGACCGAACCAAGUUGGCUCUUUGCUUUUUUAUGGGAUUUUUCUAAUGUAUAUUGCAUGUGUUGUUUGUUUUUUUAUAGCUCUUCAUUGUCUAACCUUUUUACGUUUUGCAUUUGCAAGUCUCUCUUUUGUUUCUUUGGUAUGCAAUGUGGUAACAAGGUCUUGCUAGAACCGAUGGGCUAACCUUUCUAUGGUUCCACAUUUAAUUACUAAUUAAGUUUGAUUGCUCCCUUCGAAGUGACAAUAAGUUUUGUUAAUGUCGACCCUUUUCUAAAGGGAUUUAGUUCACUGUGGCUAGACAAGAGGCUUCUAACUCAUGUUUGACAAGAUAAACUUGUUAAAACCAUCCCAGUUUCUAAAGAGUGCCUCCUAUCCUUUGUUACUCUAUCUAGGCUAGGUUUGGACUAAGUGCGUCAUAGGUAAGUCACGACAAAGCAACAAAGGAAGACAAAGCUAGAAAAGUAUCCAUGCACUUAUUUAUUAUACAUGCAAUCAAGCAUUCACAACACACAUACCAUUUUCUCAAUCAUGCAUUCACAUCUCAAUAAGAAAUAGCUAAAAGGAGCUUAAAACAAAAAAGACAGCAGCUUAUGCUCAAAUUUCAACACAUAUACUCAUCAAAAUUCAGAAUUUCACAUCAUAAACCCGAGCUCAGUGCUCAAGGGUUGCCAAUCAUGCUUUUUAUGCAAGAUCUAAUUAAGCUAAGAAGGUAUAAUGCUCAUUAUUGUAUGGAAAGAAUUCUGAAAAAUUUUGAAACUUGGGCAAAAUUUGAACCCCUAAGUUUACACUAAACAUGCAAGCUAAGCAAGCUAUUACCCACACCCACUCAAAAAAUUGCUUUUUCUGUCCUAAAAGCUUUUGAAAAUCAAAGUAAAUGGAGAAAAAUAAGGGGGGAACUUUGGACUCGCCUGGAAGGAUCGACAUCCUUGACUUUGGUUUGAAGCUUGCAUGGAUAAACCUUUUCAUUCAUUUUUCAUUGAUUAUUCAUCCUUGUUCCUGAAAUCAAAGGAAAUUCUCUCAAUUUUAUAUAUUACUAAAAUUAGGAUACAUAUAAGUCUUAACUAGUCUCAUAGCACCCUCCAUUCAUCUUCCCCUACACUGGCUAUGGUAUCAAAAUGCUCAAUUAAGUAAUACGUCUACUAACGAACUUGAAAACAAAACAUCACACUAAAAAACACAAACAUCCCUUUAACCCAACAGAAGCAGCUCUUUUUACCCUUGCACUCACUAUCACAUUACUACAUGUUUGUCAACUGUCAAACUAACUCUUUUAAGUUAUUUAGUGUGACACUACAAAGUUAUGAACACCAUAAUCUUAAUUAAAACCUUUUAAUAAACAAAUGCCAAGUUACUACUCAACAAUGGCAAGGAAUUCAAAAAACAUGACAGCUAUCCUAAUUGGUUGAAAAUGAGAAAAAGAAAGUUAGAUAGACAACCUGUUUGGACUACAAAGCCAGCAUAUACGAUUCCUCAAAUUUGACCAUUCACUCUCCAUACUCCACAAGUCUUCAAGCACAUGAUGCUGCCUUCUUUCAGAUGAGCAACAUCAUUCCGAUCUUAACAGUCAGAAGAGCAAAUCAAAUCAAUCCUAGCAUAUUCACAAAUCACAACUAAAAAGUACAAACAUUACAAAAUAAAACAUGCAGCGAUAUCAACAAGCAUUCUGAUAAAUAAUUAGCAAUAAUUGACAUUACAAAAUAAAUAAAGAAAAAAAUCAUUGGAAAGAUCACUGCUUAAAUGAAAUUUGAAAUAUCCAAUAGUUUUGAUCGGUUACCGAGUUGUGAGAGUGGUCGGUUGAUAUUGCGUGCUUCCUUCAAGCGCUCCCCAGCUGCACCUGUUAGCUUCUGCCUCCGGAACCAGCUACUUAAACCAUCUGCCAGUCUCUGCAUAAUAAAAUGAUUAUGAGCCUAAAUUUUACAAGUACCAGUCCGUUGAAUAUAGAAACGUGAUACUCAUGCUUUUCCAUCCUAAACAACAGAACUAUCUGCACUUCGACUUACAAAUUCAUUGCCUUUUUCCGACAGUGCCCACAACUGUUAGUUGUUACAGGUAUACUUCUUUUAUUUAUUUAUUUAUUUAUACUAAAUUCAAUAAUACCAUAUUCCAGAUAUUAGCAACAUUAUUUUAGCAUUACCUUGGAUCGGGAUUCAACAACACAGGUAAAAAAAGCAGUAUGUGAUAGCGAACUCUUAGGAACGGUCGGUUAGAAGAGGGAGGCCUAGGUGGAAGCGGGCUCUUCAGGAUUUGGAAUCGAAAACCGAUCUGACGGUGGAGAAUUUUCUUUGGAAGACUUGGGUUUCCGAGGGGGUCUGCGACCCUUGAUUUCGGCACCGUUAAGGCUAGAAGAAGAAGAAAGUGGUGGAUCGACGAGAUGGGUAUCUCGCAAGAUAGAGUUUCUUAGCUGCUUCACGUUAGAGAGGAAGAGCGAAAUUUUGGAGGUAUAGGAAGAGCGAAACGGAAUUUGAGAGAUAGGAAAUCGCAGGGUUUGAGGAAGACGAAGAAGAGAAUGGGAGAUGAGAGGCAGAGUAAACCGAUCGAGAAGAAAAAGGGGAAAGAAAUUUGAAAUAAAAGAGACCGUUGAGGUUGAAGAAGAGGGAAAAAAAAUUGACCGUGGAGGAGAGUUAUUUAAUUUUUGGAUUAAAUAUUUUCUAUGAAAAUUAAAAAAGAAAAAGUUAAAAGGCAAAUAUUUUCUACUUUUUUUUAUUAUUUAUUCUAUGAAAAUUCAAUAAUAAAAAAGCAUCUAUAUUUGCUUUUGGUAUGGUUCACAUUUUUAUUUAUUUGACAAAAAUCUAACUAAAUUAUCAUUCAUUUUGACCUAAUAUUGCAAAUAUAAAUUUAUUUUUUGCAUCUUAACUACUCUUUGGCAUUUAUAAUAUCAUUGUUCCACACCUCAAUUUUUUUAUUGUUGUCAAAAAUAAACCUAAUCCAAAAUGAAUUAGCAAAUUAGGGAAUAAAUGUAAUCAUUGUUUUUGGGAGUUUGAGUUCGACCGUGAUUAUUGUUGAAUAAUUUUAUUUGGGAUGCAAGUUUUCACUUAGACAUGGACAUUUUGCUAUUUUAGCAAUUUAAAUUUAAAAUUUUCUUUUAUCAAAAGUAAAACUCUUGUUUUAAUGUUUUUCUGGCCAUCCCUUUUAAAUACAACUAAUGACAAAUGAAUAUAACAAUUAAGAAAUUCGUAGAUAUAUAACAACAUUUUAAACUAAUUGCUGCAGUUAUUUUAAAUCACAUAUGUCAUUCGCUUAUAAGACAUAAGAGUCUAUUAACGAUAUAAAUCUAUCACAAAUAUAUUUUGCUACAUUUACAAUUUUUAAAAGAUAUUGUUAUAUACUUAAUUAUUAUUCAUAAAAUUGCUAAUCCAUUAUACUUACCCUAAGUUAAAUGAAUAAUGUCAAAAUUAAGUUUACUACGAAGGUAAUUUGUGUGACCCUUUUAUCCUAAUGUAGGAAGUUUGUUCCACUCCAUACCAUUAUUGAACUAAGAAGAUUAAGUGUGUAUUAGUAUGUUUAAACAAGUAUAAUUAUAGCAAAUUCUAUGAGUGAUAUAUUUAUAUUAGCAAUACAAUAUGUGUUACAUAUGCAAAUAUUUUGUAUCUAAUCGUUGUAUUUGCAAUUAACUCCAUUAAAAUAUACAAAUAUAAACAGAACUCUUUAACCUGAGUUUAGCUAGGAUCACAAACUACAAAAAGAAAGUAUGGAAUAUGAUCACACGGUUUUUGUUGAUCAGUACAGCACCAACAGCAUAAUGCAAGGCAUCGGAUAAGUGAAACGAAUCAUGAUUCGUCUGAAAAUAAAAUUGAUCCCAACGGAGGUAGGGAAAGCCAACAGAAGACUGAAUCUGAUGGGAGAGGUCCCAAAUUUUUUAUCAUUCUUCUAAUGUUACCAUUGUUAAUUUACUUGUUGGUUUAUAUGCCAUUUCCAGAGCCUGAAUAUUCUUUGCAUAAAAAUCAAUCCUAUAGUAUUCCUAUGGUUACAGAGAAACAUGGCAUGAAAUUUUUUGUCAAAUCAUCAAAUUUUGAUGUAAGAUAUCCUCUUGGAAGCCCAGCUCGAGCUGAAAUAGAGAACAGUGUGAUAAGGGAUUAUCGAAACCUUCGCGUUAUUGUGACGUAGAACUCGCGUUAUUGUGACGUAGAACUCCAGAGACUCUAGUGGAAUAAAAAUCUCCCAACUCCUCACUGUGCAAAGCUGAAUAAUCUCGAGGUAGCAUAAGGUGAUAAAGGUAAAUGUGGUUCUCUUUCUUUUCUUAGAAAUGAUAUCCAGUUAUCUUUUUGGAGAUUAGUAUCCAUCUUCUGUUGCUUGUAACUUCACUUGUUAAUUUUAUAAACAAUGCAAGUUUGUUAUUUCUUGGUGGUCACAAAGUAAUUAAUUGCAUAAUUAUUAAUAUAUUACCCCCCAGCGUUAUGUUGGAUUAAAGUUUGAAAAGUAUAGUAAAUAUUAUAUUGUGAAAACUCCCACAUGCAUUAAGAAAGGAGCCGUUGACAGUUUAUGGAGAUGGCAAGCAAACCCGGAGUUUUCAAUACGUUUCUGAUCUGGUAAAAUAUAUACACAUUUAUUUAUUACCACUACAAAAUUAACGGACUGUUUCAUCUUAAUUUCGAAUUUAGCAAAUGUGAUUUUUAAAGAUAGGAUAUUAUAUAACUUUGUAAUUAAUUUAUUAUUGUGAUAUUGUUUAGAGUUUUACAUAAUAGUAAUAAUAAUAAACUGUCACAGGUGGAGGGGCUAAUGAAACUGAUGGAAGGCGAGCACGUGGGGCCUUUUAAUCUGGGCAACCCCGGCGAAUUCACUAUGCUCGAACUUGCUCAGGUCAGCUCUCUACUCCCCCAUUCUCACAUUUAUACUCCUAAACUAAUCUACUCUCUUUUAACAUUUAAAAUAUUUAGGUUUAAUCCUUUUUUUGGAACAUUUACUCAUCAACCCUAAUUGCUUUGCCCUCUAAGUUUCUUUCACGUAAAUAAUUAACUUCAUUCAUGAAACAUUUAAGUUGAGAUAAUUGGAUGGUUAAUUUGAAUCUUAUGAAAAAAUAAACUCUAACAAAAUCAUAAAAUUAAAAUGAAUAUAGGUAUGUAUAUUAUUUUUUUGUAAGUAAAAAAAAUAUGAUUUUAAAAUUAAUAAUAAGUUUGUAUUGGUGGGAGCUAUUUUAGCAUUUUAAGUAAAUUGACCAACCAAUUCAAACUAUUGAUAUUGGUUUUAGUUAUGUUACAAACACUUAUUUUCAAAUAGAGGAUAAUGAAUUAAAAUAUUUAUAAAAUAUAACAAAAUUUUACAUCAAUAGAUAAACACUAAUAGGUUUUCUUUCCAUAACAAUGUUUUAAACUUUUCUUGUCUCGUAGGUUUUUUCAAUAAAAUAUUUUGUUUUGUACAACCAAAACUGAAUUCAUGGAGAAGCAAAACUAAUUUUAAGAAUAGUCGACUUAGUUAUUAUCUAUAGAUCAAAACACUUUAUAAGGUUGCGUUUCUUUAUUUUCUAACAAGUUAAACUAUAGACUUAAAUUGUGAUAAAAAAGGACAUCCUAAUAAUUUAUAUGAUACAGUCUAUUUUAAAUAUAGAUCCUUAAUUCUAUUUUAUGAAGCUACCCAAAUGGUUCCAUAUCAACAAAAUAAUUGUUAUAUAUGUGUUCGCUUUUGUGCAGGUAGUGCAAGAGACAAUAGAUCCAAAUGCAAAGAUAGAGUUCAGACCGAACACGGAAGAUGACCCGCAUAAAAGAAAACCUGACAUUUCUAAAGCUAAGGACCUUCUUGGUUGGGAGCCCACCGUGUCCCUUCGAAAGGGCCUUCCCUUAUGGUUUCGGACUUUCGUCAACGCAUCUUCGGUGACUCGAAAGAUGACAUUUCCACUGCUGCCGUCCUCUCCACCACCACCACGGUCUAGUCCCUCCUUCUUAUCUCUUCUCAUACCUUUUAGAAUAAGAGAUCUCUCAAAUCACUUCCUCCCAAAGAAUAACAUUUGGUAGUUUGAAGAGAUGAGAGAAAAAAGAGGAGGGGAUCUUCCCAUCCAUCAAAACCUCUUUCUUUUCUCCCAAUUUUCACAUUUUUUAUUCCGUGGGCCUAAUUUACCUCUCUCUUCCUCUCCUGUUUUGUAUAUCUUUGCUCUAUUAUUUAUGAAACUCUCCUCUCUCUUUUUUAUUUCACUUAUUCCCAUAUACAUUAUAUUUAUACCUUUCUUUUUGUUAAAUUAUAAAUAUGAACUUUUGUAGUUAUAUAUAUAUAUGUUUGAUCAAUCUACCAUUCUUCUCGUUUCAUGAAUAUAUAAAAUUAUAAAAUUUUGAACAUGUAUAUCUCCAAGAUUUUAACUUCGUGUCUAUGUGAAAAGUUAUUUGUAACUAUUUGUGUACCAAAGAAAGAAAUGCAAUAACUAGUCUUGCUCGUUUGUUAAUUAGUUAUUGUCACCAAUAUGUGAUCAAUAUAUGUUAGUUAUAUAUAGUUUAUCAACAAUAAUUGACACGCCUUUCUUUUUUUAUGAUCAGUAGUUUAAAUCCACAUGUUUCUAGCUAUUUAUUACCUUAAACAAACUAUCAAACUGUUAUUGAAUGUUAGAAAUAAAUUUUGGUCUCCUUCGAUCUUCUUCCAUUUGCUCUUGAGAUCAUUAAUUAACAAUGAGUAAAGUUUCAUUUAGUUUAUUUUAAUAACUUUAAAGCAUGUAUGUCCUUAAGUUCAUUCAACUGUGUGAUUUUUGUUGAGUGUCAUGCUAAACAUAACUCAACUAUUUAAUAAUAUAUUCUUGAUCAUGAAUAGAACGAUUUAUGUUAUGAAUAUUUCAAUCUUGCGUUAUUGCAAUGUAAAGAACAUUCAACAACCAUAUAUCGUUUGCUUUAUCUUUCCAACGACAAUACAAUGCCAACGAAAGUCAUAAAUAAUUCAAUUUUAUUAUAGAUUAAAAUAAAAUUACGUAACAAAUGGAAACCAAUUAUGAAUGAACCAAAAGUUUAGCCCAUAAAAGUCUCAUUUUCUUUUGCACACACCAAUUUAUUGUGGAAAUUUUGUAGCAAAGUUUGUUAUGAAUUUGGUAUCCCAAACUAAAUUUCAAUUUAUAUUCAAGGAGUACUCUUCCCAAAGUUCAAUUAUCUUUCCAAAGUUUGCUUCCAUUACCAUACAACAAUAAUUGAUGUCUUUAACCUCUCUUUUCAUUUUCUUGUUAAUCUGGACGAUGACAUCGACAAGUUCAUGUCAGCUUGAUUUGAUUCGAAUACUUCUUGGUCCUGCUCACAUCUAUGGAAUGCUCUAUUGCACUAUUGAUGGGAGUGUGAUCUAUGGAGAGAUAACUCCAACAUUCCCGAGUGAGUUAAAAAAAAUUCUUACAGUUUAGUUUUCAUGUUACGCACGCUACUGUUUGUUUGAUCUCUUACUAAAAAAUGUUCUUUUUUUCUAAAUUAAAAAAAGAAAGAACGGUAAACGGUAAAAUUUUUAAUUAAUAUGGAAUGAACCAAUCUUAUAAAAUUAAUAAAAAUUUGAUGUUACAUAGCUUUAUCGCUUUAGUGUGUCCCUCCAUUGGUUUGUUUUUCAAUCAAAUGUUUUCUUUUCUCAUCGCUCAUUAUGACUAGAAAAGAAAAUCGUGUUAGGACUCAAACCAUUUUACAAUAGAUUAGUUUUACUUUUCAAAUUUUUCGUUGAUUUUUUUUGAAUUAAACCAUUCAACAUUAACACGGCAAUUAUAAUUAAGUCAACUAUUUUGAAUUCAUGCCAACUAAAGACAAAUAUGAAAUAAUUUUAAAAUUAUUAAAAUCACUACGUCGGAUAAAUUUUUUAAUAUCAAAUGUUGGUGUUAUUGUGUGUGUAUAUAAUAUAUGACAUGCAUGUUGAAGAUGCGGCGGUGCAAAUGCAAUGCAGAGCCGAAACGGUAGUUACGUCGGUUAAGACCGACGCCACUGGCAAUUUCUCCAUUUUUCUCGAUGCUCCUCGAUUGAUGCUCCUUUAUGUACUCACCAAUUGCACUCUCGUUGUCACUACGCCGCUUGUCGACUGCAACGCCGCCCUGCCAUCGUUCAGCACCCUCGUCUCGCCGCUGCAGCUCAUUGGAAAUACCUUCCAUGGACUCUUCAAUGUCACCAAUUUCAUUCCGGUAGGGUUCCGAUUCGUUCAUAGCAUUUGAGGAAAUUUCUUCUCUUGUUGCUGCUCUUACUUUUUAACUCACACUUGAAUAAACGAAGCACUUGAUCUCUAGAAUAAUGGUUUUUUGUGUUUGAUUUGAAAUAAUUUGAGGAUUUUUUUUGUUGUGAUGAUGAACAAUGAUGUUGCCAAUGUGUUUUUGAGCCAAUAGUUUGGUUGAAUUAAUAAUAUUUGAAGGCAGCUCAAAUCGCACAUAAAUGGUAACGAACAUAAUCAAAUGAGAUCGAGAUUUAUUAUACUUUUUCCUAUCUAAAUUUGGCCUAAAUAAUUUCGAAUACUCGAAAAUUAAAUGUAAAUACGAUUAGAUUAUUGUAAUAAAAUAUCCACAAACUUUGUUCUUAUUAGUUUAUAGAAAAUCAAUACAUCUUUUACUAUUUGGACGUUUUAUAAAUAUUGUUAGAAUAAAAAGUGAUAAAUUAUAGAGAUGUUUUAAAAAUAGUAAAAUAAAUUAAAAUAUUUACAUUUUCUUUCAUUAAAUUUGUUAUUUUUCACCAUUUCCGUGUAUUAUAAACAAACAUUUUUUAAAAACUUUUCUUAAUAUAAGAAAUACUAUUAUAUAUAUCACUACCUAAUAAAAAAAAAACUUAAUUUUAAAUUUUCAACAAAUCGUUAAAAAAUAGGAUAGUUGCAAAUUUAGCUAUUAUAUUCAAAUAAUUAAAUAUAUAGUAACUUUUUAAAAAAUUUACAAAUAUAACAAAAUUUGUCAAAUUCUAUCAAUGAUACAAGUCUAUCACUAAUAGACUAUAUUGUAAAUAUUGGUCUAUCACGGAUAGAUCAUACAAGUCUAUUAACGAUACAAGUUUAUUAACGAUACAAGUCUAUCAACGAUAGUUUUGCUAUAUUUGCAAUUUUUAAAAAAUAUUUUUAUAUCCUUAAUUUUUAUUCCUCAAAUGACUAUCUACUACAAUUACCCAAAAAAAACUCUUAAAAUUGUUCAAAGCUCAUUCCAAUAUACGGUGAGUUGGGUUUGAUUUUAAAAUGUUUAAUUUUAAAACAUAAAAAAAAUCAAUAAAAUUAAUGAAGUGAUUGGUAAAUUAAUUUUUUAAAUAUACUGAAAAAUGCUUUAGAAACACUCUCAACCUUUGUUUUUAACAUUUUCUAUCAAAUUUGUGGUAGUGUCAUUUGUUAAAGAGUUCGAUCACUUUGUUUCACAACUCUCGAAUUUAAAAAAAAAUUGUAACUAAAUAUGUCAUUGUCAAUUACCACAUAUUCACAAUUCACAUAAAAACGAUCUACUGUAUUGAGUUAUAAUAUCAUAUAUAUGGUUGAAGUAUUGAGUUAGACUAUCAUUUAGUUCAAAACGUUGUUGAAUAACUCAACUGAAGUAAAUGUGUGCAAGUCAUCAACGUCGUUUUAAUAACUCAAUUGGUUAAAUGUAUAAGCCAUUAACAUCAUUGUAUAUAUAGCUCGGUUGAUUAAAUAUAUAGACAAUAUACCGUAGAAACUUAAAGUAACAAACAAAUAUCAACAUAAAGUUUAAUCAAACGAAACAUCAACUAGCAAAAGCAUUACUACUACAACUAAAAUUAGCUUAUAGUUUGCACUCAUUAUAUCUUAGCUCAUUAAUUUACUUUUAAACAUUGGAACUUAGUUACUAUACAGUAUACAUACGUUGUUAGUUUAAAGAUAUAUAUAUAUUUUAUAAACUUUACAAAAUAUUAGUAAUAUGGUUGUAAAGAAGAUGAAUAUGUUUUCAACAUUUGAAAUGAAAAACUGAUUUAAAAAAACCAAUUAAGAAGAGUUAAACUACAAAUAUGACUAAUUUUAAAAUUUAAUAAAGACAACUAAUUUAAAUAUUUGAAAGCAAUAAAAAAUUAGUUAUUAUAUUGACAAAAAUUUGUAAUCUAUAUUUAAUUUUAUCUAUCGCUUGACCUUUUAGAUAAAUGGAUGAUUUAAAAUAUUUUAAUUAUAUAAUCAAUUGAAGUACGAAGUUAUUUAUGUCGAGAUGGUAAACAAAAUUGUGUUCGAUGAUGCAAACAAAUCUAUACACAGCCAUACCAUACAUAAAAUUACAUUUCAAUAAGUAACAUAUAAAUAAAAAAACAACUAACAAAAAUACUUCAUUUGUUAUAAUUUAUCAAGAAUUUAAUGGUGAAAAGAAAAUAUUUUAAAGAAAAUAACAUUUGAAAACAUUUAAUUUGUCGGUUAACAUUGACAUAAACGACUAUACUCUUAUGAUAAAGAUAGACACAAAGUACAACACAUCGUAAAUAUUUUAAUUUAUUUUAUUAUUUGUCAUCCAUAAAAUCUAAAAAAAAUUACAUUUUCAGUUAUUAGGUUUGGAUGAAUAUAUGUAUUUAGUCUAUGAAUUUUAAAAGCAAACCUUUUUAGUGAUUGAAUUUAUAAGAAUAUACUCAUUUGGUUGCUGAUUUUUUAAAAAGUAUAUUUUAAUAUUGAGUUGAUUUUUUAAAAAGUAUAUUUUAAUAUUGAGUUUUUUAAGAACGAACAUCAAAUAAAUAAAUAUAUUUUUAGUAUUGAGUUUUCUAAGAACUAACAUCAAAUAAAUUUAUAGUUUUAUUUUAAAUAAUUAUAUGACAUGUUAAAUUAGAGAUCAUACUUUUUAAAUUUUAAAUAUCAUGUAAUUAUUUAUAAAAAAUCAAACAUAAAAUACGAUUAGAUAAAAACUUUAUAUUUUAAACACAAAUGCUAAUUGAAAAUAUAUAUUUUAAAAAUUCAUUAAUAAAGUCGGUCGACUCUUACAAAUGUGAGGAUUAAAAAAUAUAAAAAAGAGAAUAUACGUGGCAUCAUAUGAGAGGCUGGUGGGAGAAAGGGUCUAAGCGGGAAAUAAAAAUUUAAAACUCAAUAAAUUUAUAUAAAACACGGCGGCGGCUUCACGAGGGCUUCACACUUCACUCCCAUGGAGGAAGCCAUUUCUCGAAUUCUCACAGAGCUCGAAGAAUUUCGCCAUUUCGACCACUCUACAACUCUCCAUUCCCAUCCUCCGCUCUCCCAAUCCGCUCUUUUCGACCUUCAAACUUUGUUAGACAACUCAAUUAGUACCGAUGAACAACAACCACUCGAUCGUCUCUACGAGGACCUCUCGGCUAAAUCCCUCUCUCCUUCCUCUCUUACUCGCGCCAUUGCUUCCGCCAUGGAUGAAUCUUCCACCUGUGUUUCGGUUUUAGCCUCUACAGUCUAUCUCUCUCUUCUUUUGGCCUCUAAUGCACCGGUCUUCACGCUUUUCAAUCCCAUGGAUUUCCUCUCGUUUCUCAGGUGUGUGAGGAGAUUCUUGAAGCAGCGACCACAGGGUCAACAGGACCAGGAUGAUUCUAAUAAGGAGUCUAGUGCUCCCAAAAGGAAGAGGACAGCCGGUUUUAAGGGUAAGGGUUUGCGGAAACGUCCGAGGCAGAGUUCUAGUGGCAGAUACGAUGAUGGUGAAUUGGAUGCAAGAGUUUUGUAUCCCGUACUUGAGAGGUUAGAGAUUUUAAUGAGUGUAAUUCAUUUGGAUCGAUUUCCGGAUAGUUUGAAAUCUUUGAUUGAAACUGUAAUUGAUAUUCCUGUUUUAGCACUUGAAAUAUGUACCAAUUUAAGUAUCUAUAGUAAGUUCACUGAUUUUUGUUCGCGGAUUUUGAGUGCUAUGUUGCGUCCUGAGGAUGGGGAUCUAUCGAAUACUGCUGUUGAGGUGAUUAAGUCUCUAUCACCAUUGAUUCUUAAUCAUAAAGAUCAGGCGCGAGCGUUUGCGCUAGAGUUUGUGACUAUUCAAAUAGGGAAGGUGGCAAAGGAAUCAGAUGGUGUUAAGAGUGCUCUAGUGAAUCUUCCAAGGUAUUUGGUUCAGAAGGCGCCUGAGAAAUCUGAGCCUCGUAGUUUAUUUCCAGGUUUUGGAGGUAUGUCUAUGGCGCUGAUACUUGGUGGUAUUUUUCUUAUUUUUAUUUGUACCAGUUAAUCCUGUGAGCCGCUGUAAUGAUAUGCACCCAACUGAACUUUACUUUAAGCUGUGGGCAGUUGUGAUCUCACCAAUCUACUUAAGCUCUUAACAUUGGAAAUAAUUGAUUAAGUUAUUAACAAAUAACAGUUUAUGUUAUCAUUGGAUCCCUCGUGGAUUGAUAUUUGGAUCUUGGGCCUUUGAUAGGAUAGCAUACGAUGUAAUUCCUUAUUUUUAGAGGAUGGAUAAUAUAGAUUUUUUAGCAAUAACCUAGUAUUUGAAUGGCUGAAAUGAAUUUGUCUAUUAUAUAAUGAAAACAACAGAAACCCACUGUUUUGAAAACUUCUAAGAUUUUUCUUUUGGUGUUCUAAUCUCAAGCUUCUUUUUUGUUCAGGAACACAGACUUCCUCGUCUGGUUGGUCUUCCAAAGGCUUUAGAAAUGAUGCUGGUGAGAUUAGUAGCUCUUGCUUUUGAUUUUUGACACCUUGCUGUAGAAUAGCUUCAAUGGUCAUUCAUAUCUUUUGCUUAUUUCUGUACCUGUCUCUCUCAACUUAUCCAAACUUGCUACACUUGAACAGACAUCCAAGCCAGUCAAAGGAGAAGAAGCCUUUUCACUGGGACUCGUGGACGCCAUAGAGAGGAGAAAACCAUGGAUUAUCAGUCUUCACAAGACCAACAAGUUAGAGUCUCUUGCUGAUGCUAGGGAAAUAUUUAAAUUUGCCAGGGCUCAAGUACGGAAACAGGCUCCAAAUCUCAAGCACCCACUGGUUUGCAUUGAUGUUGUUGAAACGGGUGUAGUCUCAGGUCCCCGUGCUGGACUUCAGAAGGUUGUAUUUCUAAGGCAGCUAUUUUUUCUCAAGUAAAAGAAAGAUCCAAGCAUGAAAUAACCUUCCUGAAUUUCUUUUUUAUGCUUAUGGCAGGAGAUUGAAGAUUUUCAAGUACUACUGCAUGCUGAUACCAGUAAAAGCUUGAUUCAUUUUUUUUUGCUCAGCGUGGAACAACAAAGGUGUGCGAUGAAGAUUUACUGAAAAAUAAAUGAUCGCUUAAAAUAAUCUUUAUUUCAGAACCUGAAGUUCAGGAUAUAGAAAAAACAACAUCCACUGUUAAUACAUUACGAGGUUAGUCUUUUCUCUUAUGUUGAUAUUUCUUCUUUUUUUUUCAAAAUAUGACAGGUACCUGGAGUUUCUGAUCUUGGGUUGACACCGAGACGUAUUAAUAAAGUUGCUGUUAUUGGUGGGGGAUUAAUGGGAUCUGGGAUAGCUACAGCAUUGAUUCUUAGCAACUAUCCUGUGAUUCUUAAAGAAGUAAAUGAAAAAUUUUUGGAGGCCGGGCUUGGCAGAGUCAAAGGUAAGCCUGGAAUUUACUACUGUUGAUUGUAUUCUUGUUAUAUUCUAUCUGGCUUGUGUUUGACCUGUCAUUGUAAACAUGUUAGCCAAUCUACAAAGCCGAGUCCGCAAGGGGACAAUGACUCCAGAAAAAUUUGAAAGAACCAUUUCCCUACUCAAGGGUGUCCUUGAUUAUGAAAGUUUCAAAGAUGUGGAUAUGGUGAUUGAGGUAAGUCCCACAUCUUACUUCACCCACAAAAAGUAGCAAUCGUUCAUGUCAAUUUGGUAUGCUUGUAACAGGCUGUUAUUGAGAACAUCUCCCUGAAGCAACAGAUCAUCGUUAGCCACUUAGCCAUUGAGUUUAUGCUUCUAAUGCAGUCCAGCACACGUCAUGCCACCAUACCCAUAGGCCAUAACCCCAAAACUUAAAUAAUUUAAUUUCAAAUAUUGAAUGCGUGGUUUGAACUACUUUGUAAGUGUUUUUAAACAUGUUGAAACUCAUUUCUUUGACAUUUUAUACAUAUUCUUUAACUAUUGGUUAGUUCUUCUCAAAGACUACAAGAACCAAAUGGACAGUCGAUUAGCAACUUUAGAAAGAGCUCCUCUAUAACAUUCAAAAGUAUGAAUCAACCCACGAAAAGUCAACGGCUGUUGAGGCAGUCGACAAGAUGCAAAAGUCAAUUAUCAGAAAAUGAGCUGUCAGGUUAUUUUCUAUUGUUUUUCUCCAUCUUCUCCUCUGAAAUGUCACUAACGCAUUUCAUAGAUGUCAAACUCCUCUCUUGCUCACCAUUGAAUGGCCAUUACCAACACCUCACAAAUUUCUUGUGAGAUUUCAGUUUUCAGAACGAAUCAAGAUCCUCAUCUUGGAAGCCGCCAAUCUCCUUUUAUCAGGCACGACUCUCAUUUUCCCUCCUUUUUCAUCUAUCGUUUAUAUAUACAUUGUUAACAUGAUGAUGAUGAUGAUGAUGAUGAUGAUGUUUACUCUGGCUUACGGUUGCGAAAUUUGAUUGUGGAAUUCUCUUUUUCAGACAGAGGCCAAAUUGCUUCAGCCGUAGGAUUUUCCCUCCUGGUAAGGGCCUUGAUUCUGAUUAUUGGUCCUAGUCCACUCGGCUUACUUCUUUUCCGCGGUAUGGAUAUAGCUAUUGUUGACGCUGAGAGAGAGCAACUCUUUUCAGGGACCACCCCCCCGACCCUUAUCGCACCUCUCGUAUGACCUCCUUAUGUGGGUUCCUUACCCUCUUCUUUCAGCUCCCAGCGCUACACACAUGUCGCCUACUCUCAGGAACCGGCUAGCCUUCAGACCAAGACCUUGCUUAUUCCACUUGGAGUAUCUUGGCCCACCGAUCCCAUGCCAUCGAAUGCGACCAUUCAACCGAACUAGGUCCGAUUGCGCCAUUAUAGCGGUGCUAAAAAGUUAUGAAAUCUUCGUCCAUUCUCUGGGUUAAUAUGGAUAGUCAUCUGGACCCCUUAUAAUUGGGCACCGCGGAGUGGGGACGCAUUCGAUAGCAUGCUCUCUGGCCGUAUGUAUUCGUUUUGCACGGUCGUGGGUAGUCGCUAGUUCGUCUUAGUAUGGGCCCAAACAUCCAUAUCUGAGUAUGCUAGCUGGUCACACAGGCAGUGCCUUCUUCUAUCUAACUGAACGGUAAACCGGGAGGGCGCUGCCCCUCCCUAACCCCUUUUUGGACACGAUGACAUAACCUCCCUUUUAAGUAAGCGGCCUAAGGCCUACCACUUACCUGAAAGGGCCGAAAGUUUGCCCCAGGCCCGAAGGUUGGAAUUGACCCCCCAGUCGCUUCAAAACCUGUACCUCCCGCUUGAUCUUCCUUUCUCAUGCCAUCCCCGGAUCCAGCGAGUGGGCCCAAAAGUUCAGACCCCUAGACUCCACCUUUUCGAUUAUCUCUGAGAUGGUCAGAGCCUCGGUGACACCCAUCCCAGUGGGACUCAAACUCCCUGAGACCGGCCUUCUUGGGUGGAUUCCUUAGAUGCCAUCCUCGGGUACUGCAAUGAGGAGUAUUGCUUCGGUACAAGUUUAGCGCGACAACUAAAUUGAGGGCAGUCGAAUGCUCAGUGCUUACUUACGAUAAUCGAGAAAUCGAGAAAAUCAAUGGGAUUUCUUUCUUUUGGGGAAAGCUCUUGAGUUCUGUAAGAGGAAACCGCCUCUAAGAAGCAGAAGAUUGUCUUUGUAUUGAGAGCAGCCCAAAAAGAAUUCGCAAAAUGGGCGUGUUUCCGCUCCGCUUUCCUACGCCUUUAUAUAAGGGGUCGGGACUCCUAAUCCUAGGCCUUGAUUCCAUUCCCCUUGGAGGAGAGGGAAAUAGGGACUAGAUCCCAGGGACAGGAUAAUCAGGACUCCUUAUUCCUAAAAGGGCCGAAGCACGUAAUCGCCGGCCGAUUCGCCGACAAAGACAAAGAAAAGAAGAAUUUCAGUCCGAUUCUAAGACAAAGCAAGCGAUUCUUAGCCUUAAGAUCCUUCGGAUCGGUAUCGCCUUUGCCUUCUUUAUCUGGGAAAUUGCCCUUCUUAGUAUAGGGAUUAGUAUAGGGCCGGGGAAUGAGAAGACCCAGGGAAAGAGGAGAAUCUAGACCUCUAGAUACCUACAUCCGAGGGGCCGAGAGGGACUAAUAGUGGCUCGGUAUCGGCUUUGCCUUUUCCUUCUUUAUCCGGGAAAGGAGAAUAGGGUAUGCGGGUCCGAUACCCCUUAAGCCGAUAGGCACACUAAUCCGAUUCCUCUUCCUCUGACUCCCGACGGGGUUGGGGGGAAAGCCUUAAUUCCAUAUUCUUCCUCUUAGUCUUCCUUCCGGCCGGCCAAGGAAGCGAUUGGCCGAGAAAGAAGAAGAAGGAAAGAACCGAUUCUUAGCCCUUGACCGAGUGAGUUGUCCUCUUUCCUACGCCUUUAUAUAAGGGGUUGGGACUCGUAAUCAGCCUUCUUCUAUAUAUUCUUUGCGCCUUUCAUUCUUCCUCUAAAAAUGACAUAAUAUCUAAAGAGGAUCAUAUUCUUUUUUUAUGCCUCCUUCUGCAGAACCUACUAGUAAGAGGCCGACGGAGCGGUUAAAGGAAAAGGUUCGCCUAUCCCCUUGUUCAUUGAGGGACUCCUAAUUUUUAAUAGAAUGAAUGACUUGCACUCCUUUCUUCUUUUCCGCAAUAUUCUUUGCUCCGAUCAUGAAAAGAGCCGUCCGGAGGACCAUCAAAGAAAGGUCCAAGGUCCGGAGUCCGCAGUCCGCAGGAUUUAUCCGUAGUCCGGAGGACUUUCCGUAAUUAACCGAACUUUGCGCCUUAGUUAGUCUUAUUCUGAAAGUAUUAUUCCGAAAAAAAGCUGUUAAAUAGCUUAAAUAAGCGGUUCAAUUCCCACUCCUAAAAUCAAAGCUCCAGAUGAGUUGACAAAGGUUCAAAGAAUGAUCGGAGUCUGCGCUUUCUUUCAUAACUGAGCCGAGAAUGAGGCUGGCAUAGUUGUCUCUCGCAUGCAAGGAGAUGCUGCUGCUGGAUGUCACGGUUCUGGGGCGCCAUGAUCCUUUUCUCUGGAACAAGAGAGGCGCAAAGAAUAUUGCGAGACAAAUGCCCAAAUAAAAUCAAAGAGGUAGGGACUUCAUCAAUCAUCGCUCAGUGAGCUAUUUAUUGCCGCCAAUAGCGCUUCGCUUGCACGCCAGCGCCACGCCUGGUAGAGCUAUCGCGCGCGGGCGAAGGAGAUGCAUUUUGAGUACUGGUAGUACUGGACAAGCUCAGAGGGAAUAAUCUCUUUCUUCUUUCUUCCUUUCUUUCCCAUGACGACUAGGAACAGGCAAAUUAAAAAAUUUCACUUCGAAUUCCGGACCUCAACAUCCUGCUGCUCAUGGUGUUUCACGAUCAGUAUUGGAAAUGAACGGAGAAGUGGUGGAACGUGCGGAACCCCAUAUUGGAUUACUCCAGUGCGGCACGAAGCCGCUGACGCCGAGUCGGCUCCUAUGCCGCUAGCUAUGCCCUGCUUGGUCCCUCGACACGGUGGAGGUUCCGUAGCGCGUCAUGAGCACCGGGCUAAGGGGCGGUUUUUCUACUCAAGCGAACCGCCCUACCUUACUACAACAUAGGGACAGAAGGGAGAAGGUUGUGAAGGUGGCCUCGUUAUCCACACCUCUGGUCGGAUGAAUGGAGGACCUCCAAGAAAAAAGCCUAGGGUUUGAAUGAGCGUUGGCGGGUCCUGGAGUGCCUGUCAAGGGCUCCCGCGCAUACCCCGGGGUGAUCAUCACCACCUGCACCUCACAUCUCGGCACAGUGGAACGUGUAACCCGCCUGCUGUCUCAUUCAACUACAUUUGUUCGUUCCUAUAAUCCAUAGCCUAAGAUCAGGCAGCAGCGAGGGGCAACCUGCCCAUACAGCCAGCGGGGAGGAUGGCACUACUGGCAAAGACCGUCUGGCGAAAACGCCGCAGGCGCGAAGCGUGGUAGGCCUGCGCCGGGGGGAGCAUAGCAUAGGCGGGAAAGGGAGCCCGGACGGUGGAAGAGCCAGGGGAGGCCGGGUCAUUUGACGGAAAUGGAAGGCUUUUCCCCUAUUUUCAAAGGCCUCAUUCAAGGUUAUGUCUGGUCGAAAGAUCUUUAUGGAAGUGCAUCAAUUCUUGGAAAAAGAGUGAAUGUCUAAUCUUUCUUUGGGUCCUCCGUUUUAGAGUCCUACGGAUAAAUCCUCGGACCAGUUCUUCCCGCUAUUUAUGGAUGUUCAUUGAUCCUUAAUAGAAAGCCGAGCCUUUAAUUCUUUGCACCCGUCCUCCGUCCUUAGUCGUUCUUUAUAUCCAUAUUAGCUUAGCUUUCUGCGCCUGAGGACGUCCGAAGGACUCUAAAAAGGAGCGUUCUAAUGGAAUUCAUAUUCCAAUAUUCUUUGCGCCUAAUCUCAUUCAUUCAAUAUUCUUUUCACCUUCGGUAAACUUUAGCGGAAUCCUUGAGUCCUCCGGACGGACCGGACCACUAUUUCUCAAAUUCUUUGAUCCUCUUGACUUGUCUUUCCUAUAAAAGAUAAGAAAGUCCAUUCAAUGAAUAGAUCUCUUUGAAAGGGUACGAGAGAGAGCGCUGCCUACACGCGAAUUAGCUUCCGAGGUCAAGCAGUCUCAAUAUUGAACUACAGGAUUGAUUUGCGAAUUCAUGCUGGGCUGGGCCACCUCGAAUGGCGUGAGCCGCAUGCGGGGAGACCCGCACGUACGGUUUUUAGGGGGAUCUGGUCGAAAGACCGGCGCCCACCCGACUAGAGGGACUGAGAAAUUAAUAGAGUACAAAACUUAUCUUCAAGCUUUACCUUAUUCUGAUCGUUCAGAGGGCGAUCGCGGAGUCACUGAAUGAAGUCCUCCCUUUCUUUCGGAGGUGCUGACCCGCAGCGAGGCAGAGAUGACUAAGUUACAUAUUCCAUAUGGCGACGACAACAGCAUGUCGUAGAAGGAGAUAAGAGGUGGAGCCAACGACCCACUAAGACUAACGUAUCUACAACUACAUCCCCGAGCGGCAGUCAAACGGAGGCGUGAAUGCAAGAUGCCAGCGGAAUGAUCGGUCGGACAGAGGCUAGGGCUGCUUUCUUCCCACCGCGUCCUUCCUUGUGUGUCGGAGAUAUAAAGCGAGUGCACCGGAAAAGAAGGGGAACUGGGUUGAUCUAUUCUAUGGCGAAGCAUCCGAAGCAUAACUGCACACUCACACGAUCUUUGCCGAGAGAUAGGAGCAUUCGGUGGAACCGGUGAACUACACUUGCUUCUGGAUAGAUGUGUGGGACAGAGGGCUCGUGGUACCUGCAGCCCACCCUUCCUCCUCUGCUUUGAGAACCGUAUGAACGGAGAGUGGGCAGAAGGGAAAGAGGUCCUCAUACGGAGUCGCACACUGACUUUUUCUGUGCGGGAGACUGGAGAAUGGGUCGAGUAAACUCCCCCGGGGCCGGCCGGCAAAAUCACAGACUCAGUGCUAUUUCUUUUUUCUUUAUUGAAUUUCAAAGGAGGCGCAAAGAAUAUUGCGAGGCAGAGGUAGUACUUCGAAUGGCGAAGAGAGGCGGCUCGGCAAAGAAGGAAUGGGAAAGAUUCUGACUUCUUUGUUGGCGAAACGAAGGGCUAAAUUGCGCCAUUCUCUGAGCCGGUCUGGAUUUCCAAUGCCUCGGGAAAGAGGUCGAUCUCGAUGACAAGACCUUUUUCUUCUUUAUUGGGUGCCUUCUUUUAGAAGUAGUCGGAAAGAGAAAGCCUAAAGAAGGAAUUGCAUGAAUGAUCGAGGAUUCAAGUUCCAUAAAUCAGUCCAAGGCUCAAAGAGGUUAAUAUGGAAGGUGAAAAGUGGUUUUCAAAGUCAGAGCUAUCCCUUAUUAUUGAGGGCUUUGACCACCUGGACACUCGCCUACUCAGUCGCAAGGAUCAAAGAAUUUGAUUGACAAAGAAUAUUGCGAUUUUACAGACUCAAGAGGAUCAUAGAAUUUGAGAAAUAGGCAGUCAUAAAGGCUCAGUUAAGCUUGAUAAAGGACUCCUUCGCCCAUCCAUAAACAUAAAUAAAUAGAGAGAGGCUCAAAGAAUUUGAGAAAGCCUACCAUAAAUCAGUUCGACUAUCCUGGGAAGUCGCGCUUUGCUUACCGGCUCAGGCUUCCAAAGGCGACCAGCUUGAAAUACCUUUUCUUACGUUACGCUGCCAUUGAUUUUUCCAAUCUCAUUGAAUAGCAUGGCCUGGGGUAACUUAAGUGGGAGAGCCGUGUUAUGGGUGACCUUAUUGCACGGUUCAGAGAGCACUUGUGUAUGUGAUGCAAGUGAACGUGUACGAAAAAGCUGUAGGAAAGUGAGUUCUUCGUUCCGUCGUCGACCCUAUCUAUGUUUCUACGAUGGCCCAAGAACACGCUCAUUCUUCAGCUGUAGAGAGACUUUUGAAUUGCGAGGUACCAUUACGAGCUCAAUAUAUACGAGUCUUAUUCCGUGAAAUCACUCGAAUUCAAAUUCAUUCACUUGCUUUAACUACUCAUGCUAUGAUGUGGGAGCAUCAACUCCGUUCCUGUGGGCUUUUGAGGAGCGGGAGAAAUUAUUUGAAUUCUAUGAAAGAGUCUCGGGAGCCAGGAUGCAUGCCAGUUUCAUACGACCAGGUGGAGUGGCACAAGAUCUGCCUCUUGGCUUAUGUCGAGAUAUUGAUUCCUUCACACAACAAUUUGCUUCUCGUAUCGACGAAUUAGAAGAGAUGUCAAUCGGCAACCGUAUCUGGAAACAACGAUUAGUGGAUAUUGGUACUGUCACUGCACAGCAAGCAAAGGAUUGGGGAUUCAGUGGUGUAAUGUUAAGAGGUCGUGCGACAUGAAGACAUUGAUAGCAAUAUGGGGGAAGUUCCCAUCAGGCAACAAGGGUUCUGCCUGACCCUACUUAAGCAUGCAUAUUAUGUCAGUGAAGACUUGGUGUGAAGCCUUGGAGCUUACGUUAGAAGAGCAAAAGGCCCGGGGCUAGGGUAAGCUGAGGGGGGACAGCGUAAGUGAGCGAAUGUGUGUAAGCCCAGUCAAAGAUGACUGUUCUAGGCGGGGCGGGCCACCCACCUGAGAAUGGUCUUGGUCCUACGGACCGUGAACGGAUUCGCCUCUGGCCUCUGGGUACGUCUCCACCGCAUAAGUUCACCGGGGUGGAGCACGGUCCGCCAAAAUCGGCAUAGGUUAGGUGCUAUUGAUGGAACAUGGUAAGCCUAUCUUUCUCCAUAUGGAAGUGCUGCGGGCACAUAGAGAUGUGGGUAGAGGAAGCCUCAAAAAGCGAAGGCCGAGCUGUAGGUCACGUGACCUGCACCGAGUUGGUGGCUGACUGGGCUUUUUCCUAGAUCAAAGCGGAGAAGCGAGCCUAUCCAAAAGUCGAUCCCAAAAACUUUAGGGUUCUUCUCGUGUAAUGGGCUUGCUUUGCGCAACUGCGCCCCACUUUAGGAAUUUGGUGUCCAUUUAAAGUCUAAUCUUUCACUCAAAUUUCAUUCAGCCUCAUCCAUUCAAUAUUCUUUUCACCUUCGGACUGUCCGAAGGACAGACGGGUCCUCCGGACCUGUGACGCCUUCGCACCUGGAAGUCGCUUCGCUUCGCGCCUCCUACAAUAUCCCUGUCUUAUGGAGCCGGAGGACGGACCAAAAAAUAGGCGAAGCGAGACAGAAAGAAAGCAUAGGAGGAAGAGCCAUAGGCGCAGCAGCUAGAAGAAAGCAUAGGAGGAAGAGCCAUAGGCGCAGCGCUUGUGAUUAGAAUCCCAGUCAAAAGAGAAAUCAGCCUUUUGCCUUGGGAAAGAGAGAACUAAUGAGAAUGAAACUGGAAGUCUGACUCACACUUGAGAAAUUCAUGUGUCUCGCAAAUGAGAGAGGAUGUAGUAGGUCCAUGAAUGAAUUGCCUUUUCUCCUAGGCUUUCCUUUCCAAUCCCUAUUUUUUUCUUUAUGAAUGAAAAAAGAAAGGCUGAAUGAAAUUUGAGUUUGCGCCUUCUGACUUUAUCAAGCUUAACACAUCUACAUUGAAUUAUAAGGCGCAAAGAAUAUUGCGAAGCGAAGAACAAAAAUCAGGCUCAAUGCAAGAAAGCAAAGAACUAAAAAGAAAGGUCCAGAUGCGUCACAGGUCCUCCGGACUGCGACUGAGGCGCAAUGAAAUAUGCGUUCAGGAUCAAUUCAAAGUUCAGCGGGAAGAACUGGUCCGAAGGACUAUCCAGAUUAACCCAAAGAAAGAUUGACCUAGAAAGAGAGGACCGUAGGAGGCUCAAAGAAUGAUCGGAGUAGGUGCAAAGGAUACUGCGAAGGCGCAAAGAGCUCAGAAUUUUCUCUUUUUAUCCACCCCAUAAAUCAAGUCCAAAAAAUAGGCGUCCUUCGGACUAGUUUUUUAGCAUCAAAAUUCAAUUCUCCCAACAUCGUUCGUCUUCAUGUCUUUCUGGGAGUCGAGGGCUCUUCACUUUCAUUCAGGUCUUUCCUUAUUCCCUUUUUGAAUGCAUGAGACAUGAAAAGAAAGAAAGCCUCAAGCAGAACCACAUUCCUUUUGCGUGCGGAUGUAGCUAAGUGUCUGACCCUUGUUUGUGAUUCCCUGCUGUUGCGGCCUAUCCUAGAAUGCGCGUGAACCAACCCAAGAAAGAAGGAAAGGAUGCCUCUCGGGGCAUCUGAGAAUGAUUAGAGCUGUAUGAAGGGAAACUCUCACGUACAGUUUCUUUUUUUUGGGGGGGGAAGGAGCCCGACAGGGUCCCCCCACUGACUUGGCCCGGGCCUAAGUGAAAGUGAAGUGGUGGGCCUACCCAUCCCAACCAGGGGUAUGCUGGGAUUUGCGAAGAGCAGCACCUUACGAUGUUCAUGACCAAUUGGAACUGACGUACCAGUAGGUACCGGAGGAGAUCGCUAUGAUCGUUUACUGUAUCCGUAUCGAGGAGAUGCGACAAAGUGUUCGGAUCAUUGUGCAAUGUCCUAAUCAAAUGCCUAGUGGGAUGAUCAAAGCCGAUGAUCGUAAGCUAUGUCCUCCAUCACGAUCUCGAAUGAAACUAUCCAUGGAAUCGUGUGCCGUGUGAAACGUAGAUCAUCGCCGUUCUUAACCGAGACUCAGGUUAAGCUCCGUCUCGGAACCUUGUGGGGUUAGAAGUAAAGCAUCCGGAGGUUGACGCAUCUCGUUGGGCGUGGAGAAACAUUGGGAACCAAAAUAGCUUUCUUCGGAGCCGUUUCUUCUCCUCCCCCCCCCGGCAUAGCGCUUCGCUUUCGGUGAUUCUUCCGAAUCAACUGACUUCUCCCUUCUUCAUUGAUCUGGGGGAAAAGGAACCGUCUACCUGUUGGGAAGCUAGACAUUCAGUAAGUGGCUUGAUGAGGAUAACUAAGCUGACACGCCGGAGUUGGCUGCUGGCACAACUGGGUGGUGCCUUACCGCACCGCAGGUUCACGCGCGGUAGCGUUCGUGGUGGUGCUUCAGGAUUCCAAUGUACUGCAUCCAAGAUCAGAACGAGCUUGCCGGCGGACCAUUGCCGUCCCAUUCUUGAGUGAGCUGGAGCGCAACCAUCUUAUCCACUGAACUAGCGUUAAGCUAUUGCUUCGGGUCGAAGCACUAAAAGAAAAGGACCAGGAAAGGCGGCGGUAUAGGAACCACGGGACCCCCCCCCACUAGUCUAUUAAAGGGAAAAGAGAAGUGCGCUCCUCUCCUGUAAGUAAAGCAGCUUCGCACCUCUCAAGAAAUAAGAAGAGCAGCUAAAAGGAAGGAAAGAUCGAAUUCAGAGAUCAUUCAACUCUCUUUCAUACUCUCUCUCUGUUCCGCUACGUGGGCUUCCUCUUUCUUGGUCGAGCUGCUGUCAAUAUUCUUUUCACCUGCGCACCUGCUUCAAAAGCCCUUUACCCUUUGAAUAAUAAGGUCAGCUUCAUAGUUCCAACCUAGAUAAGGCUUUUUUAUGCCCUUUUUUAGGUUGGGUUGCUGGAUACGGGAUCCUCGUAGUAGGCUUGACCAAGAUCCAGCCGAGAGAGGGCAGCCUUUAGAAGGAAGAGGUUGGGAAAGCAAGAGAAGGCUGAGCCUUUUCUUAUCUUUUUCCCUAGGCUCGCCCCUCUCCCUAUGAUCGAGUCUCUUCGCCCUCUCCUUACAGUCUCAAUCAAAUCCUUUGACCCUCUCCUUACAGAAAAAAAAGAGUGAUUUGGAUUAUUGACCCAAUGAGAAAGCACUAACAUCUUCCUCGUUGGGGCUUCGCGCACUGGGAAGAGGCUAAGGCGACGGGAAAUCGGCCGUCAGUCUGAGGAAGCCCACGGAGCGGUAUCGAGAGGGCUAUCACAGUCAGGUGGAAAUUACCCCGUACCCCUCUUUCAUUAUUAUGUUAGGGGGUUGAGGCGAGAAAUGGCUUGAUUCACCCUUCCGUUCGCCACGCACCGGCCCCAUUCACUUGCUUAUCGUAGAGGGACUUGCUGUUGCUGUUGAAGUAUACAGUGCCCUGCUGUUGCUGCUAUUGACGGACUUGCUUUGGGUGGAGGGUUAGAGGUCGCUAUUGUAUGUCUUAGAACUUCUUGUAGACAAUUAAAUCUUUAAAAUCAUUGUUUAAAAAUAUUUUAUAUUAUUUUGGUUUGUAGGCAUGCCAUGCACGAUUAUCAACCAAAACUGCACAGUUAGGAUUACCUGAACUUCAGCUUGGUUUAAUUCCAGGUUUUGGAGGUAUGUCUAUGGCGCUGAUACUUGGUGGUAUUUUUCUUAUUUUUAUUUGUACCAGUUAAUCCUGUGAGCCGCUUUUAUGUCUCUUUCUGGCCGUUUUUAUGUCUCUUUCUGUUGACUUUAUUAUUCUCUCAUUUAUGAUUUAACAUCUCAUAUGAAUUAUUAUGUGUAUCUUGCAUGGGAUAUUUUGCCACUUUGUGCCCAUAAAAAUCAACACUUGUCUUUCGGUGUAUAGGUCAUAAGUGGUCACUUUGGGUGGUAAGGACCGUUGCAUUUGAUCCAAGUAACAUGUGGUUUUGUACUGAUUCAGCAGAUUGUACAAUCAAGGUACUUAUUUUUAAAAUUAUUCAAUAUGAAUGAAUUCCAUUUUGGUCUGUCGAAGCGGGCCAUAUAUAGGUUCCAUCGUUUUUGCCCUUUGAUAACAAUCGUUAUCUUUGAGUUUUCUGCUCCUGAAAAUUGAAGUAUCAUUUAUUUAUGAUAAUUGUAGGAGCAUGUUUCUUCUUCCUAGAAUAGCGUGACACGAAAUAAAUGAUAGUAUGGUUGAUACGAGAUUUUUCUUCUAGGGCUAGUACAAUCCAUGAACUCUCUGGGCAUGAAACACCGUUUGCUCAUUUUAAUGGACCAAUUGUAUCCUUUUCUCCCUCUGAUCUUUCCUUCCGAUAUCUUGGUCAUAUUAGUUUCUUUCAAUAAAUUUUUUACUCGUGUGGUGUAGUUCUUUUAGAUAAUUUCCCUUUGAUUCUACAUAAGAACCUAUUUUCGUGCUUUUGUAAUUAUCAACUUUGUAUCAUUUCCUUUAGACUGGAGCAGUACAUCAGACAAUCAAAAUAAUUGAUAUUCCAAUAUUGUGUAUCUUUUGUGCUCAGUUCUCAGCAGAAGACUUAUCAAUAUAAUGUCUGUCAAUGAAGAGGGUGUUAUGGUGAUUGGAGGUGCUUUUUUUUGUUUGGGGAGUUGACAAAAUUGUAAACUGAACCCCAUGUGUUUCAUUUUUCUCCUCAUUGGCCAGAAUUUUGUCAACUCCCCAAACAAAAUCCUGGCCGAUGAGGAGAAAAAUGAAACACAUUGGGUUCGAUUUACAAUGAUUUUUCUUAAUGAUUGUUGGAAGAACAAAGAGAUUUAAGGGUAACAAAAAGAAUGGAAGAAUGUUAAAUCCCCAAAGACUAAAUGGCCAAUUGAAUGCUUAAGGAAGUUUGAUUUGCCUGUUUUAGCAGCUUUUUUAUGUAAAUGUUGUAGAAAGAGUAGAACAAGGACAUAAUUCUCUUUUUUUUCUCUUUACAAAGUAACCAAUGACUUAAAAGAAAGACAUUGCACACUAAAUGCCCAUUAGAAAACAAUAUACAUCGAAAAGAAUAAAAAAUAUGCAAAAAUUCAAAAUGAAAGUGCAAGCAGAACAAAACGGACUUGGUUCACCAUGAACAGAUAGAACAAGCUCCAAAACGGAUUUUGAGUAGAAUUCCGUCUCAGAUUUGCAGUCUCCAGGUUUUCCAAAACGUUCCUAAGAAAGAAUCAGCACAACCCACAACUUUAAAUUCUUCAAAAACAAUGAAAUUAACUCAAAGCAGAAAAAAAAAAAGACAAAAACUCUAACCAAUGAUAACAAAAAAAUAAACCUUAACCUUUGAUCCUUGCAAUCCAUUUGGGGGUUCAGCACUGGACUUGAUCGAGAACAAUCAGCUCCCACCGCAGGUUUCUGCAUGGACGAUGAUUUUUCGAGGAGGGAAAUCAAAUUUUUGGAAAUGGGUAGUAAAGAAAAAUAAGGUUGAAAAGAUUUUGUUUGGAGAGUGGGCAAAAUUCUAGCUGGUGAGGAGAAAAGAAAAGACAUGGGGUUCAGAUUCGAGGGAUUUUUCUUAAUGAUUGUUGGAAGAACAAAGAGAUUGUGAGGAGAUUUAAGGGUAUCGCCACGAAUGGCAAAAUGUUAAAUCACAAAAGACUAUUGUUUUCUUGCUUCUUUAUGGAAAUGUUGUAGAAAGAGUAGAACGAUGACAUGGUUCAUUUGUUUUUCUAUUUACAAAAUAACCAUUGACUUAAAAGGAAAGAAUUUGCACCACAAAUGACCAUUAGAAAACAAUAUACAUAAGAAAGAAUAAAAAAUACGCAGAAAUUGAAAAUGAAAUUGAAAGUUGAAAAUAAAUGGAAGGAAGAAAAAUACUCCAAAAGUUCCAAAUGCAUUACGAUCAAGAGAAAUUUGUAUCAACAUGAACUGAUCAAAUAAGCUCCAAAAUGAUUUUGCAGUGGGAUUCCGACUCAGAUAAGCAGUCUCCAGUCUUGCCAAAACGUUCCUAACAAAGGAUCAUCACACCCAUAACUUUAAAUUCUUAAAAAACAAUGGAAUUGACUCAAAGCAGAACAAAACGAAAGAAAAACUCUAACCAACGAUAAGAAGAAAAUAAACCUUCACCCUUGAUCCUUCCAAUCCAUUUGCGGGUUCAGCACUGGACAUGAUCGAGAACAAUCAGUUUCCAGCUGUAGGUUUAGGCAUGGACGAAUAUCUUCCAAGAAGGGAAACGAAUUUUAGCGAAGUUUGAUCUACCUGUUAGCAGUGUUCUUGUUUUUGUACGGAAAUGUUGUAGAAAGAGUAGAACGAUGAAAUAAAUCACUUUGUUUUUCUCUUUACAAAGUAACCAAUGACUUAAGACGAAGACAUUGCACAACAAAUGACCAAUAGAAAAUGAUACGCAAUAGAAAAGAAUAAAAAAGAAAACAAUAUGCAUUUUUGUUUUCAAAUUCUUGGUCAAAUCGCAAUUCAGAAAUGAAAUUUGGUUCAUUAUCGACGAUAAUAUGGUGAACUAAAUAACAUAAGUUUCAGAGUCAUGGGAGAAUAAUAACCUUGCUAAUUGCUCAAGCUCUGAAUGUGAAGGCUUUUCCCAUGUGAAGGAACCCAAAGAACCAGCAAAAGCAGCAUGCUUCUUCCCAAUGCAAGAACAUUCAGUGUAUCUUCUGAUUAUGUCCUGAAUGCAGUAGGAAAAAUGAUAUGAAGUUGUAAUUCAAGCUAAGGUUUUGUUGCAUAAACCAAAAACUUAGAUGGAUAAAACACAAAAUGCAUCAUGUUCCUACCUUAUGCCUACUACAUUGCUAACAAUACACUUACUGCACUCUCAGAGAAGGAACCAGAAAUGGUUCUUGAUGAUCUGUUAAAAUCUUUUGAUGAAAAUGUAAUUAGUGCAAAGAGCGUUGAUGAUUCUAAAACAGAGGCACCUCAUGCUAACUCGGAUGUGCAAUGCUUCUCUGAAGAUGAAAAAGUAAAUGAAGUUUCGAAAGAUGAUGAUUCUGUGGAGAUUUCUGCUGAGGAAAUCAAUGAAUCUGACAAAUCUUCUCUGCCUACUGAAGACUUGGAUGUUACUGAAGUUCACAAAUCGAGCAUUGCAGAAGAAUUUGGUAUGGAAUUUGAAUCUCAACAAAAUGAGUCUACCUGUGAAUUAGAACAUAAAAUUGAAGAAGAUGUUGAAGAAGAAAACACACGUGAAUAACUCUGCUGAAGAACUGUCUCUUCCCCACGAAAAUGUGGAAGAAGAAACUGAAGUUGAUGGAGAUGAUGCCUUGAGCAGUGAUGAAGAAUCUUUGGAAGUGAAAGACGAUCAAGAUGAAAAUGAUCAGAUCCCACAACCGGAAAUGUAGCAUCAGAUGCUGACAUUGAAGGAGACAAGAAGGAAACAAAAAUGGAGAAAAGUUCUGUUCAAGCUAAAGAAGAUGAUACAAUUAUCAAUAAGUCCACGGAGGAGUUCCCUGAGAAUGUUUCUGAUGAUUUGGUUGAUGUCAAGAUCCAAUGGAAAAUGGAAGAAGAAACUGUUCCUAAAGACAUAAUUGUCGAAGCUAUCGACUCACAACCAGAAAUCCCAAAUGCCAUUGUUCAAUGUGAGGAAGCUUUGGUGGAAAUCACUAUCACAUCCUCCAACAACAAUGCAGUUCAAUCAUUGGCAAACCAAUUCCCUAGGCCAACAAUAGAAGCCAAAUCUCCCGUUGAAGAACAAACCAUUAGUUUGCUAAUGGACAACCCAGAUGCUGAGGAAGAAGAAGCUGAAAAAGAACAGAACAAAGCAAAGUUCAUUCAGUUAGUGGUGAAGAAUGAUAAUACUAGCCUAAGGCAGCUGAGGAAGUUGUUCAAGGAAAAACUCCAACUUAACCAUAAGAAGAUGGAAAAUAAUAACAUCAACACAAAAGUUGUUGGAGGUGGCGUGAAAGUGAGAACUGCUUUACAACUAGUGCCGGAAAACAGAAUGACCGUGCAUUAAAAGUCUAGAAAGAGAGAGCAUUGUGCAUGGUUCAAACUGUGGUUUGCCUCACGUUAUUGAUUUUGUGUUUGUUUUAUUCUUUCCAUGAUGUAUUUUGAGAGGAGGGAAAAAUGAGGUAAAUGAUUAAUUUGUCUGAAUUUUUGUUCAUCAGUUCAAUAAUAAAAAUGCUAGUAGUUUGUGUUUUAAAAAAAACAAUACACUUACUGCAGCACCAAGAUACAGGUUGUAGCCAAAUUUCAGGAAAAAAAUAUAUAUUCAGAUUUUUGCAUAUCGAGAAUUUGGUGAAACGCACCUUGAGUUUAUUUACUCAACUAAUCCACGAGAAUUUGUGAUAUGAACACUCUUGGCAGAGGUCCAUUGACUCCAUCACCAUCAUCAGCAGCAUUAGAAAUGGAGGGAGGUGAAAACCAAAAUGCUUUCAACUUUUUGGCUGGGAAUGAUAAUUCUUCUUUUUUACCUAAGCGGCUGGCUUGGCUCCCUCUUUUUUUUUCUCGCUCCCUCUCUAAAGGUUGCCAUGCUGGGUGAAGAACUUUAAGUACCUACUAGGUGGGGGUCGGGUUUUGCUUAGGCAAGAAAAGCAGAGAGGAUCCCCACGAAAAAUCUGAAACCGGGGGGAUCUCGGCGCGCAUUUUACUUGAUCUAAGCGGCUGGCUUGGCUCCCUCUGUUUUAUCUCUCUCCCUCUCUACCGGCUGCCAUGCUUGGUGAAGAAAAAUCUAAGGACCUACUAGGCGGGAUCAGGUUUUGCUCAGGCAAGAAAAGCGGAGAGGAUCCCCACGAAAACUCUGAAACUGGGGGAUCUCGGCGCGCAUUUUACUUGACCUAAGCGGCUGGCUUGGCUCCCUCUUUUUUUUCUCUCUCCCUCUCUACCGGCUGCCAUGCUGGGUGAAGAACUCUAAGCACCUACUAGGCGGGAUCGGGUAUUGCUUAGGCAAGAAAAGCGGAGAGGAUCCCCACGAAACUCUGAAACCGAGGGAUCUCAGCGCACAUUUUACUUGACUUAAGCGGCUGGCUUGGCUCCCUCUUUUUUUUCUCGCUCCCUCUCACAGACUGCCAUGCUGGGUGAAGAACUCUAAGUACCUACUAGGCGGGGGUCGGGUUUUGCUUAGGCAGGAAAAGCGGAGAGGAUCCCCACGAAAACUCUGAAACCGGGGGAUCUCGGCGCGCAUUUUACUUGAUCUAAGCGGUUGGCUUGGCUCCCUCUUUUUUUCUCUCUCCCUCUCUACCGGCUGCCAUGCUUGGUGAAGAAAUCUAAGGACCUACUAGGCGGGAUCGGGUUUUGCUUAGGCAAGAAAAGCGGAGAGGAUCCCCACGAAAACUCUGAAACCGGGGGAUCUCGGCGCGCAUUUUACUUGACCUAAGCGGCUGGCUUGGCUCCCUCUUUUUUUCUCUCUCCCUCUCUACCGGCUGCCAUGCUGGGUGAAAAACUCUAAGGACCUACUAGGCAGGGUCGGGUUUUUCUUAGGCAAGAAAAGCGGAGAGGAUCCCCACGAAAACUCUGAAACCGGGGGAUCUCGGCGCACAUUUUACUUGACCUAAGCGGUUGGCUUGGUUCCCUUUUUUUUUUCUCUCUCCCUCUCUACCGGCUGCCAUGCUGGGGAACUCUAGUGACCCACUAGGCGGGGGUCGGGUUUUGCAACCCUUAGCAGCUUGGUCGUAUUGUUUUGUUUUUAUCGACUGUUCUGUUGGGUGAAGAACUCUAAGAACUUGCCGACUUUACUUUCUACCUGACCUAAAAUCAUAUUUUGCUUUCAAACAAUCUUAUACAAAUGUGUAUGGCCAAAAGAGGGAUUUAAAAUUAAUAUAAAAAAGGCAUUAGAAUAUGGCAAAAAAGGGAUUAAAUUGAGAUAAAAAAGAGAACCGCACAUAUUAUUAUGUACACAAUUCACAAUAUUCAGAAAAUGAACCAAGUGUUCUACUCAUUUCUAAGCUAUCAACAUAUGCAUUUUCAACAUGUGUAACAUAUUCAAAUAACAAAUACAAUCACAAAUCCGAGCUCCGUUCUCAUGCGUUAGGCAUACAUGCUUUUUUAUGCUAAAAAGCGAAGUAGACAUGGUACUUAUUCUAAGCAUAGAGCAUUACAAAAGUUUCUAAAUUUUGACAUUUUUAGCAAAAUUUGCAAAAUGAAAAUUUCCCAAAGGACAUGGAAUGUGCAAGGCUACAACCCCACCCCCCACUUAAAAAUAUGCAUUGUCCUCAAAGCAUUUUAAGCAAGAUUCUACGGAUGGAAAAAAAGAAAAGAAAAAGGAGAACAGAAGACCUCCCCUUGUAACCUAGUUUCUUCAUGGAAGCUUGCUUGCAAAGAUCCCAAGUUUGGUUAUAUUUCAUUUUCCUUUAUUCCUACAAAAGAAAACAAGAAUUUCCAUCGAAUUUUAUUAAAAAGGUUAAACUAAAAUUUUAGAAAAAUGUGCAGAAUUGUUUAAGCUCGGUUGCAUUUUCUAAGCAUCACUUGAAUUAUUAAAACGACCUAACAAAUAUUCAAUACAAGUUCGUAAUUCAUAACCUACCAAAAAGUUCAAAAAGAUUGUUGUAGGUGUUCCACCAAACCUUUUGUAAAUUACAUACAUCAAUAAACUUACUUCUUAUAAGGGGGGAAGAAACUAUGUUUUAGGGACAGAUGGCUCUAAAGCACACAAACACUCUCCAUCUCACUCUCUAUCUGCCCUGUAUCUAAUUUAAUCCAGCAUUCAUUUGGGGCAUUGUAGGUUCAUAUUAAAAAAUAGUCAUUCAUGUCGUGAUGCAAAGGCCCUUUUUAUGUAUCUAGAACUAAAAUCACGAAAAUCAUCGUGGACAUGCAGCACAACAAACUGAAUAUCCAUGGGAAGCCUUUGCUAACAAAAUGGUUGACAAUAAUUACUCAGACAAGAGAGAAUGACUAUAAUUAAUUAACAGAAGUACAAAUCAAUAUAGGUGCACAACCACCAAGCCCCCAACAAAAGGAACAAUAAACUUCAAUAACAAAAGAAAGGUAGUAUCAGGACUAUCCUUACCUUGUUAUCGAAGAAGAUACCUUGGCUCUGGAAAGCCCGAUGCUCUGCCUUACAACAUUCAAUUACCUCAGUACUGUAGUGUUUCUUCAAAGUUUGGGAAUCUACCUAAAACAUAAAAAUAUAUAUUACAACUUGAAAACCUCCAUGUCAGAAACUUUACUUUAAUUAUCAAACCAGAUGCUAUGCAAGAAUUAGUUAGCAGAAACACAACAUAAAUAGUAAUGAUAUUCUUUGGGGUGGGGAUAAAAGCAUCUUUCAUCUUAGAAAUAAGCUUAGCAGUUAGCACUAACCUUUAUAUAAGAAGUUAACACCAGUUUGAUUACUUCAUAAACUUCAGCUACGAAAUCUGGUAAAGAGAAAGACCUAAUUCAUAAUGUUAAAGAGGAAAAGACCAAGUCAGAUUCCUUUAUUCAAACAGGUUAGUAUCACAUCUCCAAAGGAAAAAACUUACGGACCUCUACGACGAAUUUCCUUGAAUGAUGUAGCGCCACCUUGUUCUUGAAACACAGUUUCAUUUAUGCUGUGAAAAAUAAGAUUGAAAAAUAAAACUUUCGGCUACAAUUAGCCACAUAAACAUAAAGUUGUGACAGGAAAACAAAAGCUAACAGAUAAUUAACUAUACACUUUGUAGGCAAAAUACCAAAUAGUGUGCGGUUUAUCAUUUCCAACCAAAUAAUUCAAUAACAAAUAAGGUCAAAUGGCCAAAUAAUAUGUCCUUUCACAUAAAUAUUUACUCCUGAAUUUUUUGAAGGAUAAUGUUAUCGCUUCUCUCCCACGUUUCACAAAAAUUCUUUUACAUAUUAUAUUUUUGUUACAUAUUCCUAUUGAAGAAUCUCAUUUGAGCAUUUUGUGGUCAAUUUGACUUGAAAGGAACGGCAGAACUUUCAAUAAGAAAGAAGCAAGAUGCCCAGUUUUUUUGAACUGCUGUUUUUCUCUUCUUUUUUUUUCUUUAACUUGCUAUAAAUUGGAGAUGUUUUCCAUAACUACUUUGGCUUAUGUAAUUUACCUUCUCCCUAAAUGCAACCAUAAAUCAAACAAACUAGAUGAAUAAAUUUACACCACAGAAAUCCAUCCUAUGAAGACUAGAGCAGAGAAAGAUGGGAUAAGGAUAAAGCAUAGGAAGAGCAAAUACCCGAUGGGAAGUAAACUGAUAAAAAAUACUUUGUGUUGAGAGUAAUAUAUCCCGAACCAAUUUUCUGCCAGCCAUUAAGAUUUACCCACUGCAACUCUGCACACAAAUAUUUUCUUAUAAACAAUAAUUAACACAAUCUAAUUGGUAUCUUAUGGAUAUAAAAGACAGCAUGGAUCCAUAUUGGAAGGAUUUCAAAUUAGUCUACGAACAAAGAUUUUGGAAGGAUUUCAAAUUAGUCUACGAACAAAGAAUUUGGAAGGAUUUGUGAUCAACUAAGGAGCUCUCGACUUUCUCCGCUGGAAUUUACCUUCUUGGGUAAUUCGACCAGAGACUGGAAGUAGUUGUGCUCUUCGUCCAUAGUAGUCAUCCAACCAGCAAGGGAAAGACCACGACGCGCAGUGGAAUAGGAAAAAGAGCGUUGAGCACAACUUUCGUGUCACCAGCAAUCGUUUUUCCAUUAUUGGUAGACCGAAAAGGCUUUGUCAAGCAGGCAGGCAUGAUUGUCACUCGAUCAACAAUUGAGAAAUCCGGCGCUGUUAGGGCGAUUUUGAGGAAGACGAAGAAGAUAAGAGAAGGGGAGAGGACGAGAAAGUAGAGAGAGAGAGAGCCGUUAGAGAAGAAGUAGGGGAUGAAAUUUGAAACGUGAGUGAGAGAGAAGGGGAGAUGAGGGAUUAAAAUAUAUUUGAAAUAUUUGUGAUAAAACCCAUUUAAAACCCAAAACAAUUUCUUUAUAACUAAAACAAAUAUUUUGUUUUUAAAAUUUAGACUAAACAAAUCAAACUUUACGAGAUAAAAUUUUCAGUAACGAUAAAGCAAAAAAUAUAUAUUUUGUUUUUCAAAUAAUUAUAAUCCAAAAUUUUCAAGAAAUGUGAAAUUUCAUUUAAUAAGAUAAAAAAAUUGUGAACAUUAGUUUCCAACUUUGGCAAUGGAUGAAAGUAUUAGAAAUUGAAAAUAAUUGUUAGACAUGCAUUUUAGCCGUCACCACAAACCAAUCCAAUUUUUCAUUCAAAAAUGUUGAAUUUAUAAUUAAUGGUUCUCGAAACAUUCAUACAAUUUUUUUUUUAAAUUUAACUUACUCAAUUUGAGUUUUCUUACGAUGUUCAUGUCGAUAUUAUACGAAAAAUUGUCUUAAAUGAUAAAAUUGCUGAAGAUAUUCACAAAUAUAACAAAGUUACCGUCUGUUAGUUAGUGAUAGAACAUGUACUAGUGGUCUAUCAAUUAUCUUCUAUGGUUUUAGUUUAGUGGUUAUUUAUCAAGCUCUUAAUAAAUUAAAUAGUGAUUUAACAAAUAUAAUGUAAAAGAAUAUUCCAAGAAUAACCUUGGAGUAUCACUUGAAUUUUCAAAACGACCUAACAAUGCUAAACUAUAAGCUCAUAACUCAUAACCUAUCAAAAAAAAGUACAGAUAAAGCAAAAAAACUAUUUAAAUCUUGAAAAAUGAAAUAUGAGAAAAAAAAUGAAACGAGAAGAAAUAAAUUUUAAAGUAUAUGUAAAUUUUAGAUAUUAAGUAAAAAAGAGAAUAUGUAAGUUGAUUUUUAAUCGGUAAGAAUAUGGAUGUCUAGAAACAAAUUUUUAAUUUUUUAAAAGUUGAUUGAUAAUUAUUUGAUUUCUUUAAAUUCAACAACAACAUAAAAUUCGAUAAGAGAAGGUUGUCACAUGCUUGAGUAUGUGUUGAAUCAAAUGUGGACUCUCGGGCAAGGGUGUAUCUUGGCCAUAUAAUUUCGGGCAAGGGUGUAGAGGUUGAUUCCGAGAAAAUUAGAUCUAUCAAAGAAUGGCCCGUGCCCACUAAUGUCCGUGAAGUUCAUGGAUUUCUUGGGUUGACAGGAUAUUAUCGAAGAUUUGUAAUGAAUUAUGGAAGUAUGGCUGCUCCUUUGACUCAAUUAUUGAAGAAAGGAGCAUAUGAAUGGACUGUUGCAGCUGCUGAAGCUUUUGAGAAUUUAAAGAUGGCUAUGAUGACUCUCCCAAUCUUAGCACUGCCAGAUUUUUCCUUACCAUUUGAAAUAGAGACCGAUGCUUCUGGAUACAGGGUAGGUGCUGUCUUAAUUCAAAAUCAUCGGCCAAUUUCUUAUUUUGAGCCAGACAUUAGCUAUGAGGGAUCGUGCUAAACCAGUUUAUGAACGGGAAUUAAUGGCUGUAGUUUUGGCUGUGCAACGCUGUAGACCUUAUCUUUUGGGCAAGAGGUUUGUAGUGAAAACUGAUCAACGAUCAUUGAAACUUUUAUUGGAACAAAGGGUUAUCCAACCUCAACAUCAGAGGUGGAUUGCUAAGCUUCUUGGCUACAAUUUUGAUGUCGUGUAUAAACCGGGACUAGAAAACAAAGCAGCAGAUGCCUUGUCUCGUGUCCCUCCUACUGCCCAACUUAAUCAACUUACUGUUGAGAUCAGUUAAAUUGGCAGUCCCCAACACUGAAGUUGACCCUAAAUUAGUCCCAGAAAUUAAUGGGAUGGAUCUGAAUGUCUUGUUCAAUGAUGAAGAUAUUCUCCCUAUUAAAAUUCCCCUGGAUUUGCCUAAAGAUUUAGUGUCUAUAGUCGGUGAUUGUGGAAUCAUUCUGGCUUAAAUUAGAUGUGCAACUGCCAUUUCCCUCUCCCAGUCAUUAUUAAGGUUGUCUCCUGGAACACUAAGGGUUUGAACGACUCCUCUAAACGUGCAGCACUUCAAAAAUUCAUCAACAAUUGUAGUCAUGAUUCAAGAAUCUAAGAAGGACACCUUGAACUCGGCUUUUAUAAAAUCAUUGUGGAGUUCUAAGGAUAUUGGCUGGGAUUAUGUGGCAUCUGUUGGAUCUUCUGGGGGAAUUCUUACCAUGUGGGACAGCAGUAAAAUAUCUGUAACAGAGGUCAUUAAAAGACACUUCUCUUUGUCAAUCAAAUGCCUCACUUUGUGCAAAAAGGUUUGCUGGAUCACAAAUGUCUAUGGCCCUUGUGGUUGCAGAGAAAGGAAAUUGGUUUGGCCCGAAUUGUCUUCCUUGGCUGAUUAUUGUUCGGUGGCCUUGUGCAUAGGUGGGGAUUUUAAUAUCACUCGUUGGGCCCGGGAAAGAUUUCCUUUUGGCAGAAGUACUAGAGGAAUGUCAUUAUUCAAUAACAUUACUAUCAUGUUUGUCAACUAUCAAACUAACUCUUUUAAGUUAUUUAGUGUGACACUACAAAGUUAUGAACACCAUAAUCUUAAUUAAAACCUUUUAAUAAACAAAUGCCAAGUUACUACUCAACAAUGGCAAGGAAUUCAAAAAACAUGACAGCUAUCCUAAUUGGUUGAAAAUGAGAAAAAGAAAGUUAGCCAGACAACCUGUUUGGACUACAAAGCCAGCAGAUACGAUUCCUCAAAUUUGACCAUUCACUCUCCAUACUCUACAAGUCUUCAAGCACAUGAUGCUGCCUUCUUUCAGAUGAGCAACAUCAUUCCGAUCUUAACAGUCAGAAGAGCAAGUCAAAUCAAUCCUAGCAUAUUCACAAAUCACAACUAAAAAGUAUAAACAUUACAAAAUAAAACAUGCAGCGAUAUCAACAAGCAUUCUGAUAAAUAAUUAGCCAAUUAAUUGACAUUACAAAAUAAAUAAAGAAAAAAAUCAUUGGAAAGAUCACUGCUUAAAUGAAAUUUGAAAUAUCUCCCAAUAGUUUUGAUCGGCUACCCGAGUUGUGAGAGUGAUCGGUUGAUAUUGCGUGCUUCCUUCAAGCGCUCCCCAGCUGCACCUGUUAGCUUCUGCCUCCGGAACCAGGUAAAUCAAUAAGAUUUAUUCUACUUGUUUUAAAGCUACUUAAACCAUCUGUCAGUCUCUGCACAAUAAAGUACUAGUCAGAAAUGUACCUUGUCUCAUACUGAGUUACUUUUUCACAUGAUUUUUGCUAGCAGGAUAAAUUAGUUUAAGCUCUAGAAGGAACCAACUUAUCCCCUUAAGGGAAACCAAAACAAAUAAUUAAGAAUAAUGAGGAUAUGAAGUGGUCCUCGAGAGUAACCAGUUACAAACCUAAUGAAAAAGCAAGAUACAAUUGUUAUAUUUCUGAAGUUCAGUUUUUCUUUAAGCCAACUUGAGACAAGAAGUAACCAACUGAUGUGUAAUGNNNNNNNNNNNNNNNNNNNNNNNNNNNNNNNNNNNNNNNNNNNNNNNNNNNNNNNNNNNNNNNNNNNNNNNNNNNNNNNNNNNNNNNNNNNNNNNNNNNNNNNNNNNNNNNNNNNNNNNNNNNNNNNNNNNNNNNNNNNNNNNNNNNNNNNNNNNNNNNNNNNNNNNNNNNNNNNNNNNNNNNNNNNNNNNNNNNNNNNNNNNNNNNNNNNNNNNNNNNNNNNNNNNNNNNNNNNNNNNNNNNNNNNNNNNNNNNNNNNNNNNNNNNNNNNNNNNNNNNNNNNNNNNNNNNNNNNNNNNNNNNNNNNNNNNNNNNNNNNNNNNNNNNNNNNNNNNNNNNNNNNNNNNNNNNNNNNNNNNNNNNNNNNNNNNNNNNNNNNNNNNNNNNNNNNNNNNNNNNNNNNNNNNNNNNNNNNNNNNNNNNNNNNNNNNNNNNNNNNNNNNNNNNNNNNNNNNNNNNNNNNNNNNNNNNNNNNNNNNNNNNNNNNNNNNNNNNNNNNNCGAAUUCCGGACCUCAACAUCCUGCUGCUCAUGGUGUUUCACGAUCAGUAUUGGAAAUGAACGGAGAAGUGGUGGAACGUGCGGAACCCCAUAUUGGAUUACUCCAGUGCGGCACGAAGCCGCUGACGCCGAGUCGGCUCCUAUGCCGCUAGCUAUGCCCUGCUUGGUCCCUCGACACGGUGGAGGUUCCGUAGCGCGUCAUGAGCACCGGGCUAAGGGGCGGUUUUUCUACUCAAGCGAACCGCCCUACCUUACUACAACAUAGGGACAGAAGGGAGAAGGUUGUGAAGGUGGCCUCGUUAUCCACACCUCUGGUCGGAUGAAUGGAGGACCUCCAAGAAAAAAGCCUAGGGUUUGAAUGAGCGUUGGCGGGUCCUGGAGUGCCUGUCAAGGGCUCCCGCGCAUACCCCGGGGUGAUCAUCACCACCUGCACCUCACAUCUCGGCACAGUGGAACGUGUAACCCGCCUGCUGUCUCAUUCAACUACAUUUGUUCGUUCCUAUAAUCCAUAGCCUAAGAUCAGGCAGCAGCGAGGGGCAACCUGCCCAUACAGCCAGCGGGGAGGAUGGCACUACUGGCAAAGACCGUCUGGCGAAAACGCCGCAGGCGCGAAGCGUGGUAGGCCUGCGCCGGGGGGGAGCAUAGCAUAGGCGGGAAAGGGAGCCCGGACGGUGGAAGAGCCAGGGGAGGCCGGGUCAUUUGACGGAAAUGGAAGGCUUUUCCCCUAUUUUCAAAGGCCUCAUUCAAGGUUAUGUCUGGUCGAAAGAUCUUUAUGGAAGUGCAUCAAUUCUUGGAAAAAGAGUGAAUGUCUAAUCUUUCUUUGGGUCCUCCGUUUUAGAGUCCUACGGAUAAAUCCUCCGGACCAGUUCUUCCCGCUAUUUAUGGAUGUUCAUUGAUCCUUAAUAGAAAGCCGAGCCUUUAAUUCUUUGCACCCGUCCUCCGUCCUUAGUCGUUCUUUAUAUCCAUAUUAGCUUAGCUUUCUGCGCCUGAGGACGUCCGAAGGACUCUAAAAAGGAGCGUUCUAAUGGAAUUCAUAUUCUGCAAUAUUCUUUGCGCCUAAUCUCAUUCAUUCAAUAUUCUUUUCACCUUCGGUAAACUUUAGCGGAAUCCUUGAGUCCUCCGGACGGACCGGACCACUAUUUCUCAAAUUCUUUGAUCCUCUUGACUUGUCUUUCCUAUAAAAGAUAAGAAAGUCCAUUCAAUGAAUAGAUCUCUUUGAAAGGGUACGAGAGAGAGCGCUGCCUACACGCGAAUUAGCUUCCGAGGUCAAGCAGUCUCAAUAUUGAACUACAGGAUUGAUUUGCGAAUUCAUGCUGGGCUGGGCCACCUCGAAUGGCGUGAGCCGCAUGCGGGGAGACCCGCACGUACGGUUUUUAGGGGGAUCUGGUCGAAAGACCGGCGCCCACCCGACUAGAGGGACUGAGAAAUUAAUAGAGUACAAAACUUAUCUUCAAGCUUUACCUUAUUCUGAUCGUUCAGAGGGCGAUCGCGGAGUCACUGAAUGAAGUCCUCCCUUUCUUUCGGAGGUGCUGACCCGCAGCGAGGCAGAGAUGACUAAGUUACAUAUUCCAUAUGGCGACGACAACAGCAUGUCGUAGAAGGAGAUAAGAGGUGGAGCCAACGACCCACUAAGACUAACGUAUCUACAACUACAUCCCGAGCGGCAGUCAAACGGAGGCGUGAAUGCAAGAUGCCAGCGGAAUGAUCGGUCGGACAGAGGCUAGGGCUGCUUUCUUCCCACCGCGUCCUUCCUUGUGUGUCGGAGAUAUAAAGCGAGUGCACCGGAAAAGAAGGGGAACUGGGUUGAUCUAUUCUAUGGCGAAGCAUCCGAAGCAUAACUGCACACUCACACGAUCUUUGCCGAGAGAUAGGAGCAUUCGGUGGAACCGGUGAACUACACUUGCUUCUGGAUAGAUGUGUGGGACAGAGGGCUCGUGGUACCUGCAGCCCACCCUUCCUCCUCUGCUUUGAGAACCGUAUGAACGGAGAGUGGGCAGAAGGGAAAGAGGUCCUCAUACGGAGUCGCACACUGACUUUUUCUGUGCGGGAGACUGGAGAAUGGGUCGAGUAAACUCCCCCGGGGCCGCCGGCAAAAUCACAGACUCAGUGCUAUUUCUUUUUUCUUUAUUGAAUUUCAAAGGAGGUGCAAAGAAUAUUGCGAGGCAGAGGUAGUACUUCGAAUGGCGAAGAGAGGCGGCUCGGCAAAGAAGGAAUGGGAAAGAUUCUGACUUCUUUGUUGGCGAAACGAAGGGCUAAAUUGCGCCAUUCUCUGAGCCGGUCUGGAUUUCCAAUGCCUCGGGAAAGAGGUCGAUCUCGAUGACAAGACCUUUUUCUUCUUUAUUGGGUGCCUUCUUUUAGAAGUAGUCGGAAAGAGAAAGCCUAAAGAAGGAAUUGCAUGAAUGAUCGAGGAUUCAAGUUCCAUAAAUCAGUCCAAGGCUCAAAGAGGUUAAUAUGGAAGGUGAAAAGUGGUUUUCAAAGUCAGAGCUAUCCCUUAUUAUUGAGGGCUUUGACCACCUGGACACUCGCCUACUCAGUCGCAAGGAUCAAAGAAUUUGAUUGACAAAGAAUAUUGCGAUUUUACAGACUCAAGAGGAUCAUAGAAUUUGAGAAAUAGGCAGUCAUAAAGGCUCAGUUAAGCUUGAUAAAGGACUCCUUCGCCCAUCCAUAAACAUAAAUAAAUAGAGAGAGGCUCAAAGAAUUUGAGAAAGCCUACCAUAAAUCAGUUCGACUAUCCUGGGAAGUCGCGCUUUGCUUACCGGCUCAGGCUUCCAAAGGCGACCAGCUUGAAAUACCUUUUCUUACGUUACGCUGCCAUUGAUUUUUCCAAUCUCAUUGAAUAGCAUGGCCUGGGGUAACUUAAGUGGGAGAGCCGUGUUAUGGGUGACCUUAUUGCACGGUUCAGAGAGCACUUGUGUAUGUGAUGCAAGUGAACGUGUACGAAAAAGCUGUAGGAAAGUGAGUUCUUCGUUCCGUCGUCGACCCUAUCUAUGUUUCUACGAUGGCCCAAGAACACGCUCAUUCUUCAGCUGUAGAGAGACUUUUGAAUUGCGAGGUACCAUUACGAGCUCAAUAUAUACGAGUCUUAUUCCGUGAAAUCACUCGAAUUUCAAAUCAUUCACUUGCUUUAACUACUCAUGCUAUGGAUGUGGGAGCAUCAACUCCGUUCCUGUGGGCUUUUGAGGAGCGGGAGAAAUUAUUUGAAUUCUAUGAAAGAGUCUCGGGAGCCAGGAUGCAUGCCAGUUUCAUACGACCAGGUGGAGUGGCACAAGAUCUGCCUCUUGGCUUAUGUCGAGAUAUUGAUUCCUUCACACAACAAUUUGCUUCUCGUAUCGACGAAUUAGAAGAGAUGUCAAUCGGCAACCGUAUCUGGAAACAACGAUUAGUGGAUAUUGGUACUGUCACUGCACAGCAAGCAAAGGAUUGGGGAUUCAGUGGUGUAAUGUUAAGAGGUCGUGCGACAUGAAGACAUUGAUAGCAAUAUGGGGGAAGUUCCCAUCAGGCAACAAGGGUUCUGCCUGACCCUACUUAAGCAUGCAUAUUAUGUCAGUGAAGACUUGGUGUGAAGCCUUGGAGCUUACGUUAGAAGAGCAAAAGGCCCGGGGCUAGGGUAAGCUGAGGGGGGACAGCGUAAGUGAGCGAAUGUGUGUAAGCCCAGUCAAAGAUGACUGUUCUAGGCGGGCGGGCCACCCACCUGAGAAUGGUCUUGGUCCUACGGACCGUGAACGGAUUCGCCUCUGGCCUCUGGGUACGUCUCCACCGCAUAAGUUCACCGGGGUGGAGCACGGUCCGCCAAAAUCGGCAUAGGUUAGGUGCUAUUGAUGGAACAUGGUAAGCCUAUCUUUCUCCAUAUGGAAGUGCUGCGGGCACAUAGAGAUGUGGGUAGAGGAAGCCUCAAAAAGCGAAGGCCGAGCUGUAGGUCACGUGACCUGCACCGAGUUGGUGGCUGACUGGGCUUUUUCCUAGAUCAAAGCGGAGAAGCGAGCCUAUCCAAAAGUCGAUCCCAAAAACUUUAGGGUUCUUCUCGUGUAAUGGGCUUGCUUUGCGCAACUGCGCCCCACUUUAGGAAUUUGGUGUCCAUUUAAAGUCUAAUCUUUCACUCAAAUUUCAUUCAGCCUCAUCCAUUCAAUAUUCUUUUCACCUUCGGACUGUCCGAAGGACAGACGGGUCCUCCGGACCUGUGACGCCUUCGCACCUGGAAGUCGCUUCGCUUCGCGCCUCCUACAAUAUCCCUGUCUUAUGGAGCCGGAGGACGGACCAAAAAAUAGGCGAAGCGAGACAGAAAGAAAGCAUAGGAGGAAGAGCCAUAGGCGCAGCAGCUAGAAGAAAGCAUAGGAGGAAGAGCCAUAGGCGCAGCGCUUGUGAUUAGAAUCCCAGUCAAAAGAGAAAUCAGCCUUUUGCCUUGGGAAAGAGAGAACUAAUGAGAAUGAAACUGGAAGUCUGACUCACACUUGAGAAAUUCAUGUGUCUCGCAAAUGAGAGAGGAUGUAGUAGGUCCAUGAAUGAAUUGCCUUUUCUCCUAGGCUUUCCUUUCCAAUCCCUAUUUUUUUCUUUAUGAAUGAAAAAAGAAAGGCUGAAUGAAAUUUGAGUUUGCGCCUUCUGACUUUAUCAAGCUUAACACAUCUACAUUGAAUUAUAAGGCGCAAAGAAUAUUGCGAAGCGAAGAACAAAAAUCAGGCUCAAUGCAAGAAAGCAAAGAACUAAAAAGAAAGGUCCAGAUGCGUCACAGGUCCUCCGGACUGCGACUGAGGCGCAAUGAAAUAUGCGUUCAGGAUCAAUUCAAAGUUCAGCGGGAAGAACUGGUCCGAAGGACUAUCCAGAUUAACCCAAAGAAAGAUUGACCUAGAAAGAGAGGACCGUAGGAGGCUCAAAGAAUGAUCGGAGUAGGUGCAAAGGAUACUGCGAAGGCGCAAAGAGCUCAGAAUUUUCUCUUUUUAUCCACCCCAUAAAUCAAGUCCAAAAAAUAGGCGUCCUUCGGACUAGUUUUUUUAGCAUCAAAAUUCAAUUCUCCCAACAUCGUUCGUCUUCAUGUCUUUCUGGGAGUCGAGGGCUCUUCACUUUCAUUCAGGUCUUUCCUUAUUCCCUUUUUGAAUGCAUGAGACAUGAAAAGAAAGAAAGCCUCAAGCAGAACCACAUUCCUUUUGCGUGCGGAUGUAGCUAAGUGUCUGACCCUUGUUUGUGAUUCCCUGCUGUUGCGGCCUAUCCUAGAAUGCGCGUGAACCAACCCAAGAAAGAAGGAAAGGAUGCCUCUCGGGGCAUCUGAGAAUGAUUAGAGCUGUAUGAAGGGAAACUCUCACGUACAGUUUCUUUUUUUUGGGGGGGGAAGGAGCCCGACAGGGUCCCCCACUGACUUGGCCCGGGCCUAAGUGAAAGUGAAGUGGUGGGCCUACCCAUCCCAACCAGGGGUAUGCUGGGAUUUGCGAAGAGCAGCACCUUACGAUGUUCAUGACCAAUUGGAUCCUGACGUACCAGUAGGUACCAGAGGAGAUCGCUAUGAUCGUUACUGUAUCCGUAUCGAGGAGAUGCGACAAAGUGUUCGGAUCAUUGUGCAAUGUCCUAAUCAAAUGCCUAGUGGGAUGAUCAAAGCCGAUGAUCGUAAGCUAUGUCCUCCAUCACGAUCUCGAAUGAAACUAUCCAUGGAAUCGUGUGCCGUGUGAAACGUAGAUCAUCGCCGUUCUUAACCGAGACUCAGGUUAAGCUCCGUCUCGGAACCUUGUGGGGUUAGGAGUAAAGCAUCCCGAGGUUGACGCAUCUCGUUGGGCGUGGAGAAACGAACCAAAAUAGCUUUCUUCGGAGCCGUUUCUUCUCCCGUCCCCCCGCCCCGGCAUAGCGCUUCGCUUUCGGUGAUUCUUCCGAAUCAACUGACUUCUCCCUUCUUCAUUGAUCUGGGGGAAAAGGAACCGUCUACCUGUUGGGAAGCUAGACAUUCAGUAAGUGGCUUGAUGAGGAUAACUAAGCUGACACGCCGGAGUUGGCUGCUGGCACAACUGGGUGGUGCCUUACCGCACCGCAGGUUCACGCGCGGUAGCGUUCGUGGUGGUGCUUCAGGAUUCCAGUGUACUGCAUCCAAGAUCAGAACGAGCUUGCCGGCGGACCAUUGCCGUCCCAUUCUUGAGUGAGCUGGAGCGCAGCCAUCUUAUCCACUGAACUAGCGUUAAGCUAUUGCUUCGGGUCGAAGCACUAAAAGAAAAGGACCAGGAAAGGCGGCGGUAUAGGAACCACGGGACCCCCCCACUAGUCUAGUAAAGGGAAAAGAGAAGUGCGCUCCUCUCCUGUAAGUAAAGCAGCUUCGCACCUCUCAAGAAAUAAGAAGAGCAGCUAAAAGGAAGGAAAGAUCGAAUUCAGAGAUCAUUCAACUCUCUUUCAUACUCUUUCUCUUGUUCCGCUACGUGGGCUUCUCUUUCUUUUCUUUUGGUCGAGCUGCUGUCAAUAUUCUUUUCACCUGCGCACCUGCUUCAAAAGCCCUUUACCCUUUGAAUAAUAAGGUCAGCUUCAUAGUUCCAACCUAGAUAAGGCUUUUUUAUGCCCUUUUUUUAGGUUGGGUUGCUGGAUACGGGAUCCUCGUAGUAGGCUGGACCAAGAUCCAGCCGAGAGAGGGCAGCCUUUAGAAGGAAGAGGUUGGGAAAGCAAGAGAAGGCUGAGCCUUUUCUUAUCUUUUUCCCUAGGCUCGCCCCUCUCCCUAUGGUCGAGUCUCUUCGCCCCUCUCCUUACAGUCUCAAUCAAAUUCUUUGACCCUCUCCUUACAGAAAAAAAAGAGGAUUUGGAUUAUUGACCCAAUGAGAAAGCACUAACAUCUUCCUCGUUGGGGCUUCGCGCACUGGGAAGACGCUAAGGCGACGGGAAAUCGGCCGUCAGUCUGAGGAAGCCCACGGAGCGGUAUCGAGAGGGCUAUCACAGUCAGGUGGAAAUUACCCCCGUACCCCUCUUUCAUUAUUAUGUUAGGGGGUUGAGGCGAGAAAUGGCUUGAUUCACCCUUCCGUUCGCCACGCACCGGCCCCAUUCACUUGCUUAUCGUAGAGGGACUUGCUGUUGCUGUUGAAGUAUACAGUGCCCUGCUGUUGCUGCUAUUGACGGACUUGCUUUGGGUGGAGGGUUAGAGGUCGCUAUGGUAUGUCUUAGAACUUCUUGUAGACAAUUAAAUCUUUAAAAUCAUUGUUUAAAAAUAUUUUAUAUUAUUUUGGUUUGUAGGCAUGCCAUGCACGAUUAUCAACCAAAACUGCACAGUUAGGAUUACCUGAACUUCAGCUUGGUUUAAUUCCAGGUUUUGGAGGUAUGUCUAUGGCGCUGAUACUUGGUGGUAUUUUUCUUAUUUUUAUUUGUACCAGUUAAUCCGUGAGCCGCUUUUAUGUCUCUUUCUGGCCGUUUUUAUGUCUCUUUCUGUUGACUUUAUUAUUCUCUCAUUUAUGAUUUAACAUCUCAUAUGAAUUAUUAUGUGUAUCUUGCAUGGGAUAUUUUGCCACUUUGUGCCCAUAAAAAUCAACACUUGUCUUUCGGUGUAUAGGUCAUAAGUGGUCACUUUGGGUGGUAAGGACCGUUGCAUUUGAUCCAAGUAACAUGUGGUUUUGUACUGAUUCAGCAGAUUGUACAAUCAAGGUACUUAUUUUUAAAAUUAUUCAAUAUGAAUGAAUUCCAUUUUGGUCUGUCGAAGCGGGCCAUAUAUAGGUUCCAUCGUUUUUGCCCUUUGAUAACAAUCGUUAUCUUUGAGUUUUCUGCUCCUGAAAAUUGAAGUAUCAUUUAUUUAUGAUAAUUGUAGGAGCAUGUUUCUUCUUCCUAGAAUAGCGUGACACGAAAUAAAUGAUAGUAUGGUUGAUACGAGAUUUUUCUUCUAGGGCUAGUACAAUCCAUGAACUCUCUGGGCAUGAUAACACCGUUUGCUCAUUUUAAUGGACCAACCGUAUCCUUUUCUCCCUCUGAUCUUUCCUUCCGAUAUCUUGGUCAUAUUAGUUUCUUUCAAUAAAUUUUUUACUCGUGUGGUGUAGUUCUUUUAGAUAAUUUCCCUUUGAUUCUACAUAAGAACCUAUUUUCGUGCUUUUGUAAUUAUCAACUUUGUAUCAUUUCCUUUAGACUGGAGCAGUACAUCAGAUAAUCAAAAUAAUUGAUAUUCCAAUAUUGUGUAUCUUUUGUGCUCAGUUCUCAGCAGAAGACUUAUCAAUACAAUGUCUGUCAAUGAAGAGGGUGUUAUGGUGAUUGGAGGUGCUUUUUUAUUGUUGUGAUCGUGACUAAACUUGGAUGGAAAUGUUGUUGGAUAAACUAAGCUCAGCCUCCCCUCUACUUUCUUUUUUCUUGAAACAUAUAUAUCGAGCAUUACACGUGGCUUUAAAUGUGUUUUACGUAAAUUUUUAUAAAAUUUUAAACUGUGAAUUACUUUUAACGUAAAGUCUUGAUUCAACUUUCAUCCACUCUAAUUAGUAAAUAUUUGACAUGAAAUUAAGUAAUUUAAAUAGUGGCAAAGUUAAUUUUAAUGAAUAUGAGAUAUCGUUGAUACGAAUUAUGGUUCGAAAUUUUUGACACAAUUUUGGAGUUUUCUUUGAAUGAAUACCUAUUUUCUUUGAAUGAAUACCCAUAAAAAUUUUGACACAAUUUUGGACUGCAAGGUGGAAAAGGUGGGUUUACAUUUCUCUGUGUCCCAUUGUCAUUGUCUCAUAAUUUAGUCUAGACACUUUUGUUGACAUCUUUUAAAUGAUCUUUUAGCUUAGGAACCACGGCCUGGCUACAUUUCCAUUGAUGUAAUCACUGAUAUUUUUGAAGGUACAUUUCAGCUCAAUUUCUUUAAUUCUUACUCUCAUCUUCCAACUCUCUUGAAAAGCGAGUGAAAAGGAUAGUUUUGGGAAAGUAAUUAAUUGUUAGUUAUGUCGUCCAGCUGCUAGAAAGCCUGCUGUUGCUGCUAUUGACGGACUUGCUUUGGGUGGAGGGUUAGAGGUCGCUAUGGUAUGUCUUAGAACUUCUUGUAGACAAUUAAAUCUUUAAAAUCAUUGUUUAAAAAUAUUUUAUAUUAUUUUGGUUUGUAGGCAUGCCAUGCACGAUUAUCAACCAAAACUGCACAGUUAGGAUUACCUGAACUUCAGCUUGGUUUAAUUCCAGGUUUUGGAGGUAUGUCUAUGGCGCUGAUACUUGGUGGUAUUUUUCUUAUUUUUAUUUGUACCAGUUAAUCCUGUGAGCCGCUGUAAUGAUAUGCACCCAACUGAACUUUACUUUAAGCUGUGGGCAGUUGUGAUCUCACCAAUCUACUUAAGCUCUUAACAUUGGAAAUAAUUGAUUAAGUUAUUAACAAAUAACAGUUUAUGUUAUCAGUUGGAUCCCUCGUGGAUUGAUAUUUGGAUCUUGGGCCUUUGAUAGGAUAGCAUACGAUGUAAUUCCUUAUUUUUAGAGGAUGGAUAAUAUAGAUUUUUUAGCAAUAACCUAGUAUUUGAAUUGGCUGAAAUGAAUUUGUCUAUUAUAUAAUGAAAACAACAGAAACCCACUGUUUUGAAAACUUCUAAGAUUUUUCUUUUGGUGUUCUAAUCUCAAGCUUCUUUUUUGUUCAGGAACACAGCGACUUCCUCGUCUGGUUGGUCUUCCAAAGGCUUUAGAAAUGAUGCUGGUGAUUGAUUUUUGACACCUUGCUGUAGAAUAGCUUCAAUGGUCAUUCAUAUCUUUUGCUUAUUUCUGUACCUGUCUCUCUCAACUUAUCCAAACUUGCUACACUUGAACAGACAUCCAAGCCAGUCAAAGGAGAAGAAGCCUUUUCACUGGGACUCGUGGACGCCAUAGUCCCUCGUGAAGAGUUGAUCAGUGCUGCUCGCAAAUGGGCUCUGGAUAUCUCAGAGAGGAGAAAACCAUGGAUUAUCAGUCUUCACAAGACCAACAAGUUAGAGUCUCUUGCUGAUGCUAGGGAAAUAUUUAAAUUUGCCAGGGCUCAAGUACGGAAACAGGCUCCAAAUCUCAAGCACCCACUGGUUUGCAUUGAUGUUGUUGAAACGGGUGUAGUCUCAGGUCCCCGUGCUGGACUUCAGAAGGUUGUAUUUCUAAGGCAGCUAUUUUUUCUCAAGUAAAAGAAAGAUCCAAGCAUGAAAUAACCUUCCUGAAUUUCUUUUUUAUGCUUAUGGCAGGAGAUUGAAGAUUUUCAAGUACUACUGCAUGCUGAUACCAGUAAAAGCUUGAUUCAUGUUUUUUUUGCUCAGCGUGGAACAACAAAGGUGUGCGAUGAAGAUUUACUGAAAAAUAAAUGAUCGCUUAAAAUAAUCUUUAUUUCAGAACCUGAAGUUCAGGAUAUAGAAAAAACAACAUCCACUGUUAAUACAUUACGAGGUUAGUCUUUUCUCUUAUGUUGAUAUUUCUUCUUUUUUUUUCAAAAUAUGACAGGUACCUGGAGUUUCUGAUCUUGGGUUGACACCGAGACGUAUUAAUAAAGUUGCUGUUAUUGGUGGGGAUUAAUGGGAUCUGGGAUAGCUACAGCAUUGAUUCUUAGCAACUAUCCUGUGAUUCUUAAAGAAGUAAAUGAAAAAUUUUUGGAGGCCGGGCUUGGCAGAGUCAAAGGUAAGCCUGGAAUUUACUACUGUUGAUUGUAUUCUUGUUAUAUUCUAUCUGGCUUGUGUUUGACCUGUCAUUGUAAACAUGUUAGCCAAUCUACAAAGCCGAGUCCGCAAGGGGACAAUGACUCCAGAAAAAUUUGAAAGAACCAUUUCCCUACUCAAGGGUGUCCUUGAUUAUGAAAGUUUCAAAGAUGUGGAUAUGGUGAUUGAGGUAAGUCCCACAUCUUACUUCACCCACAAAAAGUAGCAAUCGUUCAUGUCAAUUUGGUAUGCUUGUAACAGGCUGUUAUUGAGAACAUCUCCCUGAAGCAACAGAUCAUCGUUAGCCACUUAGCCAUUGAGUUUAUGCUUCUAAUGCAGUCCAGCACACGUCAUGCCACCAUACCCAUAGGCCAUAACCCCAAAACUUAAAUAAUUUAAUUUCAAAUAUUGAAUGCGUGGUUUGAACUACUUUGUAAGUGUUUUUAAACAUGUUGAAACUCAUUUCUUUGACAUUUUAUACAUAUUCUUUAACUAUUGGUUAGUUCUUCUCAAAGACUACAAGAACCAAAUGGACAGUCGAUUAGCAACUUUAGAAAGAGCUCCUCUAUAACAUUCAAAAGUAUGAAUCAACCCACGAAAAGUCAACGGCUGUUGAGGCAGUCGACAAGAUGCAAAAGUCAAUUAUCAGAAAAUGAGCUGUCAGGUUAUUUUCUAUUGUUUUUCUCCAUCUUCUCCUCUGAAAUGUCACUAACGCAUUUCAUAGAUGUCAAACUCCUCUCUUGCUCACCGGUUAAUGGCCAUUACCAACACCUCACAAAUUUCUUGUGAGAUUUCAGUUUUCAGAACGAAUCAAGAUCCUCAUCUUGGAAGCCGCCAAUCUCCUUUUAUCAGGCACGGCUCUCAUUUUCCCUCCUUUUUCAUCUAUCGUUUAUAUAUACAUUGUUAACAAUGAUGAUGAUGAUGAUGAUGAUGAUGAUGUUUACUCUGGCUUACGGUUGCGAAAUUUGAUUGUGGAAUUCUCUUUUUCAGACAGAGGGCCAAAUUGCUUCAGCCGUAGGAUUUUCCCUCCUGGUAAGGGCCUUGAUUCUGAUUAUUGGUCCUAGUCCACUCGGCUUACUUCUUUUUCCGGUAUGGAUAUAGCUAUUGUUGACGCUGAGAGAGAGCAACUCUUUUCAGGGACCACCCCCCGACCCUUAUCGCACCUCUCGUAUGACCUCCUUAUGUGGGUUCCUUACCCUCUUCUUUCAGCUAGCGCUACACACAUGUCGCCUACUCUCAGGAACCGGCUAGCCUUCAGACCAAGACCUUGCUUAUUCCACUUGGAGUAUCUUGGCCCACCGAUCCCAUGCCAUCGAAUGCGACCAUUCAACCGAACUAGGUCCGAUUGCGCCAUUAUAGCGGUGCUAAAAAGUUAUGAAAUCUUCGUCCAUUCUCUGGGUUAAUAUGGAUAGUCAUCUGGACCCCUUAUAAUUGGGCACCGCGGAGUGGGGACGCAUUCGAUAGCAUGCUCUCUGGCCGUAUGUAUUCGUUUUGCACGGUCGUGGGUAGUCGCUAGUUCGUCUUAGUAUGGGCCCAAACAUCCAUAUCUGAGUAUGCUAGCUGGUCACACAGGCAGUGCCUUCUUCUAUCUAACUGAACGGUAAACCGGGAGGGCGCUGCCCCUCCCUAACCCCUUUUUGGACACGAUGACAUAACCUCCCUUUUAAGUAAGCGGCCUAAGGCCUACCACUUACCUGAAAGGGCCGAAAGUUUGCCCCAGGCCCGAAGGUUGGAAUUGACCCCCCAGUCGCUUCAAAACCUGUACCUCCCGCUUGAUCUUCCUUUCUCAUGCCAUCCCCGGAUCCAGCGAGUGGGCCCAAAAGUUCAGACCCCUAGACUCCACCUUUUCGAUUAUCUCUGAGAUGGUCAGAGCCUCGUGACACCCAUCCCAGUGGGACUCAAACUCCCUGAGACCGGCCUUCUGGGUGGAUUCCUUAGAUGCCAUCCUCGGGUACUGCAAUGAGGAGUAUUGCUUCGGUACAAGUUUAGCGCGACAACUAAAUUGAGGGCAGUCGAAUGCUCAGUGCUUACUUACGAUAAUCGAGAAAUCGAGAAAAUCAAUGGGAUUUCUUUCUUUUGGGGAAAGCUCUUGAGUUCUGUAAGAGGAAACCGCCUCUAAGAAGCAGAAGAUUGUCUUUGUAUUGAGAGCAGCCCAAAAAGAAUUCGCAAAAUGGGCGUGUUUCCGCUCCGCUUUCCUACGCCUUUAUAUAAGGGGUCGGGACUCCUAAUCCUAGGCCUUGAUUCCAUUCCCCUUGGAGGAGAGGGAAAUAGGGACUAGAUCCCAGGGACAGGAUAAUCAGGACUCCUUAUUCCUAAAAGGGCCGAAGCACGUAAUCGCCGGCCGAUUCGCCGACAAAGACAAAGAAAAGAAGAAUUUCAGUCCGAUUCUAAGACAAAGCAAGCGAUUCUUAGCCUUAAGAUCCUUCGGAUCGGUAUCGCCUUUGCCUUCUUUAUCUGGGAAAUUGCCCUUCUUAGUAUAGGGAUUAGUAUAGGGCCGGGGAAUGAGAAGACCCAGGGAAAGAGGAGAAUCUAGACCUCUAGAUACCUACAUCCGAGGGGCCGAGAGGGACUAAUAGUGGCUCGGUAUCGGCUUUGCCUUUUCCUUCUUUAUCCGGGAAAGGAGAAUAGGGUAUGCGGGUCCGAUACCCCUGAAGCCGAUAGGCACACUAAUCCUCUUCCUCUUCCUCUGACUCCCCCGAGGGGUUGGGGGGAAAGCCUUAAUUCCAUAUUCUUCCUCUUAGUCUUCCUUCCGGCCGGCCAAGGAAGCGAUUGGCCGAGAAAGAAGAAGAAGGAAAAAACGAUUCUUAGCCCUUGACCGAGUGAGUUGUCCUCUUUCCUACGCCUUUAUAUAAGGGGUUGGGACUCGUAAUCAGCCUUCUUCUAUAUAUUCUUUGCGCCUUUCAUUCUUCCUCUAAAAAUGACAUAAUAUCUAAAGAGGAUCAUAUUCUUUUUUUAUGCCUCCUUCUGCAGAACCUACUAGUAAGAGGCCGACGGAGCGGUUAAAGGAAAAGGUUCGCCUAUCCCCUUGUUCAUUGAGGGACUCCUAAUUUUUAAUAGAAUGAAUGACUUGCACUCCUUUCUUCUUUUCCGCAAUAUUCUUUGCUCCGAUCAUGAAAAGAGCCGUCCGGAGGACCAUCAAAGAAAGGUCCAAGGUCCGGAGUCCGCAGUCCGCAGGAUUUAUCCGUAGUCCGGAGGACUUUCCGUAAUUAACCGAACUUUGCGCCUUAGUUAGUCUUAUUCUGAAAGUAUUAUUCCGAAAAAAAGCUGUUAAAUAGCUUAAAUAAGCGGUUCAAUUCCCACUCCUAAAAUCAAAGCUCCAGAUGAGUUGACAAAGGUUCAAAGAAUGAUCGGAGUCUGCGCUUUCUUUCAUAACUGAGCCGAGAAUGAGGCUGGCAUAGUUGUCUCUCGCAUGCAAGAGACAUGCUGCUGCUGGAUGUCACGGUUCUGGGGCGCCAUGAUCCUUUUCUCUGGAACAAGAGAGGCGCAAAGAAUAUUGCGAGACAAAUGCCCAAAUAAAAUCAAAGAGGUAGGGACUUCAUCAAUCAUCGCUCAGUGAGCUAUUUAUUGCCGCCAAUAGCGCUUCGCUUGCACGCCAGCGCCACGCCUGGUAGAGCUAUCGCGCGCGGGCGAAGGAGAUGCAUUUUGAGUACUGGUAGUACUGGACAAGCUCAGAGGGAAUAAUCUCUUUCUUCUUUCUUCCUUUCUUUCCCAUGACGACUAGGAACAGGCAAAUUAAAAAUUUCACUUCGAAUUCCGGACCUCAACAUCCUGCUGCUCAUGGUGUUUCACGAUCAGUAUUGGAAAUGAACGGAGAAGUGGUGGAACGUGCGGAACCCCAUAUUGGAUUACUCCAGUGCGGCACGAAGCCGCUGACGCCGAGUCGGCUCCUAUGCCGCUAGCUAUGCCCUGCUUGGUCCCUCGACACGGUGGAGGUUCCGUAGCGCGUCAUGAGCACCGGGCUAAGGGCGGUUUUUCUACUCAAGCGAACCGCCCUACCUUACUACAACAUAGGGACAGAAGGGAGAAGGUUGUGAAGGUGGCCUCGUUAUCCACACCUCUGGUCGGAUGAAUGGAGGACCUCCAAGAAAAAAGCCUAGGGUUUGAAUGAGCGUUGGCGGGUCCUGGAGUGCCUGUCAAGGGCUCCCGCGCAUACCCCGGGGUGAUCAUCACCACCUGCACCUCACAUCUCGGCACAGUGGAACGUGUAACCCGCCUGCUGUCUCAUUCAACUACAUUUGUUCGUUCCUAUAAUCCAUAGCCUAAGAUCAGGCAGCAGCGAGGGGCAACCUGCCCAUACAGCCAGCGGGGAGGAUGGCACUACUGGCAAAGACCGUCUGGCGAAAACGCCGCAGGCGCGAAGCGUGGUAGGCCUGCGCCGGGGGGAGCAUAGCAUAGGCGGGAAAGGGAGCCCGGACGGUGGAAGAGCCAGGGGAGGCCGGGUCAUUUGACGGAAAUGGAAGGCUUUUCCCCUAUUUUCAAAGGCCUCAUUCAAGGUUAUGUCUGGUCGAAAGAUCUUUAUGGAAGUGCAUCAAUUCUUGGAAAAAGAGUGAAUGUCUAAUCUUUCUUUGGGUCCUCCGUUUUAGAGUCCUACGGAUAAAUCCUCGGACCAGUUCUUCCCGCUAUUUAUGGAUGUUCAUUGUUCCUUAAUAGAAAGCCGAGCCUUUAAUUCUUUGCACCCGUCCUCCGUCCUUAGUCGUUCUUUAUAUCCAUAUUAGCUUAGCUUUCUGCGCCUGAGGACGUCCGAAGGACUCUAAAAAGGAGCGUUCUAAUGGAAUUCAUAUUCUGCAAUAUUCUUUGCGCCUAAUCUCAUUCAUUCAAUAUUCUUUUCACCUUCGGUAAACUUUAGCGGAAUCCUUGAGUCCUCCGGACGGACCGGACCACUAUUUCUCAAAUUCUUUGAUCCUCUUGACUUGUCUUUCCUAUAAAAGAUAAGAAAGUCCAUUCAAUGAAUAGAUCUCUUUGAAAGGGUACGAGAGAGAGCGCUGCCUACACGCGAAUUAGCUUCCGAGGUCAAGCAGUCUCAAUAUUGAACUACAGGAUUGAUUUGCGAAUUCAUGCUGGGCUGGGCCACCUCGAAUGGCGUGAGCCGCAUGCGGGGAGACCCGCACGUACGGUUUUUAGGGGGAUCUGGUCGAAAGACCGGCGCCCACCCGACUAGAGGGACUGAGAAAUUAAUAGAGUACAAAACUUAUCUUCAAGCUUUACCUUAUUCUGAUCGUUCAGAGGGCGAUCGCGGAGUCACUGAAUGAAGUCCUCCCUUUCUUUCGGAGGUGCUGACCCGCAGCGAGGCAGAGAUGACUAAGUUACAUAUUCCAUAUGGCGACGACAACAGCAUGUCGUAGAAGGAGAUAAGAGGUGGAGCCAACGACCCACUAAGACUAACGUAUCUACAACUACAUCCCGAGCGGCAGUCAAACGGAGGCGUGAAUGCAAGAUGCCAGCGGAAUGAUCGGUCGGACAGAGGCUAGGGCUGCUUUCUUCCCACCGCGUCCUUCCUUGUGUGUCGGAGAUAUAAAGCGAGUGCACCGGAAAAGAAGGGGAACUGGGUUGAUCUAUUCUAUGGCGAAGCAUCCGAAGCAUAACUGCACACUCACACGAUCUUUGCCGAGAGAUAGGAGCAUUCGGUGGAACCGGUGAACUACACUUGCUUCUGGAUAGAUGUGUGGGACAGAGGGCUCGUGGUACCUGCAGCCCACCCUUCCUCCUCUGCUUUGAGAACCGUAUGAACGGAGAGUGGGCAGAAGGGAAAGAGGUCCUCAUACGGAGUCGCACACUGACUUUUUCUGUGCGGGAGACUGGAGAAUGGGUCGAGUAAACUCCCCGGGGCCGGCCGGCAAAAUCACAGACUCAGUGCUAUUUCUUUUUUCUUUAUUGAAUUUCAAAGGAGGUGCAAAGAAUAUUGCGAGGCAGAGGUAGUACUUCGAAUGGCGAAGAGAGGCGGCUCGGCAAAGAAGGAAUGGGAAAGAUUCUGACUUCUUUGUUGGCGAAACGAAGGGCUAAAUUGCGCCAUUCUCUGAGCCGGUCUGGAUUUCCAAUGCCUCGGGAAAGAGGUCGAUCUCGAUGACAAGACCUUUUUCUUCUUUAUUGGGUGCCUUCUUUUAGAAGUAGUCGGAAAGAGAAAGCCUAAAGAAGGAAUUGCAUGAAUGAUCGAGGAUUCAAGUUCCAUAAAUCAGUCCAAGGCUCAAAGAGGUUAAUAUGGAAGGUGAAAAGUGGUUUUCAAAGUCAUAGCUAUCCCUUAUUAUUGAGGGCUUUGACCACCUGGACACUCGCCUACUCAGUCGCAAGGAUCAAAGAAUUUGAUUGACAAAGAAUAUUGCGAUUUUACAGACUCAAGAGGAUCAUAGAAUUUGAGAAAUAGGCAGUCAUAAAGGCUCAGUUAAGCUUGAUAAAGGACUCCUUCGCCCAUCCAUAAACAUAAAUAAAUAGAGAGAGGCUCAAAGAAUUUGAGAAAGCCUACCAUAAAUCAGUUCGACUAUCCUGGGAAGUCGCGCUUUGCUUACCGGCUCAGGCUUCCAAAGGCGACCAGCUUGAAAUACCUUUUCUUACGUUACGCUGCCAUUGAUUUUUCCAAUCUCAUUGAAUAGCAUGGCCUGGGGUAACUUAAGUGGGAGAGCCGUGUUAUGGGUGACCUUAUUGCACGGUUCAGAGAGCACUUGUGUAUGUGAUGCAAGUGAACGUGUACGAAAAAGCUGUAGGAAAGUGAGUUCUUCGUUCCGUCGUCGACCCUAUCUAUGUUUCUACGAUGGCCCAAGAACACGCUCAUUCUUCAGCUGUAGAGAGACUUUUGAAUUGCGAGGUACCAUUACGAGCUCAAUAUAUACGAGUCUUAUUCCGUGAAAUCACUCGAAUUUCAAAUCAUUCACUUGCUUUAACUACUCAUGCUAUGGAUGUGGGAGCAUCAACUCCGUUCCUGUGGGCUUUUGAGGAGCGGGAGAAAUUAUUUGAAUUCUAUGAAAGAGUCUCGGGAGCCAGGAUGCAUGCCAGUUUCAUACGACCAGGUGGAGUGGCACAAGAUCUGCCUCUUGGCUUAUGUCGAGAUAUUGAUUCCUUCACACAACAAUUUGCUUCUCGUAUCGACGAAUUAGAAGAGAUGUCAAUCGGCAACCGUAUCUGGAAACAACGAUUAGUGGAUAUUGGUACUGUCACUGCACAGCAAGCAAAGGAUUGGGGAUUCAGUGGUGUAAUGUUAAGAGGUCGUGCGACAUGAAGACAUUGAUAGCAAUAUGGGGGAAGUUCCCAUCAGGCAACAAGGGUUCUGCCUGACCCUACUUAAGCAUGCAUAUUAUGUCAGUGAAGACUUGGUGUGAAGCCUUGGAGCUUACGUUAGAAGAGCAAAAGGCCCGGGGCUAGGGUAAGCUGAGGGGGACAGCGUAAGUGAGCGAAUGUGUGUAAGCCCAGUCAAAGAUGACUGUUCUAGGCGGGGCGGGCCACCCACCUGAGAAUGGUCUUGGUCCUACGGACCGUGAACGGAUUCGCCUCUGGCCUCUGGGUACGUCUCCACCGCAUAAGUUCACCGGGGUGGAGCACGGUCCGCCAAAAUCGGCAUAGGUUAGGUGCUAUUGAUGGAACAUGGUAAGCCUAUCUUUCUCCAUAUGGAAGUGCUGCGGGCACAUAGAGAUGUGGGUAGAGGAAGCCUCAAAAAGCGAAGGCCGAGCUGUAGGUCACGUGACCUGCACCGAGUUGGUGGCUGACUGGGCUUUUUCCUAGAUCAAAGCGGAGAAGCGAGCCUAUCCAAAAGUCGUCCCAAAAACUUUAGGGUUCUUCUCGUGUAAUGGGCUUGCUUUGCGCAACUGCGCCCCACUUUAGGAAUUUGGUGUCCAUUUAAAGUCUAAUCUUUCACUCAAAUUUCAUUCAGCCUCAUCCAUUCAAUAUUCUUUUCACCUUCGGACUGUCCGAAGGACAGACGGGUCCUCCGGACCUGUGACGCCUUCGCACCUGGAAGUCGCUUCGCUUCGCGCCUCCUACAAUAUCCCUGUCUUAUGGAGCCGGAGGACGGACCAAAAAAUAGGCGAAGCGAGACAGAAAGAAAGCAUAGGAGGAAGAGCCAUAGGCGCAGCACUAGAAGAAAGCAUAGGAGGAAGAGCCAUAGGCGCAGCGCUUGUGAUUAGAAUCCCAGUCAAAAGAGAAAUCAGCCUUUUGCCUUGGGAAAGAGAGAACUAAUGAGAAUGAAACUGGAAGUCUGACUCACACUUGAGAAAUUCAUGUGUCUCGCAAAUGAGAGAGGAUGUAGUAGGUCCAUGAAUGAAUUGCCUUUUCUCCUAGGCUUUCCUUUCCAAUCCCUAUUUUUUUCUUUAUGAAUGAAAAAAGAAAGGCUGAAUGAAAUUUGAGUUUGCGCCUUCUGACUUUAUCAAGCUUAACACAUCUACAUUGAAUUAUAAGGCGCAAAGAAUAUUGCGAAGCGAAGAACAAAAAUCAGGCUCAAUGCAAGAAAGCAAAGAACUAAAAAGAAAGGUCCAGAUGCGUCACAGGUCCUCCGGACUGCGACUGAGGCGCAAUGAAAUAUGCGUUCAGGAUCAAUUCAAAGUUCAGCGGGAAGAACUGGUCCGAAGGACUAUCCAGAUUAACCCAAAGAAAGAUUGACCUAGAAAGAGAGGACCGUAGGAGGCUCAAAGAAUGAUCGGAGUAGGUGCAAAGGAUACUGCGAAGGCGCAAAGAGCUCAGAAUUUUCUCUUUUUAUCCACCCCAUAAAUCAAGUCCAAAAAAUAGGCGUCCUUCGGACUGGUUUUUUUAGCAUCAAAAUUCAAUUCUCCCAACAUCGUUCGUCUUCAUGUCUUUCUGGGAGUCGAGGGCUCUUCACUUUCAUUCAGGUCUUUCCUUAUUCCCUUUUUGAAUGCAUGAGACAUGAAAAGAAAGAAAGCCUCAAGCAGAACCACAUUCCUUUUGCGUGCGGAUGUAGCUAAGUGUCUGACCCUUGUUUGUGAUUCCCUGCUGUUGCGGCCUAUCCUAGAAUGCGCGUGAACCAACCCAAGAAAGAAGGAAAGGAUGCCUCUCGGGGCAUCUGAGAAUGAUUAGAGCUGUAUGAAGGGAAACUCUCACGUACAGUUUCUUUUUUUUGGGGGGGGAAGGAGCCCGACAGGGUCCCCCACUGACUUGGCCCGGGCCUAAGUGAAAGUGAAGUGGUGGGCCUACCCAUCCCAACCAGGGGUAUGCUGGGAUUUGCGAAGAGCAGCACCUUACGAUGUUCAUGACCAAUUGGAUCCUGACGUACCAGUAGGUACCAGAGGAGAUCGCUAUGAUCGUUACUGUAUCCGUAUCGAGGAGAUGCGACAAAGUGUUCGGAUCAUUGUGCAAUGUCCUAAUCAAAUGCCUAGUGGGAUGAUCAAAGCCGAUGAUCGUAAGCUAUGUCCUCCAUCACGAUCUCGAAUGAAACUAUCCAUGGAAUCGUGUGCCGUGUGAAACGUAGAUCAUCGCCGUUCUUAACCGAGACUCAGGUUAAGCUCCGUCUCGGAACCUUGUGGGGUUAGGAGUAAAGCAUCCCGAGGUUGACGCAUCUCGUUGGGCGUGGAGAAACAUUGGGAACCAAAAUAGCUUUCUUCGGAGCCGUUUUUCUCCCGUCCCCCCGCCCCGGCAUAGCGCUUCGCUUUCGGUGAUUCUUCCGAAUCAACUGACUUCUCCCUUCUUCAUUGAUCUGGGGGAAAAGGAACCGUCUACCUGUUGGGAAGCUAGACAUUCAGUAAGUGGCUUGAUGAGGAUAACUAAGCUGACACGCCGGAGUUGGCUGCUGGCACAACUGGGUGGUGCCUUACCGCACCGCAGGUUCACGCGCGCGGUAGCGUUCGUGGUGGUGCUUCAGGAUUCCAGUGUACUGCAUCCAAGAUCAGAACGAGCUUGCCGGCGGACCAUUGCCGUCCCAUUCUUGAGUGAGCUGGAGCGCAGCCAUCUUAUCCACUGAACUAGCGUUAAGCUAUUGCUUCGGGUCGAAGCACUAAAAGAAAAGGACCAGGAAAGGCGGCGGUAUAGGAACCACGGGACCCCCCCACUAGUCUAGUAAAGGGAAAAGAGAAGUGCGCUCCUCUCCUGUAAGUAAAGCAGCUUCGCACCUCUCAAGAAAUAAGAAGAGCAGCUAAAAGGAAGGAAAGAUCGAAUUCAGAGAUCAUUCAACUCUCUUUCAUACUCUUUCUCUUGUUCCGCUACGUGGGCUUCCUCUUUCUUUUCCCUUUCUUGGUCGAGCUGCUGUCAAUAUUCUUUUCACCUGCGCACCUGCUUCAAAAGCCCUUUACCCUUUGAAUAAUAAGGUCAGCUUCAUAGUUCCAACCUAGAUAAGGCUUUUUUAUGCCCUUUUUUUAGGUUGGGUUGCUGGAUACGGGAUCCUCGUAGUAGGCUGGACCAAGAUCCAGCCGAGAGAGGGCAGCCUUUAGAAGGAAGAGGUUGGGAAAGCAAGAGAAGGCUGAGCCUUUUCUUAUCUUUUUCCCUAGGCUCGCCCCUCUCCCUAUGGUCGAGUCUCUUCGCCCCUCUCCUUACAGUCUCAAUCAAAUUCUUUGACCCUCUCCUUACAGAAAAAAAAGAGGGAUUUGGAUUAUUGACCCAAUGAGAAAGCACUAACAUCUUCCUCGUUGGGGCUUCGCGCACUGGGAAGAGGCUAAGGCGACGGGAAAUCGGCCGUCAGUCUGAGGAAGCCCACGGAGCGGUAUCGAGAGGGCUAUCACAGUCAGGUGGAAAUUACCCCCGUACCCCUCUUUCAUUAUUAUGUUAGGGGGUUGAGGCGAGAAAUGGCUUGAUUCACCCUUCCGUUCGCCACGCACCGGCCCCAUUCACUUGCUUAUCGUAGAGGGACUUGCUGUUGCUGUUGAAGUAUACAGUGCCCUGCUGUUGCUGCUAUUGACGGACUUGCUUUGGGUGGAGGGUUAGAGGUCGCUAUGGUAUGUCUUAGAACUUCUUGUAGACAAUUAAAUCUUUAAAAUCAUUGUUUAAAAAUAUUUUAUAUUAUUUUGGUUUGUAGGCAUGCCAUGCACGAUUAUCAACCAAAACUGCACAGUUAGGAUUACCUGAACUUCAGCUUGGUUUAAUUCCAGGUUUUGGAGGUAUGUCUAUGGCGCUGAUACUUGGUGGUAUUUUUCUUAUUUUUAUUUGUACCAGUUAAUCCGUGAGCCGCUUUUAUGUCUCUUUCUGGCCGUUUUUAUGUCUCUUUCUGUUGACUUUAUUAUUCUCUCAUUUAUGAUUUAACAUCUCAUAUGAAUUAUUAUGUGUAUCUUGCAUGGGAUAUUUUGCCACUUUGUGCCCAUAAAAAUCAACACUUGUCUUUCGGUGUAUAGGUCAUAAGUGGUCACUUUGGGUGGUAAGGACCGUUGCAUUUGAUCCAAGUAACAUGUGGUUUUGUACUGAUUCAGCAGAUUGUACAAUCAAGGUACUUAUUUUUAAAAUUAUUCAAUAUGAAUGAAUUCCAUUUUGGUCUGUCGAAGCGGGCCAUAUAUAGGUUCCAUCGUUUUUGCCCUUUGAUAACAAUCGUUAUCUUUGAGUUUUCUGCUCCUGAAAAUUGAAGUAUCAUUUAUUUAUGAUAAUUGUAGGAGCAUGUUUCUUCUUCCUAGAAUAGCGUGACACGAAAUAAAUGAUAGUAUGGUUGAUACGAGAUUUUUCUUCUAGGGCUAGUACAAUCCAUGAACUCUCUGGGCAUGAUAACACCGUUUGCUCAUUUUAAUGGACCAACCGUAUCCUUUUCUCCCUCUGAUCUUUCCUUCCGAUAUCUUGGUCAUAUUAGUUUCUUUCAAUAAAUUUUUUACUCGUGUGGUGUAGUUCUUUUAGAUAAUUUCCCUUUGAUUCUACAUAAGAACCUAUUUUCGUGCUUUUGUAAUUAUCAACUUUGUAUCAUUUCCUUUAGACUGGAGCAGUACAUCAGAUAAUCAAAAUAAUUGAUAUUCCAAUAUUGUGUAUCUUUUGUGCUCAGUUCUCAGCAGAAGACUUAUCAAUACAAUGUCUGUCAAUGAAGAGGGUGUUAUGGUGAUUGGAGGUGCUUUUUUAUUGUUGUGAUCGUGACUAAACUUGGAUGGAAAUGUUGUUGGAUAAACUAAGCUCAGCCUCCCCUCUACUUUCUUUUUUCUUGAAACAUAUAUAUCGAGCAUUACACGUGGCUUUAAAUGUGUUUUACGUAAAUUUUUAUAAAAUUUUAAACUGUGAAUUACUUUUAACGUAAAGUCUUGAUUCAACUUUCAUCCACUCUAAUUAGUAAAUAUUUGACAUGAAAUUAAGUAAUUUAAAUAGUGGCAAAGUUAAUUUUAAUGAAUAUGAGAUAUCGUUGAUACGAAUUAUGGUUCGAAAUUUUUGACACAAUUUUGGAGUUUUCUUUGAAUGAAUACCUAUUUUCUUUGAAUGAAUACCCAUAAAAAUUUUUGACACAAUUUUGGACUGCAAGGUGGAAAAGGUGGGUUUACAUUUCUCUGUGUCCCAUUGUCAUUGUCUCAUAAUUUAGUCUAGACACUUUUGUUGACAUCUUUUAAAUGAUCUUUUAGCUUAGGAACCACGGCCUGGCUACAUUUCCAUUGAUGUAAUCACUGAUAUUUUUGAAGGUACAUUUCAGCUCAAUUUCUUUAAUUCUUACUCUCAUCUUCCAACUCUCUUGAAAAGCGAGUGAAAAGGAUAGUUUUGGGAAAGUAAUUAAUUGUUAGUUAUGUCGUCCAGCUGCUAGAAAGCCUGCUGUUGCUGCUAUUGACGGACUUGCUUUGGGUGGAGGGUUAGAGGUCGCUAUGGUAUGUCUUAGAACUUCUUGUAGACAAUUAAAUCUUUAAAAUCAUUGUUUAAAAAUAUUUUAUAUUAUUUUGGUUUGUAGGCAUGCCAUGCACGAUUAUCAACCAAAACUGCACAGUUAGGAUUACCUGAACUUCAGCUUGGUUUAAUUCCAGGUUUUGGAGGUAUGUCUAUGGCGCUGAUACUUGGUGGUAUUUUUCUUAUUUUUAUUUGUACCAGUUAAUCCUGUGAGCCGCUGUAAUGAUAUGCACCCAACUGAACUUUACUUUAAGCUGUGGGCAGUUGUGAUCUCACCAAUCUACUUAAGCUCUUAACAUUGGAAAUAAUUGAUUAAGUUAUUAACAAAUAACAGUUUAUGUUAUCAGUUGGAUCCCUCGUGGAUUGAUAUUUGGAUCUUGGGCCUUUGAUAGGAUAGCAUACGAUGUAAUUCCUUAUUUUUAGAGGAUGGAUAAUAUAGAUUUUUUAGCAAUAACCUAGUAUUUGAAUUGGCUGAAAUGAAUUUGUCUAUUAUAUAAUGAAAACAACAGAAACCCACUGUUUUGAAAACUUCUAAGAUUUUUCUUUUGGUGUUCUAAUCUCAAGCUUCUUUUUUGUUCAGGAACACAGCGACUUCCUCGUCUGGUUGGUCUUCCAAAGGCUUUAGAAAUGAUGCUGGUGAGAUUAGUAGCUCUUGCUUUUGAUUUUUGACACCUUGCUGUAGAAUAGCUUCAAUGGUCAGGUUAUUUUCUAUUGUUUUUCUCCAUCUUCUCCUCUGAAAUGUCACUAACGCAUUUCAUAGAUGUCAAACUCCUCUCUUGCUCACCAGUGAAUGGCCAUUACCAACACCUCACAAAUUUCUUGUGAGAUUUCAGUUUUCAGAACGAAUCAAGAUCCUCAUCUUGGAAGCCGCCAAUCUUUUUUUAUCAGGCACGGCUCUCAUUUUCCCUCCUUUUUCAUCUAUCGUUUAUAUAUACAUUGUUAACAAUGAUGAUGAUGAUGAUGAUGAUGUUUACUCUGGCUUACGGUUGCGAAAUUUGAUUGUGGAAUUCUCUUUUUCAGACAGAGGGCCAAAUUGCUUCAGCCGUAGGAUUUUCCCUCCUAGUAAGGGCCUUGAUUCUGAUUAUUGGUCCUAGUCCACUCGGCUUACUUCUUUUCUGCGGUAUGGAUAUAGCUAUUGUUGACGCUGAGAGAGAGCAACUCUUUUCAGGGACCACCCCCCCCCCCCCCCCCCCGACCCUUAUCGCACCUCUCGUAUGACCUCCUUAUGUGGGUUCCUUACCCUCUUCUUUCAGCUCCCAGCGCUACACACAUGUCGCCUACUCUCAGGAACCGGCUAGCCUUCAGACCAAGACCUUGCUUAUUCCACUCGGAGUAUCUUGGCCCACCGAUCCCAUGCCAUCGAAUGCGACCAUUCAACCGAACUAGGUCCGAUUGCGCCAUUAUAGCGGUGCUAAAAAGUUAUGAAAUCUUCGUCCAUUCUCUGGUUAAUAUGGAUAGUCAUCUGGACCCCUUAUAAUUGGGCACCGCGGAGUGGGGACGCAUUCGAUAGCAUGCUCUCUGGCCGUAUGUAUUCGUUUUGCACGAUCGUGGGUAGUCGCUAGUUCGUCUUAGUAUGGGCCCAAACAUCCAUAUCUGAGUAUGCUAGCUGGUCACACAGGCAGUGCCUUCUUCUAUCUAACUGAACGGUAAACCGGGAGGGCGCUGCCCCUCCCUAACCCCUUUUUGGACACGAUGACAUAACCUCCCUUUUAAGUAAGCGGCCUAAGGCCUACCACUUACCUGAAAGGGCCGAAAGUUUGCCCCAGGCCGAAGGUUGGAAUUGACCCCCAGUCGCUUCAAAACCUGUACCUCCCGCUUGAUCUUCCUUUCUCAUGCCAUCCCCGGAUCCAGCGAGUGGGCCCAAAAGUUCAGACCCCUAGACUCCACCUUUUCGAUUAUCUCUGAGAUGGUCAGAGCCUCGGUGACACCCAUCCCAGUGGGACUCAAACUCCCUGAGACCGGCCUUCCUGGGUGGAUUCCUUAGAUGCCAUCCUCGGGUACUGCAAUGAGGAGUAAUGCCAUCCUCGAGAACAAUUGUUACUUUUCAUUCUUCAACAAAGCACCUAUGAGCGAACCAUUGGCCAUAUGUUCUGUUAUUGUGGCCACAGAUCUCCCAAGCCCAUCAUGCACGACACCAUAAAAAGUACCACAUUUGGGUGGUGCAAAUCAGCAAACUUAAAUUGCUUCAUUCUAAAAAUCUGCUCAUUGGUACAGUAUAAAACAAUAAAAAGGACCUGAGUCAAUGAACAAAAAAAAAAAAAAAAUACAUGAAUAACAAAAGAAAAGAAAAGCCAAUUACUUAAAGUGAACAACCUUGCGAUCUUGUUUACAAGGCUUCCUAGCAAAACACCUAUCAUUGAUCUUUUAAGCAACAUUAGUUCCCCUCCAUUUUCCAUGAUAAAAAAGUGGCCAAAGACCCCAAUUCUCUUAAUUCUUCAAGGUCACUAUUGUUUAUUACCCGAAGGAAAGAAGAAAAAGAAAAAGAAAAGGAUGUUCGGAUGGACAAUUUAAACAUAAAGUGUAACCUUAAGGUUGAAAAUGGAAAACUAAGUAUUACCUGCAAGCGGCCAAGGCCUUUUGACAUUGUAAAACCAAGAUUUGCUUUACCUGAAAGUCUUGUCCUGCCAUCGUGGGCAAACAUGAAACAAGAAUAAUUAUGGCAAAGGACGUGACAUAUUCCCGUUGAAUAGCCAAAUGAAUGAUGUGUAUGUUGCAUCUUGUUUUGGAGAAUGUUCAACAUUGUAUUGGUGUCUUAUUUACACUUAUGUAUAAAUUAGUCAUGUCUUGAAUGGUGCUUUUGCAUUGUUUUGUUUGCAUUCCACUCUCAGAUAAUGGAAGACAAUAAAAAUAAUCCUCUUGUUUUACUUGUGUUUUAGUAUGCUUCCUUUUAUCCAUUGUUUGGAACUUUCCUUCAAAUGGUUGAGCUUCCGGUGUCAAAGUACCAUCACAUUUGUUUUAAUUUAUUGAGCUCUUUAGUUAUUUUAUUACUCUAGUUGAAUGGCAUAACUUUCGGUUAAAUUUACAUUCAAAUCUAAUCUUACUUUAACCACCAGUAUAUGUAUGUAUAUGUGUAAACAAAAUCUUGUAAUAUUGUGUUAUCUUAUUAACUAUGUUGCGAAGUUUAUGUAACAUUUCACUUGAUUGUACUUUUUUUAAAAAUAGGACUUUUUUUCAUAAUUUUUCAAACACAACUAAUAUCUACUUGGACUCCUUGUAAAUAGAGUGUAUUCUUGAUUAACUUAAAUACUUAAAUUUGUUUACAACACAUAUCAAUUACUAAAAUUUCAAAUUAUCAAAAUUCAACAUAUCCAUAAGUUAAAAAACAUAUUUUGUAAUAAUACUCGAAAUUUGGGAUGGGUAGUCUGGGUUGUUAGUGUUGUUAGUGUUGUCAGUGUUAGAAUACCCCUAGUGGUUUGUGUAAAAAAGUCUCCUUUUAAAAGUUGAAAGAUGCCCUUAAACUUUCGAAAACGGUUCAAAAAUACCAUUGUCUUUGGUUUUAAAUGAAAGUUGCUAAAGUUUUGUUUAAAAAAUAAUCAUCAACUAUUGAAAAGUUUUGUUUAAAAAAUAUUGAUGAAUUAUUGAAAGUUCCAUAAGUAUCCAUUUAAGCUUAAAAAAAAUUCAAAAAAUGUUCAUCAAUCCAAUUCAUACACCUAUUUUUUUACACUUAUAAUAAAAAGCCCAUAAAAAGUAGAGAACUUGUGUAGAGAACUCUUCACUCUUGCCUGAAGCUACAAUAGCCCGUAGAAAGUAGGAGAGUUAAGCUUGUUAGGUUAGAAUGCGUUGGGUUCGCUUGGGAUCAAAACUUGCAUCAAACUUUUCACUCACGGUCGAAGCCACAAUAGCUGGUAGAAAGUAGGAGAGUUAAGCCUAUUAAGUCAUAAUGCAUCGGGUUCCUUCAGAAUCAAACUUUCGUAGGAAACUCUUCACUCUCGACCGAAGCCACAAUAACACGUAAAAAGUAGGAAAGAUAAGGUGGUUAGGUCGGAAUGCAUCGGGUUCCUUCCAUAUUAGUAUUUGCGUAGGGAACUCUUCACUCUUGGCGAAAGCAACAAUUUUCUGAAGAAAGUAGGUGAGUUGAAGCGAUUAGAUCAGAAUGGGAUGGGUUCCUUCGGGAUCAAUACUUGCGUAGGGAACUUUUAAGUCUUGGGGGAAGCAAAAAUAGUUCGUAGAAAGUCGAAGAGUUAAGCCAAUUAGGUUAGAAUGCGUCGAGUUCCUUCAGGAUUAAAAUUUUCGUAGGGAACUCUUCACUCUUGGCCGAAGCAACAAUAGCCCGUUGGAAGUAGAAAAGUUAAGCAAGUUGGGUCAAAAUGCGCUUGGUUCUUUAUAUAUUACAUGUUUAUACCUUUUCAAUUCAAUACCUCUUUACUUUUCACUUGUCAAUGUGUUAUUAGUAGUUAAUUUAGCGAUAAGUUAUUGAUAAGAAGUUUAGUUUAUAAUUCUCGUCGCAUUAGUUAGGCUAUGCUCAUCGCUUAGCCAACGUCAAUCGCCAACUACUCGAGAGGGCAAGUAGCAAGGAUAAGGCUAAUACGUGCAAGGGGAGUUUCGCGACGAACUCCACCUUAGUGAGAUAACUUCCAUCAUUUGUAUACCGAGAGAUGAAAAAGUGUGAACAUUAGGCACCGAGAGGUUGUUGUCCUUAAUUGCGAUGCUCUAUACGUUUUAUAAGUGAAAUCUUCUAGAUAUAUCUCUCCUAAGCACACUUAAUCAUAUGGAUUCUGAGAGGUGACCAUAUGUGACGUUUAAUGACUCUGAGAGGAGCACUUCUUAAUUAUAAGUUAGUUGAGCGAGAUAUAUCCUAUUAAAGUUGUCGUGUUACUUAAUCGCAUUAUAACACAAAGACAUUCCUUUGCUCUUUCUUGCAUACAAGUUAGUUCCCAUUUCUAUUUUGUCAUCCAUAUUCCCUUUUAUAGAAUCUCUAAGCGUAGAUAUCUAGUGGUAGUUUGUUCUUGUAUUUCUUUUAUACCAUUCGUUAUUCUUUAAUUCUUUUAUACUGCCUAGAUAUAAGUAAUACCUAAAAUUAAUAUCUUGAAUCAAUUCCUUAUGUUCGACCCGGGAUCACCCUAAACCUACCAUUUCACUUGCACUUGGACAAGUAGUAAGAAAACUUGUACUCAAGAGGACUUAGUUGCCACACGAUAUGAAGGUCUAGUGAGCAAUUCACAUGCAGUUAACAUGCUUAGUGAUAUAUCGCCUAGAUUGAGUAUAAUUUUCAUUCACCAUUUACUAACACUAAGUCCUGAUUGUUGAAGAGAAACAACACCUCAAUAACCGGAGCGAUCGACUUCUAUCUUUAGUUAUUCGAUCUUGAACCUUAAUUGCACCGAGAGAUGGCCUGGGAUGAAACAAAUUUACCUUUAUUUUAUUCAGUCUCGAGCAUACAUUGUCCUAAGAUGCUACAUUAUGAAAGACUUCUGCCUUUAGUUAUUCGAUCUCAGGCCUUAAUUGCACUGAAAUGGCUCGGGAUGAAAGAAUUCUGUCUUUAUUUUAUUUAAUCUUGGGCAUACAUUACAUUGAGAUGCUCCGAAAUGAAAUUUUUUUGCCUUUAGUUAUUCGAUCUCGACCUUAAUUGCAUCGAGAUGACCCGUUAUUAAUAAAUCACAAAGAAGAUAUAAAUCGCAAGGACGUCUAUGGAAUUUGUGAAAAAAUAAUCUCGCAUCAUGGACUUUUCUUAUUUUGUUAUACGAACCAUAAAUAUUUUGGAUUUUUCUACAUUUAUGUAAAUUACUCUUAAAUUAAUCUAAUUAAUAUUUAAUUGGAAAUCACCGCCACUUGGAUAUAGGAAUACGGGAGCAUCCCACAUUCUCUAAAUAACACCCACAUAUGGAAGUUAUUAUCUUAAUUUAAAUUAAUGAUCACAAAUAGCAAAAAAGUUAAAACUAUUUACAAAAUAUAGCAAAAAAUUGAAACUAUUUACAAAAAGACUCAAAUGUGCUAUAGAGAAUUUAAUUAUUAUGCU
rnacentral:lncRNA from 1 species